AAUAAUUAAUAAUAAUGAAAACGCCUCAACAAAUUGUGUAACCCCCGUAAGCGAAUGGAAAUUUCUAGAAAGACAACUAACUACGUCGUAGGUCAACGGAAAAUCGAUAGAACACAGCUGCGUCUAAAAAGAGAAAGGUAGAUCGUCAUUCCAAUACGAGUGAUAGAGAAACGUAUGUUAUUGAUCAAACUGCCGCAGUGUACAAGCGCGCUAAACGUCACGUAGACCUUCUCGAACAAUCUCGAAGGGGGGAAAAUCUAUAAAUACUCCCUCCUCGAAUUUUGCGGCGUAGUUUUGUGUUUGUGUUGUGUCUGGUGGGUACGAGGAGCUGGUAAAGUAAUGAAGGUCAACCAGGACAAAGGAUGACGUUUGUAUUUCAGUAUCACUGUUUUUGAUUUAUUUUGUUCAACAAUUUUGAAAAUUCUUAGACGUUAUGUCUAUUUGUACUAAAAUAGCUUGCUGAGAUUUUGUGAAUUAUUGAGAAAAUAUGAAUUAUUUAACCUGGUUACACCUGGCCAGUGUAAACGGGUUUAUUUCUGAUUUAUAUAUGAAGAUUUUUUAAAAGUAUUUGUAAUAAAUAAUAUAUGAGCAAAAACAGCAAGUUUAGCACACAUUUAAGUUGUUUUGUCGAUAUUGGGAUCCAAAAAUUUCAAUUAAUUUCAGAGUAUUGCACCAUAUGACGUUAACAUCGUAAUCCAAUAUGGCGACUAGGGUGCGGUUCGCCAUCUUUUCGAGAUUCGAGACGUAGUAAUAGAUCGAUCGAUAGGUACCUAUUUUAUUCUGAGGAGGUUUCCAAUAAGCAUAUUUUUACCCAAAAACUGGUAUGAUUCAAAAUAAUAAAAUACUUAGAAGGAAGCUUCGGCUUCCAUUAGGACCUAAAGCCAAUUUAGUUGGCAUCUUUUAGACUUUUUGUAGAUACCUAUUCUAUUGGUUGGCAAGAUGGUCGUUUAUUGUUCAGAAGACUAAAGCCCCCUUUAAGCGAUCUCUUAUAGUACGGGCGCUACUGGCAAACUUAGGAUGGAGUUAAAAAAUUUACUUAUUGGUUAUCUACCCGAGUUUUAUAAAUUUGUACUAAUUUUAUUCUGAUAUAAGGACUGUAAACAACAACAUAUUCUUACACUUUUUUUUUUUGUAAAUUAGCGUUCUACAUUUUAAAAACUGUAACGAAAUCUAUUUUGAAAACCUACUGUACUACUUAUUUUACCAAUUUUUGCUGUCAUUUUCUUAGACCCUUCUACUAAAAUGAUAGGACUUUUAUACUAGUUGGCAUUUGUACUGAAAAAUCCUCAAUAAAUAUAUUACAAUAAUCAUUAGUCUUGUCGGUUAUUCUUUGAAGUUGAAAUACUACCUACUGCUUUCUAAAAGCGAGAUAUUAGUCAGAAUGUAUAGGAAAUCACAAUAUUGUGGGCUUGAAUAAAGCUACCUCAAAGUAAUAGUUUCAAACUAUCGCAAAAUAUUUUUCUUUAUUUGUGACCAAAGUAUGUAAAUAUUAAAUAUGACUCAUAUUAACUUAUACAACAAAAUUGGCCGACUACAAAUAUCCAUAUGUUACAGCUUUCCCUGUAUAUUGAAACAGUGUAGCAGUUGGUAAACAGCCAAGAAUAAUAUAUGUUGCUACAUUUUUUAAUUGCAAUAUACUGCUUUUUUGGUAUAUUUGACCAGUAAAAAUAUAAAGUUAGGGCACCAAAUCGGGAAGUGUCUUGUAACAACUUCUAAAGGCUACAAUAUGCUUAUGUUAGUAAUACAUACAGCCAGUACAAGUUGUAAAUUUUCGUGGUGUGUACAACGCAAAGUUGUAUGCUUGUCCAGUUAAUUCAAAAUUUAACUAAUUACAAAAUUUUUAUCUAAUUUUCAAAAUUGAUUAAAUAUGGAAAUAUAUCAACAGUCACAUAUUGUGAAUAUAUUUUACAUUCUGAAUACAUAUUACUAUUAUCAAAACUGACUUCGAUAUCACCUGUAGGAGAUAGAUUUAAAAAAAAUCGAGCAUUAAGGGCGUAUUAACAGUAAGUACAAGAUUUAGACUUUUUAACAUUUUUUUUUAUUUUUUCUCAAUUUAUAUUUGCGUCUCUCUUCCUUUGUUUACGUUUAAACUAACCCAAAUUUUUGAUAGGUACUAGAUUUGCAAACACACUAUCACAUUAGAGAGAUACUAGACCCAUGUUAGGAAUAGUUACUAAAAUGGUUAUUUCCACUUGACAAAGUUUUGGUAUUUUAUAUUUCAGAUCUCCAUUGAAAAUUGAUUUAGGUUAUUUUUAUUUGAAUAGUACACAACAUUGGCAUGUUUAGGUAUAAAAACAGAAUAUAGGUUCUGAAUUGGUUAUUUACAAAAAUAUUUAAAUUUAAAUCAAAUUUAUUAUUCACAUUUAAAAAAUUCUCAUUUAGGUUUGCCUCGAUUGUAUUUUAGAUACACUGUAAUUUUUUAAAGAAAAAAUCCACAUGCUUUAUUAAGUCCCAGUUGUGGUACCUAUAUGGUUAUUCUGUAGUGUGUUUGUCGAUGUUUAGGACCGUUUUAUAUUAGAUGAUUUCAAUAUGUUAGGUGUAGGUUUUAGCACCAGUAAUUUUUAGUUAAAAAACAAAAUUUGGUUAAAGAACGUACUAAAACAAAUAGUAAGUUUGUGUGGGUAAAUCAUAUUGUAAAAUAAUCGUGUAAUUAAAUAAGGUUAUUUAACAGUAACAAUUGCAAAUACUGCAAAGCUAGGUAAUUAUCAUUAUAUAGGAUUUGGAUAGGUAGAGUUUAAGAAACUAAAUCCACUGGUCUGGUUUUUGAUCAACAUAAAUGAUUUAUUUUUAAGAGUCAUUUCAACCUUUAUUGCUUCUCUUUAGGGUUAGGGUAACUACAUUUAUAGUAAUUUUUAAUAAACAGCUACUUCUAUCCACUUAGGUAUUUCUAAUUUCUUGCAGGUAAAAUCAAUAAUACAAAAUUGUCUUUCCUAUUAACAUUAGAAAAUAUACUUGUUAUAGUUAAAAUUACACAUUGAAACCAAAAAUUAUUACUUUAGCAGUUAGAAUUAUUUUGUGGGUUGGUUUACAUUGGGUUGAUAACUCUGGUCACUUACAUUUUUGGAUUUUAAGAAAGAUUUAAAUCCGGAGGAAAUAUAUUACAUAUAACUAUAUUUAUUUUAUAGUAAUUUACGGUUAUAUAUACGAUUUUUAAAGGUAUUUCUAAUUUCUUGCAGGUAGACUUUUGUGGGUUGAUCAAUAUUUGAAAUAGAAAUUGUUUGUAAAUACAUUAGGUAAUUUGCUGAUAUGCUAUCUUAUAGUGAUGAACUCGCUAAUAACAGCCAAAAUAACGCAAAAUAUGGAAAACAUUAAGUUGUGAGUAAAAAGAAAUGAAACUAGUAGAGUUGGAAAAUUUAGCGAUAAAAACCUAUAAAUUUUCAAAUCUAUUUAUUGUUUCCCACCUUAGACGUAUUGGAUGAUUUUGGCAACUGUCACUGUGACAGUGACAAUUUUAGUUGACAUACUCCUGAUAUGUCUAAAGGUGGGAAACAAUAAAUAGAAUGUAAAUUUAUAGGUUUUUAUCGCUAAAUUUAGUUUCAUUUCUUUUUAUCUCAAAACUUGAUAUGUUUUCCACCUUUUGCGUUAUUUUGCCGGCUAUUAGCGCGCUCAUCACUGUACAUAUAGGUACACUGAAUGUUCAUGUGAGUGCGCACUAUGUCCCAUAUCGUCGGUCUAAAUCGCAAAUUGCCUAAGUCCAUUUUUUGCGAAAAUUAUUUUUUGGUUUCAUCUAGUAGUAGACGGUAAAAGCUACCGCCUGACAAUUCCCACAAGCGCAAUUAUUAUUUUAUUUCGCGGCAAUUUCGCUAAACGAAAGUUAUUUUCCUCAUAAAACAGGCAAACUCCACACUUUUUUGUCUCUCCUGUAAAACUUUCAAUUUGUGACUUAGGCAAUUUGCGAUUUAGAAUAUAUUGCAUGACAAGAAAUGCAUUAUUGUCUUUUGCUAUUAACAUUUCAGGGUUUAUAAGUGAAUGUGAUGUAUACAUAGAAAGUAAUUUGACUUACAUUUUGCUUUAUAUUUUUUUUAGUUUGCCUAACUUAAUUAGUUGUCCCAUAUGUUAUUUGUUUGGUUUUAUAUUGUUUAUGUUGGAUUUUACAUCUGUAUUAUUAUUAUGUAUGAUUAUUCUUAUAGCUGUCAUUUUUAUUGUAGUGUAAACUUUAACCCCAGUGUUUGUUUUUCUUUACUUGCUUAUCAUAAGGUCUUGAAUGAACAAUGAUUAUGUGCAUUUAUAACAAAAUUCCCUUCUAUAAACCAUAGGGGGUAGGAAUGAAAUGCACUGUCAUGUCAAAUGUGCACGAGUCUGUUUCUCCCCAUGCAACUCCUUUUUUUGUUAAGUUGUUUUGCUAUUACGUCGUUCAGUCUCCCUAAGUCUUCCUCUUUUCUUUUUCUCUUGUGCUGCAGUUUUCUAUAGACUUAUUUCUGCCCGGUAUUUCACUCUUCAGUCGUUUUAGAUGACCCCACGUCCCACCAGCUUAACUGUCUUUUUUCAACACUGCCAUCGACUAUAUUUUUAAUUACUCCCUCUAACAUUAGUACCCAGGACUCGGCCUUAAAACAUUUCUGUUAUUUCGUUCUUGUUGAUGAUUGGUCUUGCUAUUGCCUGGUAUAAUUUAUUCGUUUUAUAUAUCCUUUUAUUUAUCUCUACUCCUACUUCUUGUCUGACAUUUUCUUCAAUUGUCACUCCUAAAUAUUCAAACGUUUUCAUCAGUUUUAAUUUCUGUGUCUUAUUUACCUUAUUUACCUAAUAUCCUUUUAUUUAUCUCUACUCCUACUUCUUGUCUGACAGUUUCUUCAAUUGUCACUCCUAAAUAUUCAAACGUUCUCAUCAGUUUUAAUUUCUGUGUUUUAUUUACCUUUUAUCUAGUGCAAGCCAGAUAUACAAUAAUUCAUUAACGUUUUGUCAUCAUCUUCUAAGUACAUAGUUGUUGCUACACAAUAUUUUGGAUCUAUUUUACAAACAUCUUAAAAACUGUUCCAAAUAAUUUUUUACAUUGAAGUAUAUAAAUAUUUUUGCCUUUUAUUGAUUUUUCCUUAAAAAGGUUUGUUAGUAUGGUCAUCCUAAUUGUUAGGUUUACCAAUUCUUCGCAAACAUGCGCUAAUGAAAAACGGUUAAUAAUCAUUAUAAGCUACGUUAAUAUACUUUAUAAGCUACGAUGAUAUACUUUAUAAGCUACGAUGAUAUACUUUAUAAUAAGCUACGAUGAUAUACUUUAUAAUGUCCUUUAUACUACGUUUAAAGGUCAAUUAACAACUCUUCGUACAUACUACGAGCGCAUGCAACGAUUUUUUGGUUUGCCAGAAAACUACCAAUUUAAGGAUUUUUUAAAAAUUAUAACAUUUAUUUAUGUAUCUAAUUAAUUUUCAUUGUUAAAAAAAUAGUUCACUUCAGAUUUAACUAUAUUUACUCAUUUUUCCUAUGGAAAUUCAAAGACUGUGUUCAAAUUUUUGUAAUUUGCUCGAUAUUUCCCUCCUCAACGAAUCAUCUACGAUAAAAAUAUAUAGUAUACUACGUUUACUAUAUAUAAACUACGAUAAAUAUAUAUAGUAUACUACGUUUACUAUAUAUAAAGCGCAUAGAGGAUGUCUGUUAGUACGAAAUAUUCGCGAUUAGCUUUCCAACAUACAUGCGCAAUAACAUCUGGAUCCCUCUUACUACGCCUAUCGACAAAUUGUGCUAAUUUGGGUACAGUCUUUCAAUUUCCAUGACAAAAAUGAUUGAUUGAACAGUUGUCCAGAGGUGUUCGUAAAAUAGUUUUUUUUCCACACAAAACUAUCUCAUUUUAAUUUUUCAUGUAUUAUUUGGUAAAUCGUUAGCACAUCCUAUUCUUGUACGAUAAUCUCCUACAUCUCUCUUCCAGCCAGUUACUCAGCCCAAUUCGAGUCAUGGUCUCGCUCCACAAAACUCUGCAUCCUCAAUGUUCUCCUUUGUGGAGUCAAAUACAUUACAUACUUCAUUCAUAUUUUCCCUACGACAAUAUUGAAUUUUAUACUUUCAUUUUAAUAUUUUUUUUGGCGUUGAUCUUUUCAUUUUACCUUUCUACGUCUUGCAUCAUACUUUCUGGUUUAAUUCCAGCUUAAUAUUGUAGUUUAAUAACAAAAGUUAACAAAAUGCUCUUGUUAUGCUAAAUUUUAUAAGUGUUUAGGCUUUUCGAAUGAGAAUAAAGGUUUAAUGCUUAAAAAAUAAUGCUUGUACAAUGUUGAGAUGGCUAAAAAUGGUUGCACUUAGCCACUUUUUAGUGUUUUUGUAUAAUAUGGGGUUUUUAUUUUUUGUAACAUAUUGAUUGUCUCGAUUGUCAAUAUUGACUUUCUUUUAUGCAUAACGAAAUCAUCGGCAUUUUUUGCAAGAGUAGGUGAUUAGUAAUGUAUGAAUUACAUUUAAUGCAUUAAAAUAUUAGGUGUUCAAGUCCCUAGCAUCUUAAAUUUUCCUGAAAUGGACUUUCGUUAUUAUGACCAUCAUAACAAAAACACUUGGGGUUCAAGAAAACUAUAGACCGAAAUUUCGCGAUUAGCUUACCAAUAAUCAUUUAAAAAGAAGUAGUGUAAGUUGGGAAGAAGAACCAAAUACAUCGACGAUUAUGUCAGAAAGCGAAGUCAAUUUUAAGGAUAUUUUUGUUUGCUUUGUAGUUCUACAUUGCUUCAUAUAUUUACUCACUUUUAUUAUUAUUAUUAUGUACAUUAGGGAGGUUGCCUUUUUUCUCUUCCAAUACUUAAUAAUCUAAUUUUUUACAUCUAGGUGUAACAACUUGGGUUCUUUUUUCAUAUUUGUAAUAAUUAAAAUGAAUUCAUAUUUUUUUUGCUUUUCCGACAACACUUACAAUCUUUGCAUUUGGGAUAGCUCACAUAACAUUUUUUUCAUAAAUUAAAACGCCUUUAAGAAAAUGUUAAAUGUAUAAAAUACUUUUUCGACGCGUUUUAAAAAUUUUUUUGAGAUCAUAGUAAUUUUUUUUCAAAAUUAGAACAGUUUUACUUUGCCUCCUCCCCUAACAAGCACGCUAAUAACAUCAAGCGUAGCACGCUAAUAACAUCAAGCGUAGCACGCUAAUAACAUCAAGCGUAGAACAUAAUAUAAACAUAAUAUGCGCCAAGAUGAUGAAGGUUAGACCGAAAAUAACGCGAUUAGUUUUCCAUGAACAUGCGCAUCAACGUCCAUGGAUUCUUCUUUUAAUUUUGUAAAACUGUUCACACGCUAUUAUUUUCGAAAAAAGUUUAUUAAUACAAUUAACAUUUUUUUUUAUUUCAUAAUUUUAAUUUUGGGGGCAGUUUUUGCGUGUAAAUAUUUAUUAUUGUUGUAGUUUCUAUAAUAUAUAAUUAUUUCGAAUCAAGUUUUAAGUUUGGGUAAUCGAUUUUUUGAGGUUUGUGGGGUAAGUGACCAGAAUUUUUAAUGCAAUUUGUUUUCCUAAGGUAUUUGACAAUAACAAGGUGCUCCAUACAAUAAUUUAAUCUUGUAAAGCAGUUUUCGGUAUACAUAGAAACGUAUCUUUAUCAACAUAAUAUAUCAACGUGUAAUAAAAAAACAAUAAGUAAUUAUAAAAAUAGAUUUUAUUGAUAUAUUAGGAUUUAUUGCUAGUUCAAGUGAGACUUAAUGUUUAUUUUGAAUAUAUUUCAACUUUAUUAAUAUAAAAACAUAUACUGACAUGAGUACCUGAUGUGAUUAAUUAAAAUCUCUGAUUUGCCCACUUUAUGACUCGUCGAUGAGUGACCAAUUUUUCUUAUAUUUAAACAGUUAAGUAUUAUACUGAAUUCAUAAGUAUUUAAAAAUCUAAAUAAAAUUAAUAAUCUGACCUAAACGUUAAGCUGACAUUUGUUAUUAACGUUAAGCUGAUAUUUUUGAUCAAAGGUUUAUCUCAUUGUUUAGUAAUCCUUAAAAAAGCUUUGUUAUUAUGGCCUUCAUAACAUCAUAUUUCAAAUGCGCUGAAAAGAGAAGAAUAUAGACCGAAUAUUUCGCGAUUAGACUUUAACAUAUUUCAAAAAGUAACAUUAAUGAAAAAAAGAAGCAUUCGUCACAACAUGCGCAUGUAUUAGUUUACUAUCUUUUUGUCAGAACGCUUAGUGGAUUUAAGGAUUUAUCAUAAAAUUUUUAAAUGGUUGCUUAAUGCAAAAUAUGGUUCAUCAACUAACAAUCUAGUAAAAUAAUAUGAAAAUAUUUAUGUAUGUAUUAUGAAGAUAUCUGGAUACUUUUUUGAGAACUAAAUAUUUUUAGAUAGAACAAUUUUUUGAAUUCAUUUUUAGGAUUAUAUUAUAUUUCAAUAGUUUUUACAAACUAAACAAUAUUAUUAUUCCUCAAACUCAAAAUGUUUAUUUUUCAAUUUUAUUUUUUUGUCGCUUUGUUCCUUCGCUUUUUCCUCUUGUUAUUUUUCUUCAUUUUUCCUUCACUGGUUUGACGUUUUCCUGAAUAUACUGACAGUGGAGGUUACUGUUACAUGUGGAGAUAAAAACUUAAAUGUGGAGUAAGAAGUACAAGAUCGAAUGUUGUGGCCCAGAAGUAUACCGCAGAAGAACUGAAAAAAGAUCAAUAGACCGCCAGAAUAUCGAAAAACGAUAUCACAGAUACACGGACGAACAAAUUCAUGAGCGUAGAGAGCAAAAUCGGGAUAAAUAUAAAGUACAUGUAAGGAAAGUUACCCAGUAGGCCAGAAUGACUGAGUACGAUCAAUAACAAAAGUAGAGGACAUAACAGGCCACACUGCUAGACAAAGAAACCAACCUUGGAUCGCAACAAUACAACAUUGGAGACCUUACAAAAGUAAACGACAAAGAGGAAGACCACAGGUGAGAUGGGGAUGGGUUGGUCCAAACAUAGACGUAGAAAGCUAAGAAGAAGGCCGGUACCAACAUACGCAGCGGAAACAAGAGCUGAACGUCUCAUAAAAAUAUUGAGAAAUGGAAGUGUUAAGAACCAUCAGAGGAACCUUUCUCAGAUAAAUAAUAAGGAAUGAGGAUACGUUAAGGGAAUCGGAGUCCAAUUUGGGUUAAGAUGUGACACGAGCACGACAAAGAGCAAAACGGACAAAACACAAACUCGAUACAAAAAGACCACUAGAAAGACCAAGAAACGGUGGUAAGACAUUUGGACAUCAAUAUCACAAGAGCUGGGAGGAUAGAAUAAAAAGAACCAUGUUGAAUACAAGAAGAUCGUUGAUUGCAUGAAGCAAACCUGGAAAAGCUUUAAAAUUAUCUUUGAGUCAUGGCAUUGUAGAGAUCAAUGAAGGAUAUAAGUAGAUACAGAAUGUUUUUCCCAACUUAAAAACCGCUAUUAUCCCGCAUCCACUGAAACAUGGACCUUGCAAAAGAAAAAUCAUGAUCUACCUUAAAAUUCCAUGGUAUACCUGUAGGAAAAAUGAAGUUAUAAAAAUAAAAUUCGACUACUGACAUAUCAAAAUUACUAAUUUCACAGUAAUUGUAUUUGGACAGAGCGAAGGAACAAGCCAAGACGAAGAAAACUAAAAACAAUAGAUUAUUAUUAUCUCUGUUCCUCUAAUAAAACUGAUAGUCUGUGUGAUUGUCCCACGACAAAGAAAAAAAAAAUAAGAAAAUAAGUUCCGAUAGAUUUUCAUCUAAACUCUUUUCUUGAUUCUUUUAUUUCUUUUUUCUGUCUCUUAAAUACUUUCAUAUACAUAUACAUAAUCAAAAUUGAAGAAAAUUUGUUAAGUUCCAAACGGUUUUGGAUUGUAAUUUUUGUAGUACUACGAGUAGGGCUAAGUCUCUUCGAAAGCGCACAUCAGUUAGAUCGUUUUUGGUUCGCGAUUAGGUUCCAGUGCAUGCGCAGAAGUAAUUCUGGAUCUUCGACAUCGACAGCCUGAAAGCUACAUUGAUUAGAAUUUGGAAACGUUUCGCACUAAACAGUUUUCUUUAAGAAACACUUUCAGUAGAACAUACUACAUAUUUUUACUACACAUUUCAUAAUUUAUUUUAAACACUUAAUAAAAAUAUACGUAAGAUUUAUCACUUUUAACAAAAUUAUGCCAAGAAAAAUAAUUUCUAAAUGUAAUCAAUAGAUAAUUUCUUAAGACGUCUAUUUUUAAAUUGUUGGUGUUAAAUAACAACAAUAAUAUAAACAUUUUUAUAAAUAUGAAAAAAUGAUGCUAAUUUUUCAAAAUAUUCUUAAAUCUUGAGACCUUAGAAAUGUAAAAUAAUCCAUUUUUUUAAUACAACAAUUCUAGAAAACAAAAUAUUAAACGUAUUUUAUAAUAACUACUUAUGUAAAAUUAACAAAUAAUAAUUAACGAAAAAAGUUUUUUCCAUAUUUUAGUUUUUUUUAUUGAAGUCAAAUGUGUUAAAAUGUAAUAAAUUACUGGUGCUGAAAAAGUGACAAACAAUAUCGUAAUAUCGAGGGCUAUUAAUUUUUAUUUAUUUUUUUUUUCGCUAGAUAUUUCGAAAAAAAUCGUGAUUUAGAAUAUUGCACAUAUUUUUAUAAUAUCUUAAUUUUAUAAUAAUUAAAUAUUUAUAUGGAGGUUGAUAUUUUUUAUCGAAACACAGGGUAUAUAGUAACAUUUUUAAAUACAUAUUGAACUUCUUUGACACGUGUAGUUCAGCUUUUCAAGAAACAUUAUUUUGAUCUGUUAGUUUUAAUGGGUUGAUUACUAUAAAUGUUAGAAUAGUAACUAAUCGGGAGAGCCAUAGCACAUGUAAGUAAAUAGGUAGAGUUCUUGUUCCGAAUUUUGCACAAAACUCUUCAUUGUUUUUUUUCGGGUAUUUUAUUAACUCAUGAAAAUGGUAUGUUCGACAUGUAACUAAAUAAUAGGUAUUUGGUAGGAUUAAUAUUUCAUUUAGAUACUUUCAUAUAGGUAUAGGAUGGUUUAGGUAAUGUCACUUUCUUUCGCUCUACCACAAGAUGCUUUCCACGGCAGGUAUUUUAAGUUUUAGUUUGAAUAACUAUAUUUAGCAAAUUUUAUUAAGUUAUAUAUCUUCCCUCUUACGCUAAAAUACCACUCUUUUGAUACAUUUACAUCUGUACAUCAUAAUAUGAAUAUUAUAUAAAGUACCUAACUGAACACAAAUAAAACAUCAAUUGAUUAAGAUCUAGAUACUUAACGAAAAAUAUAAAGUUGACAUUUAUUGAAAUACAAUUUUAGAGUACCUAUACAAUCAGUUUAUAAUCCUUUAUUGUUACAACUUAAUCUGCAUUUAUAUGAUGAAAUAUACACAAAAUAAUAUAUUAUUAAUAUUUAAAAUAGAAAAUAAGUAGUCUAAAAAUUUGUUUAAUUUUUUUUUGAGAUACCUAAAACAGUGGUUUUAGUAAUGAAUCAAUAUGGAGAUAAAUACUGAUAAUAAAGAAAUAUUAAAAAGAUUUUAUAUAAACUAAAGCUUAUAUUACUACAAUAGGUACAAUCCAAACCAGCACAUUUAAAAAAGUGUCCAAAAUAUUUCAGGAUCUUCUUAAUAUGAAUUUUCUUAUGGUUGCAGCAGUUCAAAACUUGGUCUUAAAUUCAGCCGAGAUUAAAGAAUAUUUAGGGCAUUAUAUAAAUAAAUUAUUCUCACCAGGUUAUAUAAUUAUGGCAUUUAAAGCUUAAGGUAAUGAACGCAUACAAUUUUCCAUUAGUCCUUUUGUUCAAAAUGAAAUAUCAUUUCAAAUGCAAUGCAUACAUGUUUCUAAUGUUAAAAUAAUUGAGAGAAUAAUUCUAUAAAAAAUCUGAGAUGAUACAUUUACAAAGGUUUGACAAUUUUAUAACACCGAAGUUGUAGGUUAUUUGCGAGGUAAGAUAGGUAGAAUUAUUUUGACGCUACGUUUCCAAGCAGAUAUAUUCUUCUGAAAGAUCCAAAUCCCAAAAUGAAGACUCUUUAUUUGAAUAAUAGAGCAAAAGCUUGCGACAUUUAUAUACAAGAUUGAUUGGUACAUUUGUGAUAUUCUUAUCCAAAGUAAAAUCUUCCAAAAAUGACGCAUAUAUUUUCAACUGCCCAUUUCUUAUUAUGCUAUAUCAAGAAAAAACUACAAAAAAUCUAAAAUGAUACAUUAAUACAAAGGUUUGACAAUUUUAUAACACCGAAGGUGUAGGUUAUUUCGAAGGUGCAAUAAGGUAGAAUUAUUUCGACGCUACGUUUCCAAUCAGGUAUAUUUUUCUGAAAAAAUCCAAAUCCCAAAAUGUAGACUAUUUGAAUAAUAGAGCAAAAGCUUGCGACAUUUAUACACAAGAUUGAUUGGUACAUUUGUGAUAUUCUUAUCUAAAGUAAAAUAUUUCAAAAACGACGCAUAUAUUUUCAACUGCCCAUUUCUUAUUAUGCUAUAUCAAGAAAAAACUACAAAAAAUCUAAAAUGAUACAUUAAUACAAAGGUUUGACAAUUUUAUAACACCGAAGGUGUAGGUUAUUUCGAAGGUGCAAUAAGGUAGAAUUAUUUCGACGCUACGUUUCCAAAUAGGUAUAUUCUUCUAAAAGAGUAAUCCAAAUCCCAAAAUGUAGACUCGUUUUAUUUGAAUAAUACAACGAAAGUUGUUAUACAUGAUUGAUAGGUAAAUUUGUUAUAUUCUGAUCCUAAGUAAAAUCUUCCAAAAUCAUUUCAAAUACAACGUAUUUUUCUCUCCCCGUUUCUAUUUUUUCUAGAAAAAAAAAAACUACAAAAAAUCUAAAAUGAUACAUGAAUACAAAGGUUUGACAAUUUUAUAACACCGAAGGUGUAGGAUAUUUCGAAGGUACAAUAAGUUAGAAUUAUUUUGACGCUACGCUUCCAACAAGGUAUAUUCUUCUGAAAAAAUCCAAAUCUAAAAAUGUAGACUCUUUUUGUUAGAAUAAUAAAGCGAAAGCUUGCGAAAUAGAUACAAAAUGUAUUGGUAAAUUUGUAAUACUCUGAUCUAAAGUAAAAUCUUUCAAAAACAUUUCAAAUACAACGCAUAUACAAAUUUUCAGUUGCCCCUUUCUUAUUUAUACAUACUAUAUCAAGAAAAAACUAGAAAAAAUCUGAUGAUACAUUAAUACAAAGGUUUGACAAUUUUAUAACACCGAAGCUGUAGAUUAUUUCGAAGGUACAAUAAGGUAGAAUUAUUUCGACGGUAUGUUUCCAAAAAGGUAUAUUCUUCUAAAAAAUGCAAAUCCCAAAAUUUAGACCAUUAUUAUUUGAAUAAUACAGCGAACGGUUGCAAAAUUUAUAAAAUAUUGAUUGGUUUUGUAAUAUUCUAAUCCAAAGUAAAAUCUUCCAAAAUCAUUUCAAAUACAACGCAUACAUUUUUCUCGCCCCGUUCCUUAUAAUACUAUAUCAAGAAAAAACCAAAAAUCUAAAAUGGUACACUAAUACAAAGGUUUGACAAUUUUAUAACACCGAAGGUGUAGGUUAUUUCGAAGGUACAAUAAGGCAGAAUUAUUUCGACGCUACUUUCCAAAAAGGUAUAUUCUUCUGAAGAAUCCAAAUCCCAAAAUGUCUCUUUUUAUUUCAAUAAUACAGCAAAAUCUUGCGAAAUUUAUACAAGAUUGAUUGGUAAAUUUGUGAUAUUCUGAUCAAAAGUAAAAUCUUCCAAAAACAUUUCAAACACUACGUAUAUAUUUUCAACUGCCCAUUUCUUUUAUGUACUAUAUCAAGAAAAACUACAAAAAAUCUUAAAUGAUACAUUAAUACAAAGGUUUGACAAUUUUAUUACACCGAGGGUGUAGGUUAUUUCGAAGGUGCAAUAAGGUGGAAUUAUUUCAACGCUACGUUUCCAAAAAGGUAGGGGAGAGUUGGAUAAAACGGGAUACCUAGCCUAGAGACUCAACUAGUGCUGCUAUCAAUCGGACAACGACGAAAACUUGUUCUCAGUCGUCAUUUUAACAUUCUCAGUUCGUUUUACCUCGAUGCCAUUAUUUGAUGAAAAGUUGUUGUGUUUAGAAUUGUUUGACUAUAUUUUUUUGGUACUUUGUACUUUUAAGUGCGUUGUUUUCUACAUUAUUUUGCGUACAUAUCUAAACAUUAUAAUUCCGGUGACUAUUACAUUUAUUUAUAAGCACUCAUUAACGAAUAUUCUCAUGUGUGGUCUAUCUGAUUUUACUUUCACGUUUAGGCAGGAGCCAUUUUUGUUUUGAAAAAUGUCAGUUGGACAAAACGGGACACUUAUAAGUUGGAUAAAAUGGGAUACAGUUUUUUAUGUCCCGUUUUAUCCACCUAUUUAUUUGUUGGCCUAUUAGUUUUUUUAAAUAUCGAUAAAGCGCUCAUACUGCAGAAAAGAACAUUUUUAUGUGACUUCUGUUCUGAUAUACGUACCUAGUCCUAAAUAAAAGAUCUUAUUUCCCAUUUUGCAAUAAAACAUAAAGAAGGCCUAUUUCUAAGUUUUGACUACUGAAGAUAUUAUUUUUUCAAAGGUAAAUUUUGCUUUGCAGUCUUAUAUCUACUUAAAUAUACUUUUUAGAUCAUUUUAUGCAAAAAAUUAAAUAUUGUGAACCUAUCCCGUUUUAUCCAACCGUGGUAUGCUAAAACGGGAUGUGCAGGACUUUAAUAAAUAUUUUUUUUACUAUUUUCCAGUCAUUAAAAAUAGCUAAAAAUAUGUUUUUGUGUGCUUCAAUAAAUGUUAUACCUAUAAAAAAUAAUAAUAUGAUAAUUUCUUUAACAUUGUUUCCGUAAUAAAAAUAAACAAGAAUGGUAUCCCGUUUUAUCCAACUCUCCCCUAUCUAUAUUCUUCUAAGAAAAAUCAAAGGGCAUCAAUGUUGACUCUUUUUAUUUGAAUAAUACAACGAAAUUUGCGAAAUUUAUACAAGGUUGAUAGGUAAAUUUGUGAUAUUCUGAUCCAAAACUGUUUCAAAAAUAUAUCGAAUACAAUGCAUACAUUUUUCUCUCCCCGUUUCUUAUAAUUUCAAGAAAAAUCUACAAUAAAUCUAAAAUGAUACAUUAAUACAAGGUGUAACGAUUUUUAUGACACCGAAGGUGUAGGUUAUUUCGAAGGUACAAUAAGGUAGAAUUAUUUCGACGCUACGUUUCCAAAAAGGUAUAUUCUCUGAAAAAAUCCAAUCCCAAAAUGUAGACUAUUUUUACUUGAAUAAUUAAUACAGCAAAAUCUUGCCAAAUUUAUACCAGAUUGAUUGGUAAAUUUUUGAUAUUCUGAUCCAAAGUAAAAUCUUCCAAAAACAUUUCAAAUACAACGACCACUAAUAUAUUCAGUUGCCAUUUUUUAAUAUCUAAUAUGAAGAAAAAAACUACAGAAACACUGAAAUGAUACAAAGGUUUGACAACUUUAUAAGGUUAUUUCAAAGGUACAAUAAGGUAGAAUUAUUUGGACGCUACGUUUCGAAAAAGAUAUAUUCUUCUAAGACAAAUCGAAAAGACCCAUUGUAGAUUUUUUUAAUGAAAUUUAUUCAGAUUGAUUGGUAAAUUUGUAAUGUUCUGAUCCAAAGUAAAAUCUUCCGAAGUAAUUUCAAAUUCAACGCAUACGUUUUUGUCUCCCCGUUUCUUAUAAUUUCAAGAAAAAUCUACAAUAAAUCUAAAAUGAUACAUUAAUACAAAGGUGUAACAAUUUUAUGACACCGAAGGUGUGGGUUAUUUCGAAGGUACGAUAAGGUAGAAUUAUUUCGACGCUACAUAUCCAAAAAGGUAUAUUCUCUGAAAAAAAUCCAAUCAAAAAAUGUAUACUCUUUUUACUUGAAUAAUUAAUACAGCAAAAGCUUGCCAAAUUUAUACCAGAUUGAUUGGUAAAUUUGUGAUAUUCUGAUCCAAAGUAAAAUCUUCCAAAAACAUUUCAAAUACAACGACCACUAAUUAUCUAAUUACCAUUUUUUAUUAUCCAAUAUGAAGAAAAACUGAAAUGAUACAUUGAUACAAAGGUUUGACAACUUAUAUAAGGUUAUUUCAAAGGUAAAAUAAGGUAGAAUAAUUUGGACGCUACGUUUCCAAAAAGAUAUAUUCUAAGAAAAAUCAAAAAGACCCAAUGUAGAUUUUUUAAUGAAAUUUAUACAAGAUUGAUUGGUAAAUUUGUAAUAUUCUGAUCCAAAGUCAUUUCAAAUACAACGCAUGCGUUCUUCUCUCCCCGUUUCUUAUAAUACUAUGUCAGAGAAAACCAAAAAUCUAAAAUGAUACACUAACACAAAGGUUUGACAAUUUUAUAACAGCGAAGCUGUAGAAUAUUUCGAAGGUACAAAUGGGUGCGUUCGGACGACCAUAGCGGCUGGCUGCCAGCAGAAAUCGGCUGAGUGGUUGCAUCCAGCCGUGAUAGGGAAAGCUUAGUAAAUCUCUCGGCGGCUGGCUUCCAGCGGUGACGUCUGACAGCUACUGCUGGCUCGGCUGUCCAGCCGCUGUGGUCGUCCGAACGCACCCAUUAUUUCGACGCUACGUUUCCAAAAAGGUAUAUUCUUCUAAAAAAUCCAAAUCCCAAAAUGUAGACGAAAUUUAUAAAAGAUUGAUAGGUAAAUUUGUGGUAUUCUGAUCCAAAGUAUAAUAUCCUUUUAAAAAUAUAUCAAAUACAACGCAUACAUUUUUCUCUCCCCGUUUCUUAUAAUUUCAAGAAAAAUCUGAUAUGGUACCUUAAUACAAAGGUUUGAUAAUUUUAUAACACCGAAGAUGUAGGUUAUUUCGAAGGUGCAAUAAGGUAAAAUUAUUUCGACGCUACGUUUCCAAAAAGGUAUAUUAUAAAAAAAUCCAAAUCCCAACUCUUUUUACUUGAAUAAUACAACGAAAGCUUGAGAAAUUUAUACAAGAUUGAUACUCAAAAUAUUACAUCAAGAAAAACUACAAAAAAUCUGAAAUGAUACAUUGAUUCAAAUGUUUGACAAUUUUAUAACACCGAAGGACUAGGGUAUGAAUAUUUCGAAGGUACAAUAAGGUAGAUUUAUUUUGACGCCCGUUUCCAAAAACGUAUAUUCUCUGAAAAAAUCCAAAUCCCAAAAUGUUCAGACUCUUUUUACUUGAAUAAUAACAGCAACAUUUUGGGAAAUUUAUACAAUAUUGAUUGGUAAAUUUGUAAUAUUCUGAUCCAAAGUAAAAUCUUCCAAAAACAUUUCAAAUACAACGACCACUAAUAUAUUCAACUGCCAUUUCUUAUUAUCCAAUAUCAAGAAAAAACUACAGAAAAACUGAAAUGAUACAUUGAUACAAAGGUUUGACAACUUUAUAAGGUUAUUUCGAAGGUACAAUAAGGUAGAAUUAUUUGGACGCUACGUUUCCCAAGAGGUAUAUUCUUCUGAAAAAUCCAAAUUCCAAAAUUUAAACUCUUUAUUUCAAUAAUACAGCAAAAGCUUGCGAAAUUUAUACAAGAUCAAUUGGUAAAUUUUUGAUGUUCUGAUCCAAAGUAAAAUCUAAAAUAAAAAUUUCAAAUACAACUCAUAUAUUUUCAACUACCCAUUUCUUAUUAUACUAUAUAACAAGAAAAAACUACAAAAAAUCUGAAAUGAUAUAUUAAUACAAAUGUUUGACAAUUUUAUUACACCGAAGGUAUAGGUUGUUUCGAAGGUACAGUAAGGUAGAAUUAUUUCUAUGCUACAUUUCCAAAAAAGUUUAUUCUAAAAAAAUCAAAAGGCCCCAAUGUAGACUCUUUUUAUUUUAAUAAUACAACGAAAGUUGCGAAAUUUAUACAAUAUUGAUAGGUAAAUUUGUCAUAUUCUGAUCCAAAGUAAAAUCUUCCAAAAAUAUUUCAAAUACAGCGCACACCUUUUCUCUCCCCGUUUAUUAUAGUAUAUUGAGAAAAGACUACAAAAAUCUGAAAUGAUACAUUAAUACAAAUAAUCGUACUAUUUUAUUAUUUCACCAAAAGUGCCUUUUAUUAUGCAAGGAAAAAAUUAUUACUGAAUUUUGAAGGUUGAUUAUGUUUAGUAAGACGAUUUUUAAGGUUAUCUAAUACAAAAAAAAUAUUUUAAUUAUGGGUAGAUUUAUAACUGGCCAAAUUGAUAGAAAAGAUACCAGCAUGCCCCCUAAUAAUUUCUGGAAUGUAUUUUAUUAAUUUUAUUUUCUCCUUAAUGUAAUUUCUUUUGAAUUAAACUGCUUUUCUAUUUUAACGUUUAAACUACAAUCUAAUAUUCUUUAUUUUUAUGGGUCUUUUUUACAAUAUGUUAUACUUUUAUAUAUUUUUUAUUUAAUUUUCGUUUUAUGUAUUUUUUCUUCUAGUCCAUAUUUUUGUACGGGUAUUCUACAUACCACUAUUACUUAAUUUGAUUUAAUUUAGACAAAGAUUGGUAAAAUUUUGACUAUUUGAUUGCUUGCAAGGUAGAAUUAUGCCAAAUUUUAUUGCUCUACAAAAAUCAUUGAGUAAUUCGAGAAAACAUUGAAAAACAUGUAAAAGAUUAUGUUCAGUAGACUGUAUUUUCGUCCAAAAUUAAAUAUUCCAACGUUUCAACUACUUUAUGAUAAUUAUUUGACUAUUUCAAGAUAUCCAAUUUACUAAAGACUAGAUAUAUAUUUUAAGAAAUAUACAGUUCCCAUCUAGUUUGAGUAAUAUACCAAAAGAUUUGCGAAUCUAUAAAAGGUUGAUGGUUCAAAUUUGUGGUAUUGUGGUUCAAAAGAAAAUCUUUCCAAAAUAAUUUCAAUAUCUACGAUGCAUGCAGUUUUCGAGUGCCUUAGUUUUUUCAUUAUACGUAAAAAACAACAGCUAUAAGUGCUGGUUUCGAAGGGGUCACUAGUUUGGUUAGUUUUCAACGCCAACUACAUCCCUUAUCUACAAAAUCUGAUUAUUUGUCAAUUCUUUAAAAUGACACAAAAUGAUAAAUCCAAUGGUAUGGUCCCCAAAAUGUUUUCACAAAGGCACAAAGUUAAAUUCAAAGACGUCUCAUAAAUUUUUCCAAUCUCUGUUUUUUAUAAUACAAUAUCAAAAGAACAACUUACAAAAGAAUCUUAAAUGGAAUAUUAAGGCAGAAGUUUGCCCAUUGCACAACAUUCAAGGCAAAGGUUAUUUUGAAAGUGUCCUAAUUAACGUAGCACACGUUCCCCAGGUUGUAUUCCUUAAAAAGAAAUCAGUAAAUUCGCUUCUAAUUUGAGUAUUCAAAUAAAAGAUUCAAAAGUACUUUAACCCGUACCUUUUUGAAUAUUUAUACGAAGAGUUUUGUAUACAAUUGCACUGCCCGUUUUUUUUAAUACGAUAUCAAAAAAAAUACAACAAAAAUCUAAAAUGACACACUAAUACAAAGGUUUGACAAUUUUAUAAUGUCGAAGGUGUAGGUUAUUUCGAAGGUAAAAUUACGGUAGAAUUAUUUCGUAAUUUGAGAAAACAUUGAAGAACAUGUAAAAUAUUAUGUUCAGAAGACUGUAUUUUCGUCCAAAAUUAAAUAUUCCAACGUUUCAACUACUUUAUGAUAAUUAUUUGAUUAUUUCAAGAUAUCCAAUUUACUAAAGACUAGAUAUAAUCUAAGAAAUAUACAGUUCCCAUCUAGUUUGAGUAAUAUACCAAAAUACUUGCGAAUCUAUAAAAGGUUGAUGGUUAAAAUUUGUGGUAUUGUGGUCCAAAAGGAAAUCUUUCCAAAAUAAUUUCAAUAUCUACGAUGCAUGCAUUUUUCGAAUGCCUUAGUUUUUUCAUUCUACGUAAAAAAUAACAGCUAUAAGUGCUGGUUUCGAAGGGGUCACUAGUUUGGUUAGUUUUCAACGCCAACUACAUCCCUCAUCUACAAAAUCUGAUUAUUUGUCAAUUCUUUAAAAUGACACAAUAUGAUAAAUCCAAUGGUAUGGUCCCCAAAAUGUUUUCACAAUGGCACAAAGUUAAAUUCAAAUACGUUUCAUAAAUUUUUUCCAAUCUCUGUUUUUUAUAAUACAAUAUCAAAAGGACAACUUACAAAAGAAUCUUAAAUGGUAUAUUAAGGCAGAAGUUUGCCCAUUGCACAACAUUCAAGGCAAAUGUUAUUUUGAAAGUGUCCUAAUUAAGCUAGAACACGUUCCCCAGGUUUUAUUUCUUAAAAAAAUCAGUAAAUUCGCUUCUAAUUUGGGUAUUCAAAUAAAAGAUUCAAAAGUACUUUAACCUGUACCUUUUUGAAUAUUUAUACGAAGAGUUUUGUAUACAAUUGCACUGCCUUUUUUAAUACGAUAUCAAAAAAAAUACAACAAAAAUCUAAAAUGAUACACUAAUACAAAGGUUUGACAAUUUUAUAAUGUCUAAGGUGUAGGUUAUUUCGAAGGUAAAAUUACGGUAGAGUUAUUUCGACCCUACGUUUCCAAAAAGUUAUAUUUUUCCAAGAAAAAUCAAAAUUCCCCAAUCUAGGCUCUUUUUAUUUAACUAAUACAGCGAAAGCUUGAGAAAUUCAUAUGAGAUUGAUGGGUAAAGUGAUAUUCUGGUCCAAAGUAAAAUCUUCCAAAACCAUUUCAAAUACGAUGCAUAUAUUUUUGACCCCGUUUCUAAUAAAACUAUAUUGAGCAAAAACUAAAAAAUCUGGAAUGCUAGAGAAAUACAAAGGUUUGACAAUUUUAUGACAUCGAAGGUAUAGGUUAUUUCGAUGGUACAAUAAGGUAGAAUUAUUUCGACGUUACAUUUCCAAAAAAUUAUAUUUUUCCUAGAAAAAUCAAAAUGCCCAAAUGUAGAUUCUUUUUAUUUGAAUGAUACAGCGAAAGCUUGCGAAUUUUAUAUGAUAUUGAUUGGUAAAUUUGUGAUAUUCUGAUCCAAAGUAAAAUCUUCCAAAACGACGCAUAUAUUUUUGACCCCGUUUCUUAUUAAACUAUACUAAAAAAAAAACUAAAUAAAAAUCUGGAAUGAUAGAAUAACACAAAGGUUUGUCAAUUUUAUUACAUCGAAGGUAUAGAUUAUUUCGAAGAUACAAUAAGGUAGAAUUCUUUCGACGCUACGUUUUUCAAAAAGUUAUAUUCCUCUAAGAAAAAUCAAAAUUCAUCAAAGUAGACUUUUUUAUAUACAGCGAAAGCUUGCGAAAUUUUAAAAUUGUUGCUUAAGUUUCUGGUAUUCUUGUCCAAAAUGAAAUAUUCCACAAAAAAUUUCAACACCAUGCACAUAAUAUAUCUUCUAUUUUGAAAACAUCUAAGGUAUUUCCAUGCCACCUUUUACAAAACGUGUGUUAUUAUACUUGAAAUUAUACUUGAAAAUUGACAGCUAUAAGUGCUGGUUUCGAAGGGGUCACUAGUUUGGUUAGUUUUCAACGCCAACUACAUCCCUCGUCUACAAAACUAAUAAUUGUCUAUUCUUUAAAAUUCAAUGUUUUUAUGUGAAAUAAUGAUAAAAAAAAGUAUAAGUUCUUAUAUUUAUCGUAGAUUUCUGAUUACAAAUUUAGAAUAUGUAAACAUUAAUUACCAAAAACUCUCGUUCAAAUAGCAUCCAUUUUACGAAAUGAUGAUCUUACCAAAAGUGCCUUAUUACUUAUUGAUUAAAUAUAUACAUAUAAAAAAUAUGCACCCAAUAAAAAAUGCAUUACCAUUCAAUGGUAAUGUUUUGAUGGCUUGUAGAAGAGUACAUAAAAUAAUACCUUUCAGAUACCCACCGUAUUAUAAAGCAAAAUAUUUUAUUAACUAUAUAUGGGACAAUUUUGUUAAAAUAAUUCGGUAAAAUCGAAUCCAAAGACAUAUUUAACAAAUACAUACAAUAAUAUUCUAUAUUCUAUAUCAACAAAAUAUCGAGUCACUUUAAGCGAAGACUUAGCUAUUUGACUACAUUCUUCUAAAAUAUAUUGCUUCAAGAAAAAUCCAAUAUUUUUUAUAAAUAAUAUAUUUUUACAAAAAAUCUACAAAAAUCUUAAAUGAUGAUAUAUUAAUACAAUAGUUUAACACGAUUUGAUAAAAAUGAACAUUGUUAACAGUGCAAGAUUUACAAAAUAUAUAAAAAAUUGUUAUUUAAAUUUUUUUUUCUAUUUACAUUGAAAAUGAAAAGUUUUACGCAAUAAUUCAAAUAUAACAAAUACAUUUUACUGAUACUACCUAUUUUACAUAAUUCUUCGAAAAUCUAAUAUGAUAACUGUUUUUCAUGAUUUGUAGUAAGAUUAUCGACCUCUCUAUAAUCAACCAUACAAGUUUGAACUAGAUAUUGCCCACCUCAUAUAAAGCACAAACAUUUUUAGAGUUAUGUAAGUAGAUAUACAACAGUCUUUUUAUUACUGAAUCCUUGCUUUUCUCCUUUGUCUUUACAGCAAAGUCAUAAUUUUCUGUAUAAAGUAUACUAGUUUUCGCUUAAAAUGAUUCAAAAAACUUGUCAUUUUGUACAAUUUAGAUUUUUUUUAUUUUAUAAGUCGUUUGUUUAUUCGAUGGCCAGUUCCUUUUGGUAUUUUUCUGAUAAUAAAUCGAAAAAUCUCCACUCUUCCUUUUUCGAUGUAUCUUUUUUAGUAAAAUAACUUCCUAAAUUAGGUAUGUGUUCUCUGGUCUACAUUAUGUUAUUUCUUCUUCUUCUUCUUCUUUUAUAUAGGCAGUACUGCCUGUUUUUCUUCAACGGUGCCUUUCAUUCUGCCCCUAAGUUGUCAUUCCAUCUUUUCCUUGGGCGUCCUAUACUUCUCCUGCCUAACGGUGACUUGUCCCUGGCUAUUCUUACUACAAGGAUAGUAAGAAUUAUGUUAUUUAAGAGUGUAAAAAACAUACAGUAAUGAUUAAUUAAUAUCAUCAUUAGUGAUUUUAUAACCAUAAUUUCUUCUAGUUUGAUUUAUUUAACUUGACAUUAAAAUGAAGUUAUUUAUUUUUGUUAUUUUUUAUCUGAUUUUGUUUUUUUAUUGUUCCUUGAAGAGGUUUUGCGAGUACGGCCAUCGUAGCCAUUAGGUUAAGUUCUUCUUAUCGACGACAAACAUGCGCAAGAAGUGUAGAUCGAAAUAUUCGCGAUUAGAUUCUUCAGAUAUAGCAAUAAUAACAUCCAAUGCUAAGGGCGCAUGCAACGAAGCUUUUUCUGCCGGAAAGCUUGGCCGAUUUGAGGAACAAUUUUUUCAAAUUUUUAGUUAUAUCAUUUUUUAGUUUAAUUUCAAUUCAAUUCUACUACCACGUAAAACUUACCAUUUUUUACAAGCCAUAUACGAGUGUUAUAAAAUGUGUUCUUCUUUCAUUUUACUAUUUUUUAUGGUAUAACAUCGUCGGUACUGAAUAUUUUUUACACUCAUAAAUAUCAGUAGGCCUAUAUUGUAGCUGUGGUAUAUUUUCAGUUUGACUAUGCUUUAUUUGUAGUGGGUGUAAAUAUAACAACGUCCAAAUAAUAUAACUUUUAUUAAUUCGAUGCUACUUUUAUAUAUUUUUCAAUAUUAACAUUUGCUUUAAAAAGAAUUAGUUAUUUAAAUUUAAAAGUACAGAAUAAUAUAUUAAGGCAAUUCUUCUGUCUAUACCAAUAAAAUCAAAGGCACUAUUAAUUCGACUAUAUCUACAUUUUCCUUUUUUAAAUUGAUUGCUAAAUUUUGUUGUAAUUUUAAAUCUGGCUAAAAUGCAUAAUUUUAAUUUCGUCCAUUUUGUAUAAAUAAUAGGUACUAGUAAUAAAAAAAUUCUAAAAUUUUUAAUUAAUACGUUUGACAAAUUUUUGAUUAUUUGAAGACAUCUAAUGUAGACCUAUUUCCUCGCUAGAUUAGCAAAACUAUACUUCUAUAAACAAAACCCAAAAGGUUUUUUUACAUCAAUAAUACAUCUAAAGGCUUGGGUAAUUCAUAAACGAAUGAUUGUUAUAACGUUUAAAAUACAAUGCCUACAUUUUUAAUCCCCAUUUCUUAUAACACCAUUAAGGAAAACUACAAAAAUUUUUAAAUGAUACAUAAAUACAAAAGUUUAACAAUUUUAUAACGACAAAGGUUCUGAUUAUUUCGAAGGUAAAAUAAGAUAACAUUAUUUCGACGCCACGCUCCCAAAAGUUAAUUUCUCUAAGAAUAAUCAAAAAGCCUCAAGGUAUACUCUACUUUAAUGAUACAGCGAAAGCUUGGAAAAUUCGUAAAAGGUUAAUUAUUGGUUUUGUGAUAUUCUGGUCCAAAGUGAAACAUCCCAAAAACAUUUCAAAUAUGACGCAUACAUUUUUUACUUCCCGUUUCUUAUAAUACUAUACAGAAAAAACUACAAAAUAUCUUAAAUAAUACAUUAAUGCAGCAAACAGUUUGGCAACUAUAUAACAUCGAAUGUAUAGAUUAUUUCAACUUUACAAUAAGGUAGAAUUAUUUCAAUGGUACAUUUUCCAAAAAGUUACAUCUCUCCUAGAAAAAUCAAAAAGUCGCAAUGUAAAUUCUUGUUAUUUUAACAAAACAGCGAAAGCUGGCAAACAUAAUAAAAUAUUGGUAAAUUUGUGCUAUUCUGGUCCAACGUGAAAUCUUCCAAAAAUAUUAUAUAAUACUACCAACUACAUAUAUAAAUAAUUAGUACAAACGUUUGACAAUUUUAUAACAUCGCAGGUAUAGAUUAUAUCAAAGACAAAAUAAGGUAGAACUAUAUCGAGGCUACGUUUCCAAACUGUGACAAAAAAUCUUAAAUGAUUCAUUACCACAAAGAUUUGACAAUUUUAUAGCAUUGAAGGUGCAAUAAGGUAGAAUUAUAUCGACGCUACGUUUUCAAAAAACAACAAAAAAUCUUAAAUGAUACAUUAAUACAAAGGUUUGACUAUAACAUCGAAGGUAAAAAUUAUUUCAAAGGUUCAAGAAGCUAAAAAUUAUUUCUACGCUACGUUUUCAAAAAACUACAAAAAAUCUUAAAUGAUAAUUCUUACAAAGGUUUGCUAAUUUUAUAACGUCAAAGGUAUGGAUUAUUUCAAAGGUACAACAAGGUAGAAUUAUUUCGACGCUACGUUUUCAAAAAACUACAAAAAAUCUUAAAUAAUACAUUAAUACAAAGGUUUGACUAUAACAUCGAAGGUAAAGAUUAUUUCAAAGGUUUAUUUCAAAAUCCUUAAAUUAAUACAAAGGUUUGACAAUUUGAUAACAUCGAACGUAUAUAUAGAUUGUAUCAAGGGUACAAUAAGGUAGAAUUAUUUUGACGUACGUUUCCAAAAAACUACAAAAAAUCUUAAAUAAUACAUUAUUUCGAAGGUACAAUAAGGUAGAAUUAUUUCGACGCUAUGUUUUCAAAAAACUACAAAAAAUAUUAAAUGGUACCUACAUUCUUACAAAGGUUUGACAAAUUUAUAACAUCGAAGAUAUAGAUUAUUUCAAAGGUUCAAUUUCGACGCUACAUUUCCAAAAAACUACAAAAAAUCUUAAAUAGUACAUUAUUACAAAGGUUUGACAAUUUUAUAACAUUGAAGGUAUAGAUUAUUUUAAUGGUUCAAUUUCGACGCUACAUUUCCAAAAAACUAAAAAAAAUCUUAAAUGGUACAUUAUUACAAAGGUUUGACAAUUUUGUAACAUUGAAGGUAUAGAUUAUUUUAAUGGUUUAAUUUCGAGGCUACAUUUCCAAAAAACUACAAAAAAUCUUAAAUAAUACAUUAUUACAAAGGUUUGAUAAUUUUAUAACAUCGAAGCUAAAAUUAUUUCGAAGGAACAAUCAGGUAGAAUUAUUUCUUAUUUUGUUAACACCGAAGUUAUGGAUUAUUUCAAAGGUACAAUAUGUUAGAAUUAUUUCGACGCUAUGUUUUCAAAAAACUACAAAAAAAAUUAAAUGGUACCUACAUUAUUACAAAGGUUUGACAAAUUUAUAACAUCGAAGAUACAGAUUAUUUCAAAGGUUCAAUUUCGACGCUACAUUUCCAAAAAACUACAAAAAAUCUUAAAUGGUACAUUAUUACAAAGGUUUGACAAUUUUAUAACAUUGAAGGUAUAGAUUAUUUUAAUGGUUCAAUUUCGACGCUACAUUUCCAAAAAACUACAAAAAAUCUUGAAUGAUACAUUAUUACAAAGGUUUGAUAAUUUUAUAACAUCGAAGCUAAAAUUAUUUCAAAGCAACAAUCAGGUGGAAUUAUUUCUUAUUUUUCAACACCGAAGGUAUGGAUUAUUUCAAAGGUACAAUAUGUUAGAAUUAUUUCGACGCUAUGUUUUCAAAAAACUACAAAAAAUAUUAAAUGGUACCUACAUUAUUACAAAGGUUUGACAAAUUUAUAACAUCGAAGAUAUAGAUUAUUUCAAAGGUUCAAUUUCGACGCUACAUUUCCAAAAAACUACAAAAAAUCUUAAAUGGUACAUUAUUACAAAGGUUUGACAAUUUUAUAACAUUGAAGGUAUAGAUUAUUUUAAUGGUUCAAUUUCGACGCUACAUUUCCAAAAAACUACAAAAAAUCUUAAAUGAUACAUUAUUACAAAGGUUUGAUAAUUUUAUAACAUCGAAGCUAAAAUUAUUUCAAAGGAACAAUCAGGUAGAAUUAUUUCUUGUUUUUUAACACCGAAGGUAUGGAUUAUUUCAAAGGUACAAUAGGUUAGAAUUAUUUCGACGCUAUGUUUUCAAAAAACUACAAAAAAUAUUAAAUGGUACCUACCUUAUUACAAAGGUUUGACAAAUUUAUAACAUCGAAGACAUAGAUUAUUUCAAAGGUUCAAUUUCGACGCUACAUUUCCAAAAAAUCUACAAAAAAUCUUAAAUGAUACAUUAUUACAAAAGUUUGAUAAUUUUAUAACAUCAAAGGUAUGGAUUAUUUCAAAGGUGCAAUAAGGUAGAAUUAUCUCGACCCUACGUUUUCAAAAAACUACAAAAACUAUUAAAUGGUAAAUUAAUACAAAUGUUAGGCAAUUUUAUAACAUCGAAGGUAUGGAUGGAUUUUAUUUCAAUGGUAAAAUAAGUUAGAAUUAUUUUGACGCUGAGUUUUCAAAAAAAUUACAAGAAAUAUUAAAUGGUACAUUAAUACAAAGGUUUGGCAAUUUUUUACGUUUCCAAAAAAUUACAAAAAUUCUUAAAUGAUACAUUAUUACAAAGGUUUGAUUAUAACAUCGAAAGUAAAAGUUAUUUUAAAGGUUCAAGAAGGUAGAAUUAUUUCGACGCUACGUUUUCAAAAAACAAAAAAAAAUGUUAAAUGAUACAUUAAUACAAAGGUUUGACAAAUUGAUAACAUCGAACGUAUAGACAGAUUAUAUCAAAGGUAGAAUUAUUUUGACGCUACGUUUUCAAAAAACUACAAAAAAUCUUAAAGGAUACAUUAAUACAAAGGUUUGACAAUUUUAUAGCAUUGAAAGUGCAAUAGGUUUGAUUUGACAAUCGACGCUACGUUUUCAAAAAACUACAAAAAUCUUAAAUGAUACAUUAAUACAAAGGUUUGAUUAUAACAUCGAAGGUAAAGGUUAUUUUAAAGGUUCAAGAAGGUAGAAUUAUUUCGACGCUACGUUUCCAAAAGACUACAAAAAUUCUUAAAUAAUACAAUAUUACAAAGGUUUGACUAUAACAUCGAAGGUAAAGAUUAUUUCAAACGUUCAAGAAGGUAAAAUUAUUUCGAAGCUACGUUUUCAAAAAACUACAAAAAAUCUUAAAUGAUACAUUAAUACAAAGGUUUGAUUAUAACAUCGAAGGUAAAGGUUAUUUUAAAGGUUCAAGAAGGUAGAAUUAUUUCGACGCUACGUUUCCAAAAGACUACAAAAAUUCUUAAAUAAUACAAUAUUACAAAGGUUUGACUAUAACAUCGAAGGUAAAGAUUAUUUCAAACGUUCAAGAAGCUAGAAUUAUUUCGACACUACGUUUUCAAAAAACUGCAAAAAAUCUUAAAUGAUACAUUAAUACAAAGGUUUGAUUAUAACAUCGAAGGUAAAGGUUAUUUUAAAGGUUCAAGAAGGCAGAAUUAUUUCGACGCUACGUUUUCAAAAAACUACAAAAAAUCUUAAAUGAUACAUUAAUACAAAGGUUUGACACUUUUUUAACAUCGAAGGUAUAGAGUAUAGAUUAUUUCAAUGAUACAUUAAGGUAGGAUUAUUUCGACGCGACGAUUCCAAAAAACUACAAAAAAUCUUAAAUAAUACAUUGAUAUAAAGGUUUGACUAUAACAUCGCAGGUAAAGAUUAUUUCAAAGGUUCAAGAAGGUAGAAUUAUUUCGACGCUACGUUUUCAAAAAACUACAAAAAAUCUUAAAUGAUACAUCAUUACAAAAGUUUCACAAUUUUCGAGCAUCGAAGAUAUAGAUUAUUUCAAAGGUUCAAUAAGGUAUAAUUAUUUCGACGCUACGUUUCCAAAAGACUACAAAAAUUCUUAAAUAAUACAAUAUUACAAAGGUUUGACUAUAACAUCGAAGGUAAAGAUUAUUUCAAACGUUCAAGAAGGUAGAAUUAUUUCGACGCUACGUUUUGAAAAAACUACAAAAAAUCUUAAAUGAUACAUUAAUACAAAGGUUUGGAUAUAACAUGGAAGGUAAAGGUUAUUUUAAAGGUUUAAGAAGGUAGAAUUAUUUCCACGCUACGUUUUCAAAAACUACAAAAAAUCUUACAUGACACAUUAUUACAAAGGUUUUACAAUUUUAUAGCAUCGAAGGUAUAGAUUAUUUCAAAGAUACAAUAAGGUAGAAUUAUUUCGACGCUACGAUUCCAAAAAACUAUAAAAAGUCUUAAAUAAUACAUUAAUACAAAGGUUUGACAAUGUUAUAGCAUUGAAGGUGCAAUAGGGUAUAAUUAUUUCGACGUUACGUUUUCAAAAAACUACAAAAAAUCUUAAAUGAUACAUUAAUACAAAGGUUUGAUUAUAACAUCGAAGGUAAAGGUUAUUUUAAAGGUUCAAGAAGGUAGAAUUAUUUCGACGCUACGUUUCCAAAAGACUACAAAAAUUCUUAAAUAAUACAAUAUUACAAAGGUUUGACUAUAACAUCGAAGGUAAAGAUUAUUUCAAACGUUCAAGAAGCUAGAAUUAUUUCGACGCUACGUUUUCAAAAAACUACAAAAAAUCUUAAAUGAUACAUUAAUACAAAGGUUUGAUUAUAACAUCGAAGGUAAAGGUUAUUUUAAAGGUUCAAGAAGGCAGAAUUAUUUCGACGCUACGUUUUCAAAAAAUACAAAAAAUCUUAAAUGAUACAUUAAUACAAAGGUUUGACAUUUUUAUAACAUCGAAGGUAUAGAGUAUAGAUUAUUUCAAUGAUACAUUAAGGUACGAUUAUUUCGACGCGACGAUUCCAAAAAACUACAAAAAAUCUUAAAUAAUACAUUGAUAUAAAGGUUUGACUAUAACAUCGCAGGUAAAGAUUAUUUCAAAGGUUCAAGAAGGUAGAAUUAUUUCGACGCUACGUUUUCAAAAAACUACAAAAAAUCUUAAAUGAUACAUCAUUACAAAAGUUUCACAAUUUUAGAGCAUCGAAGAUAUAGAUUAUUUCAAAGGUUCAAUAAGGUAUAAUUAUUUCGACGCUACGUUUCCAAAAGACUACAAAAAUUCUUAAAUAAUACAAUAUUACAAAGGUUUGACUAUAACAUCGAAGGUAAAGAUUAUUUAAAACGUUCAAAAAGGUAGAAUUAUUUCGACGCUACGUUUUCAAAAAACUACAAAAAAUCUUAAAUAAUACAUUAAUACAAAGGUUUGACAAUGUUAUAGCAUUGAAGGUGCAAUAGGGUAUAAUUAUUUCGACGUUACGUUUUCAAAAAACUACAAAAAAUCUUAAAUGAUACAUUAAUACAAAGUUUUGAUUAUAACAUCGAAGGUAAAGGUUAUUUUAAAGGUUCAAGAAGGUAGAACUAUUUCGACGCUACGUUUUCAAAAAACAAAAAAAAAUGUUAAAUGAUACAUUAAUACAAAGGUUUGACAAAUUGAUAACAUCGAACGUAUAGACAGAUAUAUCAAAGGUAGAAUAAGGUAGAAUUAUUUUGACGCUACGUUUUCAAAACGCUACAAAAAAUGUUAAAAGAUACAUUAUUACAAAGGUUUCACAAUUUUAUAGCAUCGAAGAUAUAGAUUAUUUCAAAGGCUCAAUAAGGUAGAAUUAUUUCGACGCUACGUUUUCAAAAAACUACAAACAUUCUUAAAUAAUAUAAUAUUACAAAGGUUUGACUGUAACAUCGAAGGUAAAGAUUAUUUCAAACGUUCAAGAAGGUAGAAUUAUUUCGACGCUACGUUUUCAAAAAAUACAAAAAAUCUUAACUGAUACAUUAAUACAAAGGUUUGACUGUAACAUCGAAGGUAAAGAUUAUUUCAAACGUUCAAGAAAGUAGAAUUAUUUCGACGCUACGUUUUCAAAAAACUACAAAAAAUCUUAAAUUAUACCUACAUUGCUAUAAAGGUUUGACUAUAACAUCGAAGGUAAAGAUUAUUUCAAAUGUUAAAGAAGGUAGAAUUAUUUCGACGCUACGUUUUAAAAAAUCUUAAAUGAUACAUUAAUACAAAGGUUUGAAACUUUUAUAACAUCGAAGGUAUAGAUUAUUUCAAAGAUACAAUAAAGUAGGAUUAUUUCGACGCGACGAUUCCAAAAAACUACAAAAAAUCUUAAAUAAUACAUUGAUAUAAAGGUUUGACUAUAACAUCGCAGGUAAAGAUUAUUUCAAAGGUUCAAGAAGGUAGAAUUAUUUCGACGCUACGUUGUCAAAAAACUACAAAAAAUCUUAAAUGGCACAUUAUUACAAAGGUUUCACAAUUUUAUAGCAUUGAAGGUGCAAUAGGGUAGAAUUAUUUCGGCGCUACGUCUUCAAAAAACUACAAAAAAUCUUAAAUAAUACAUUAAUACAAAAGUUUGAUUAUAACAUCGAAGGUAAAGGUUAUUUUAAAGGUUCAAGAAGGUAGAAUUAUUUCGACGCUACGUUUUCAAAAGACUACAAAAAAAUCUUAAAUGAUACAUUAAUACAAAGGUUUGACAAGGUACAAAACUUUUGCACAUUUCAGGUGUAGAAUAUUUCGAUGGUACAAUAAGGUAAAGCUAUCUCAACAAUACGAUUCCAAAAAGUUACAUUUCACUAUGAAAAAUCAAAAGAUCCAAACUUGAAUAAUUUCUUCGCUAGAUUCCCAACGCUGUAUUUGUCUAAGCAAAACCUAAAAUGUAAAUUUUUUUUUCAAUGCUACAAAGAAGGCCUGCAAUAUUUCUGGUACAAAUUGAAAUAUCCCAAAAACAUUUCAAAUACGACGGCAUACAUUGAUAACUCCCCGUUUCUUAUAAAACUAUAUCAAGCGAAAACUACAAAAAAUCUUAAAUGAUACAUUAAUACAAAUGUUUGACAAUUUUUGCACAUUGAAGGUGUAGGUUACUUCGAAGGUACAAUAAGGUAGAACUAUUUCAACACUACGAUUCCAAAAAGUUACAUUUCUCCAUAAAAAAUCAAAAGAUCCAAACUUGAACAAUUUCUUCGCUAGAUUCCCAAAGCUAUAUUUGUCUAAGCAAAACCUAAAAGGUAAAUUUUUUUUCAAUGCUACAAGGAAAGCUUGCAAUAUUUCUGGUACAAAAAGAAAUCUUCCAAAAACAUUUCAAAUACGACGCAUACCUUGUUUACUCCCCGUUUCUUAUAUAUCUAUAUCAAGAAAAAACUACAAUAAAUCUUAAAUGAUACAUUAAUACAAAGGUUUGACAAUUUUUUCACAUUGAAGGUGUCGAUUAUUUCGAAGGUACAAUAAGCUAGAACUAUUUCAACACUACGAUUCCAAAAAGUUACAUUUCUCCAUGAAAAAUCAAAAGAUCCAAACUUGAAUAAUUUCUUCGCUAGUUUCCCAAAGCUAUAUUGGUCUAAGCAAAACCUAAAAGGUAAAUCAUUGUUCAAUGCUACAACGAAAGCUUGCAAUAUUACUGAUACAAAGUGAAAUCUCCCAAAAACAUUUCAAAUACGACGCAUAUAUUUUUUACUCCCCGUUUCUUAUAAAACUAUAUCAAGAAAAAACUACAGAAAAUCUUAAAUGAUAGAUUAAUAUAAAGGUUUGACAAUUUUUUCAAAUUGAAGGUGUCGAUUAUUUCGAAGGUACAAUAAGGUAGAACUAUUUCAACACUACGAUUCCAAAAAGUUAUAUUUCUCUAUGAAAAAUCAAAAGGUCCAAAUUUGAAUAAUGUCUCGCUAGAUUCUCAAAGCUAUAUUUGCUCAAGCAAAACCGAAAAGUCUAUUUUUAUUUGAAUGAUACAAAGAAAGCUUGCAAAAUUUCUGGUUGAAACUGAAAUCUCCCAACAACAUUUCAAAUACGACGCAUACAUUUUUUAGUCCCCGUUUCUUAUAAAUCUAUAUCAAGAAAAAACUACAAUAAAUCUUAAAUGAUACAUUAAUACAAAGGUUUGACAAUUUUUUCACAUUGAAGGGGUCGAUUAUUUCGAAGGUACAAUAAGGUAGAACUAUUUCAACACUACGAUUCCAAAAAGUUACAUUUCUCCAUGAAAAAUCAAAAGAUCCAAACUUGAAUAAUUUCUUCGCUAGAUUCCCAAAGCUAUAUUGGUCUAAGCAAAACCUAAAAGGUAAAAUUUGUUUUCAAUGCUACAACGAAAGCUUGCAAUAUUUCUGGUACAAAGUGAAAUCUCCCAAAAACAUUUCAAAUACGACGCAUAUAUUUUUUACUACCCGUUUCUUAUAAAUCUAUAUCAAGAAAAAACUACAAUAAAUCUUAAAUGAUACAUUAAUACAAAGGUUUGACAAUUUUUUCACAUUGAAGGGGUCGAUUAUUUCGAAGGUACAAUAAGGUAGAACUAUUUCAACACUACGAUUCCAAAAAGUUACAUUUCUCCAUGAAAAAUCAAAAGUCCAAACUUGAAUAAUUUCUUCGCUAUUUUCCCAAAGCUAUAUUGGUCUAAGCAAAACCUAAAAGGUAAAUCAUUGUUCAAUGCUACAACGAAAGCUUGCAAUAUUACUGGUACAAAGUGAAAUCUCCCACAAGCAUUUCAAAUACGACGCUUACAUUGUUUACUCCCCGUUUCUUAUAAAACUAUAUCGGGAAAAAACUACAAUAAAUCUUAAAUGAUAUAUUAAUACAAAGGUUUGACAAUUUUUGCAUAUUGAAGGUGUAGAUUAUUUCGAAGGUACAAUAAGGUAGAACUAUUUCAACACUACGAUUCCAAAAAGUUAUAUUUCUCUAUGAAAAAUCAAAAGGUCCAAAUUUGAAUAAUGUGUCGCUAGAUUCUCAAAGCUAUAUUUGUUCAAGCAAAACCGAAAAGUCUAUUUUUAUUUGAAUGAUACAAAGAAAGCUUGCAAAAUUUCUGGUUGAAACUGAAAUCUCCCAACAACAUUUCAAAUACGACGCAUACAUUUUUUACUCCCCGUUUCUUAUAAAUCUAUAUCAACAAAAAACUACAAUAAAUCUUAAAUGAUACAUUAAUACAAAGGUUUGACAAUUUUUUCAGAUUGAAGGUGUCGAUUAUUUCGAAGGUACAAUAAGGUAGAACUAUUUCAACACUACGAUUCCAAAAAGUUACAUUUCUCCAUAAAAAAUCAAAAGAUCCAAACUUGAAUAAUUUCUUCGCUAGAUUCCCAAAGCUAUAUUUGUCUAAGCAAAACCUAAAAGGUAAAUUUUUUUUCAAUGCUACAAGGAAACCUUGCAAUAUUUCUGGUACAAAAAGAAAUCUUCCAAAAACAUUUCAAAUACUACGCAUACAUUAUUUACUCCCCGUUUCUUAUAAAACUAUAUCAAGAAAAAACUACAAUAAAUCUUAAAUGAUACAUUAAUACAAAUGUUUGACAAUUUUUGCACAUUGAAGGUGUAGGUUACUUCGAAGGUACAAUAAGGUAGAACUAUUUCAGCACUACGAUUCCAAAAAGUUACAUUUCUCUAUGAAAAAUCAAAAGAUCCAAACUUGAAUAAUUUCUUCGCUAGAUUCCCAAAGCUAUAUUUGUCUAAACAAACCCUAAAAGGUAAAUUUUUUUUCAAUGCUACAACGAAGGCUUGCAAUAUUUCUGGUACAAAGUGAAAGCUCCCAAAAACAUUUCAAAUACGACGCAUAUAUUUUUUACUCCCCGUUUCUUAUAAAACUAUAUCAAGAAAAAACUACAAAAAAUCUUAAAUGAUAGGUUAAUAUAAAGGUUUGACAAUUUUUUCACAUUGAUGGUGUCGAUUAUUUCGAAGGUACAAUAAGGUAGAACUAUUUCAACACUACGAUUCCAAAAAGUUACAUUUCUCCAUGAAAAAUCAAAAGAUCCAAACUUGAAUAAUUUCUUCGCUAGAUUCCAAAGCUAUAUUGGUCUAAGCAAAACCUAAAAGGUAACUCAUUUUUCAAUGCUACAACGAAGGCUUGCAAUAUUUCUGGUACAAAGUGAAAGCUCCCAAAAACAUUUCAAAUACGACGCAUAUAUUUUUUACUCCCCGUUUCUUAUAAAACUAUAUCAAGAAAAAACUACAAAAAAUCUUAAAUGAUAGGUUAAUAUAAAGGUUUGACAAUUAUUUCACAUUGAAGGAGUUGAUUAUUUCGAAGGUACAAUAAGGUAGAACUAUUUCAACACUACGAUUCCAAAAAGUUACAUUUCUCCAUAAAAAAUCAAAAGAUCCAAACUUGAAUAAUUUCUUCGCUAGAUUCCCAAAGCUAUAUUUGUCUAAGCAAAACCUAAAAGGUAAAUUUUUUUUCAAUGCUACAAGGAAAGCUUGCAAUAUUUCUGGUACAAAGUGAAAUCUUCCAAAAACAUUUCAAAUACGACGCAUACCUUGUUUACUCACCGUUUCUUAUAAAACUAUAUCAAGAAAAAACUACAAUAAAUCUUAAAUGAUACAUUAGUACAAAGGUUUGACAAUUUUUUCACAUUGAAGGAGUAGAAUAUUUCGAAGGUACAAAAAGGUACAAUGAUUUCAACACUACGAUUCCAAAAAGUUAUAUUCCUCUAUGAAAAAUCAAAAGAUCCAAACUUGAGUAAUUUCUUCGCUAGAUUCCCAAAGCUAUAUUUGUCUAAGCAAAUCCUAAAAGGUAAUUUUGUUUCAAUGCUACAAGGAAAGCUUGCAAUAUUUCUGGUACAAAAGAAAUCUUCCAAAAACAUUUCAAAUACGACGCAUACAUUGUUUACUCCCCGUUUCUUAUAAAACUAUAUCAAGAAAAAACUACAAUAAAUAUUAAAUGAUACAUUAUUACACAGGUUUGACAAUUUUUGCACAUUGAAGGUGUAGAUUAUUUCGAAGGUACAAUAAGGUAGAACUAUUUCAACACUACGAUUCCAAAAAGUUACAUUCCUCUAUGCAAAAUCAAAAGAUCCAAACUUGAAUAAUUUCUUCGCUAGUUUCCCAAAGCUAUAUUGGUCUAAGCAAAACCUAAAAGGUAAAUCAUUGUUCAAUGCUACAACGACAGCUUGCAAUAUUACUGGUACAAAGUGAUAUCUCCCAAAAACAUUUCAAAUACGACGCAUAUAUUUUUUACUCCCCGUUUCUUAUAAAACUAUAUCAAGAAAAAAUUACAAAAAAUCUUAAAUGAUAGGUUAAUAUAAAGGUUUGACAAUUUUUUCACAUUGAAGGUGUCGAUUAUUUGGAAGGUACAAUAAGGUAGAACUAUUUCAACACUACGAUUCCAAAAAGUUACAUUUCUCCAUGAAAAAUCAAAAGAUCCAAACUUGAAUAAUUUCUUCGCUAGAUUCCAAAGCUAUAUUGGUCUAAGCAAAACCUAAAAGAUAACUCAUUUUUCAAUGCUACAACGAAAGCUUGCAAUAUUUCUGGUACAAAUUGAAAUCUCCCAAAAACAUUUCAAACACGACGCAUAUAUUUUUUACUCCCCGUUUCUUAUAAAACUAUAUCAAGAAAAAACUACAAAAAAUCUUAAAUGAUAGGUUAAUAUAAAGGUUUGACAAUUUUUUCACAUUGAAGGUGUCGAUUAUUUCGAAGGUACAAUAAGGUAGAACUAUUUCAACACUACGAUUCCAAAAAGUUACAUUUCUCCAUAAAAAAUCUAAAGAUCCAAACUUGAAUAAUUUCUUCGCUAGAUUCCCAAAGCUAUAUUUGUGUAAGCAAACCCUAAAAGGUAAAUUUUUUUUCAAUGCCCCAAGGAAAGCUUGCUAUAUUUCUGGUACAAAGUGAAAUCUUCAAAAAACAUUUCAAAUACGACGCAUACAUUAUUUACUCCCCGUUUCUUAUAAAACUAUAUCAAGAAAAAACUACAAUAAAUCUUAAAUGAUACAUUAAUACAAAGGUUUGACAAUUUUUUCACAUUGAAGGUGUCGAUUAUUUCGAAGGAACAAUAAGCUAGAACUAUUUCAACACUACGAUUCCAAAAAGCUACAUUUCUCCAUGAAAAAUCAAAAGAUCCAAACUUGAAUAAUUUCUAAAAGUUUCCCAAAGCUAUAUUGGUCUAAGCAAAACCUAAAAGGUAAAUCAUUGUUCAAUGCUACAACGAAAGCUUGCAAUAUUACUGAUAAAAAGUGAAAUCUCCCAAAAACAUUUCAAAUACGACGCAUAUAUUUUUUACUCCCCGUUUCUUAUAAAACUAUAUCAAGAAAAACUACAAAAAAUCUUAAAUGAUAGAUUAAUAUAAAGGUUUGACAAUUUUUGCACAUUGAAGGUGUAGAUUAUUUCGAAGGUACAAUAAGGUAGAACUAUUUCAACACUACGAUUCCAAAAAGUUACAUUCCUCUAUGAAAAAUCAAAGGAUCCAAACUUGAAUAAUUUCUUCGCUAGUUUCCCAAAGCUAUAUUGGUCUAAGCAAAACCUAAAAGGUAAAUCAUUGUUCAAUGCUACAACGAAAGCUUGCAAUAUUACUGGUACAAAGUGAAAUCUCCCACAAGCAUUUCAAAUACGACGCUUACAUUGUUUACUCCCCGUUUCUUAUAAAACUAUAUCGGGAAAAAACUACAAUAAAUCUUAAAUGAUAUAUUAAUACAAAGGUUUGACAAUUUUUGCAUAUUGAAGGUGUAGAUUAUUUCGAAGGUACAAUAAGGUAGAACUAUUUCAACACUACGAUUCCAAAAAGUUAUAUUUCUCUAUGAAAAAUCAAAAGGUCCAAAUUUGAAUAAUGUGUCGCUAGAUUCUCAAAGCUAUAUUUGUUCAAGCAAAACCGAAAAGUCUAUUUUUAUUUGAAUGAUACAAAGAAAGCUUGCAAAAUUUCUGGUUGAAACUGAAAUCUCCCAACAACAUUUCAAAUACGACGCAUACAUUUUUUACUCCCCGUUUCUUAUAAAUCUAUAUCAACAAAAAACUACAAUAAAUCUUAAAUGAUACAUUAAUACAAAGGUUUGACAAUUUUUUCAGAUUGAAGGUGUCGAUUAUUUCGAAGGUACAAUAAGGUAGAACUAUUUCAACACUACGAUUCCAAAAAGUUACAUUUCUCCAUAAAAAAUCAAAAGAUCCAAACUUGAAUAAUUUCUUCGCUAGAUUCCCAAAGCUAUAUUUGUCUAAGCAAAACCUAAAAGGUAAAUUUUUUUUCAAUGCUACAAGGAAACCUUGCAAUAUUUCUGGUACAAAAAGAAAUCUUCCAAAAACAUUUCAAAUACGACGCAUACAUUAUUUACUCCCCGUUUCUUAUAAAACUAUAUCAAGAAAAAACUACAAUAAAUCUUAAAUGAUACAUUAAUACAAAUGUUUGACAAUUUUUGCACAUUGAAGGUGUAGGUUACUUCGAAGGUACAAUAAGGUAGAACUAUUUCAGCACUACGAUUCCAAAAAGUUACAUUUCUCUAUGAAAAAUCAAAAGAUCCAAACUUGAAUAAUUUCUUCGCUAGAUUCCCAAAGCUAUAUUUGUCUAAGCAAACCCUAAAAGGUAUAUUUUUUUUCAAUGCUACAAAGAAAGCUUGCAAUAUUUCUGGUACAAAAAGAAAUCUUCCAAAAACAUUUCAAAUACGACGCAUACAUUGUUUACUCCCCGUUUCUUAUAAAACUAUAUCAAGAAAAAACUACAAAAAAUCUUAAAUGAUAGGUUAAUAUAAAGGUUUGACAAUUUUUUCACAUUGAUGGUGUCGAUUAUUUCGAAGGUACAAUAAGGUAGAACUAUUUCAACACUACGAUUCUAAAAAGUUACAUUUCUCCAUGAAAAAUCAAAAGAUCCAAACUUGAAUAAUUUCUUCGCUAGAUUCCAAAGCUAUAUUGGUCUAAGCAAAACCUAAAAGGUAACUCAUUUUUCAAUGCUACAACGAAGGCUUGCAAUAUUUCUGGUACAAAGUGAAAGCUCCCAAAAACAUUUCAAAUACGACGCAUAUAUUUUUUACUCCCCGUUUCUUAUAAAACUAUAUCAAGAAAAAACUACAAAAAAUCUUAAAUGAUAGGUUAAUAUAAAGGUUUGACAAUUAUUUCACAUUGAAGGAGUUGAUUAUUUCGAAGGUACAAUAAGGUAGAACUAUUUCAACACUACGAUUCCAAAAAGUUACAUUUCUCCAUAAAAAAUCAAAAGAUCCAAACUUGAAUAAUUUCUUCGCUAGAUUCCCAAAGCUAUAUUUGUCUAAGCAAAACCUAAAAGGUAAAUUUUUUUUCAAUGCUACAAGGAAAGCUUGCAAUAUUUCUGGUACAAAGUGAAAUCUUCCAAAAACAUUUCAAAUACGACGCAUACCUUGUUUACUCACCGUUUCUUAUAAAACUAUAUCAAGAAAAAACUACAAUAAAUCUUAAAUGAUACAUUAGUACAAAGGUUUGACAAUUUUUUCACAUUGAAGGAGUAGAAUAUUUCGAAGGUACAAAAAGGUACAAUGAUUUCAACACUACGAUUCCAAAAAGUUAUAUUCCUCUAUGAAAAAUCAAAAGAUCCAAACUUGAGUAAUUUCUUCGCUAGAUUCCCAAAGCUAUAUUUGUCUAAGCAAAUCCUAAAAGGUAAUUUUGUUUCAAUGCUACAAGGAAAGCUUGCAAUAUUUCUGGUACAAAAGAAAUCUUCCAAAAACAUUUCAAAUACGACGCAUACAUUGUUUACUCCCCGUUUCUUAUAAAACUAUAUCAAGAAAAAACUACAAUAAAUAUUAAAUGAUACAUUAUUACACAGGUUUGACAAUUUUUGCACAUUGAAGGUGUAGAUUAUUUCGAAGGUACAAUAAGGUAGAACUAUUUCAACACUACGAUUCCAAAAAGUUACAUUCCUCUAUGCAAAAUCAAAAGAUCCAAACUUGAAUAAUUUCUUCGCUAGUUUCCCAAAGCUAUAUUGGUCUAAGCAAAACCUAAAAGGUAAAUCAUUGUUCAAUGCUACAACGACAGCUUGCAAUAUUACUGGUACAAAGUGAUAUCUCCCAAAAACAUUUCAAAUACGACGCAUAUAUUUUUUACUCCCCGUUUCUUAUAAAACUAUAUCAAGAAAAAAUUACAAAAAAUCUUAAAUGAUAGGUUAAUAUAAAGGUUUGACAAUUUUUUCACAUUGAAGGUGUCGAUUAUUUCGAAGGUACAAUAAGGUAGAACUAUUUCAACACUACGAUUCCAAAAAGUUACAUUUCUCCAUGAAAAAUCAAAAGAUCCAAACUUGAAUAAUUUCUUCGCUAGAUUCCAAAGCUAUAUUGGUCUAAGCAAAACCUAAAAGAUAACUCAUUUUUCAAUGCUACAACGAAAGCUUGCAAUAUUUCUGGUACAAAUUGAAAUCUCCCAAAAACAUUUCAAACACGACGCAUAUAUUUUUUACUCCCCGUUUCUUAUAAAACUAUAUCAAGAAAAAACUACAAAAAAUCUUAAAUGAUAGGUUAAUAUAAAGGUUUGACAAUUUUUUCACAUUGAAGGUGUCGAUUAUUUCGAAGGUACAAUAAGGUAGAACUAUUUCAACACUACGAUUCCAAAAAGUUACAUUUCUCCAUAAAAAAUAUAAAGAUCCAAACUUGAAUAAUUUCUUCGCUAGAUUCCCAAAGCUAUAUUUGUCUAAGCAAAACCUAAAAGGUAAAUUUUUUUCAAUGCUACAAGGAAAGCUUGCAAUAUUUCUGGUACAAAGUGAAAUCUUCCAAAAACAUUUCAAAUACGACGCAUACCUUGUUUACUCACCGUUUCUUAUAAAACGAUAUCAAGAAAAAACUACAAUAAAUCUUAAAUGAUACAUUAAUACAAAUGUUUGACAAUUUUUGCACAUUGAAGGUGUAGGUUACUUCGAAGGUACAAUAAGGUAGAACUAUUUCAGCACUACGAUUCCAAAAAGUUACAUUUCUCUAUGAAAAACCAAAAGAUCCAAACUUGAAUAAUUUCUUCGCUAGAUUCCCAAAGCUAUAUUUGUCUAAGCAAACCCUAAAAGGUAAAUUUUUUUUCAAUGCUACAAAGAAAGCUUGCAAUAUUUCUGGCACAAAAAGAAAUCUUCCAAAAACAUUUCAAAUACGACGCAUACAUUGUUUACUCCCCGUUUCUUAUAAAACUAUAUCAAGAAAAAACUACAAUAAAUCUUAAAUGAUACAUUAAUACAAAGGUUUGACAAUUUUUUCACAUUGAAGGUGUCGAUUAUUUCGAAGGUACAAUAAGCUAGAACUAUUUCAACACUACGAUUCCAAAAAGUGACAUUUCUCCAUGAAAAAUCAAAAGAUCCAAACUUGAAUAAUUUCUUCGCUAGUUUCCCAAAGCUAUAUUGGUCUAAGCAAAACCUAAAAGGUAAAUCAUUGUUCAAUGCUACAACGAAAGCUUGCAAUAUUACUGGUACAAAGUGAAAUCUCCCACAAGCAUUUCAAAUACGACGCUUACAUUGUUUACUCCCCGUUUCUUAUAAAACUAUAUCGGGAAAAAACUACAAUAAAUCUUAAAUGAUAUAUUAAUACAAAGGUUUGACAAUUUUUGCAUAUUGAAGGUGUAGAUUAUUUCGAAGGUACAAUAAGGUAGAACUAUUUCAACACUACGAUUCCAAAAAGUUAUAUUUCUCUAUGAAAAAUCAAAAGGUCCAAAUUUGAAUAAUGUGUCGCUAGAUUCUCAAAGCUAUAUUUGUUCAAGCAAAACCGAAAAGUCUAUUUUUAUUUGAAUGAUACAAAGAAAGCUUGCAAAAUUUCUGGUUGAAACUGAAAUCUCCCAACAACAUUUCAAAUACGACGCAUACAUUUUUUAGUCCCCGUUUCUUAUAAAUCUAUAUCAAGAAAAAACUACAAUAAAUCUUAAAUGAUACAUUAAUACAAAGGUUUGACAAUUUUUUCACAUUGAAGGGGUCGAUUAUUUCGAAGGUACAAUAAGGUAGAACUAUUUCAACACUACGAUUCCAAAAAGUUACAUUUCUCCAUGAAAAAUCAAAAGAUCCAAACUUGAAUAAUUUCUUCGCUAGAUUCCCAAAGCUAUAUUGGUCUAAGCAAAACCUAAAAGGUAAAAUUUGUUUUCAAUGCUACAACGAAAGCUUGCAAUAUUUCUGGUACAAAGUGAAAUCUCCCAAAAACAUUUCAAAUACGACGCAUAUAUUUUUUACUACCCGUUUCUUAUAAAUCUAUAUCAAGAAAAAACUACAAUAAAUCUUAAAUGAUACAUUAAUACAAAGGUUUGACAAUUUUUUCACAUUGAAGGGGUCGAUUAUUUCGAAGGUACAAUAAGGUAGAACUAUUUCAACACUACGAUUCCAAAAAGUUACAUUUCUCCAUGAAAAAUCAAAAGAUCCAAACUUGAAUAAUUUCUUCGCUAGAUUCCAAAGCUAUAUUGGUCUAAGCAAAACCUAAAAGGUAACUCAUUUUUCAAUGCUACAACGAAGGCUUGCAAUAUUUCUGGUACAAAGUGAAAGCUCCCAAAAACAUUUCAAAUACGACGCAUAUAUUUUUUACUCCCCGUUUCUUAUAAAACUAUAUCAAGAAAAAACUACAAAAAAUCUUAAAUGAUAGGUUAAUAUAAAGGUUUGACAAUUAUUUCACAUUGAAGGAGUUGAUUAUUUCGAAGGUACAAUAAGGUAGAACUAUUUCAACACUACGAUUCCAAAAAGUUACAUUUCUCCAUAAAAAAUCAAAAGAUCCAAACUUGAAUAAUUUCUUCGCUAGAUUCCCAAAGCUAUAUUUGUCUAAGCAAAACCUAAAAGGUAAAUUUUUUUUCAAUGCUACAAGGAAAGCUUGCAAUAUUUCUGGUACAAAGUGAAAUCUUCCAAAAACAUUUCAAAUACGACGCAUACCUUGUUUACUCACCGUUUCUUAUAAAACUAUAUCAAGAAAAAACUACAAUAAAUCUUAAAUGAUACAUUAGUACAAAGGUUUGACAAUUUUUUCACAUUGAAGGAGUAGAAUAUUUCGAAGGUACAAAAAGGUACAAUGAUUUCAACACUACGAUUCCAAAAAGUUAUAUUCCUCUAUGAAAAAUCAAAAGAUCCAAACUUGAGUAAUUUCUUCGCUAGAUUCCCAAAGCUAUAUUUGUCUAAGCAAAUCCUAAAAGGUAAUUUUGUUUCAAUGCUACAAGGAAAGCUUGCAAUAUUUCUGGUACAAAAGAAAUCUUCCAAAAACAUUUCAAAUACGACGCAUACAUUGUUUACUCCCCGUUUCUUAUAAAACUAUAUCAAGAAAAAACUACAAUAAAUAUUAAAUGAUACAUUAUUACACAGGUUUGACAAUUUUUGCACAUUGAAGGUGUAGAUUAUUUCGAAGGUACAAUAAGGUAGAACUAUUUCAACACUACGAUUCCAAAAAGUUACAUUCCUCUAUGCAAAAUCAAAAGAUCCAAACUUGAAUAAUUUCUUCGCUAGUUUCCCAAAGCUAUAUUGGUCUAAGCAAAACCUAAAAGGUAAAUCAUUGUUCAAUGCUACAACGACAGCUUGCAAUAUUACUGGUACAAAGUGAUAUCUCCCAAAAACAUUUCAAAUACGACGCAUAUAUUUUUUACUCCCCGUUUCUUAUAAAACUAUAUCAAGAAAAAAUUACAAAAAAUCUUAAAUGAUAGGUUAAUAUAAAGGUUUGACAAUUUUUUCACAUUGAAGGUGUCGAUUAUUUGGAAGGUACAAUAAGGUAGAACUAUUUCAACACUACGAUUCCAAAAAGUUACAUUUCUCCAUGAAAAAUCAAAAGAUCCAAACUUGAAUAAUUUCUUCGCUAGAUUCCAAAGCUAUAUUGGUCUAAGCAAAACCUAAAAGAUAACUCAUUUUUCAAUGCUACAACGAAAGCUUGCAAUAUUUCUGGUACAAAUUGAAAUCUCCCAAAAACAUUUCAAACACGACGCAUAUAUUUUUUACUCCCCGUUUCUUAUAAAACUAUAUCAAGAAAAAACUACAAAAAAUCUUAAAUGAUAGGUUAAUAUAAAGGUUUGACAAUUUUUUCACAUUGAAGGUGUCGAUUAUUUCGAAGGUACAAUAAGGUAGAACUAUUUCAACACUACGAUUCCAAAAAGUUACAUUUCUCCAUAAAAAAUCUAAAGAUCCAAACUUGAAUAAUUUCUUCGCUAGAUUCCCAAAGCUAUAUUUGUGUAAGCAAACCCUAAAAGGUAAAUUUUUUUUCAAUGCCCCAAGGAAAGCUUGCUAUAUUUCUGGUACAAAGUGAAAUCUUCAAAAAACAUUUCAAAUACGACGCAUACAUUAUUUACUCCCCGUUUCUUAUAAAACUAUAUCAAGAAAAAACUACAAUAAAUCUUAAAUGAUACAUUAAUACAAAGGUUUGACAAUUUUUUCACAUUGAAGGUGUCGAUUAUUUCGAAGGAACAAUAAGCUAGAACUAUUUCAACACUACGAUUCCAAAAAGCUACAUUUCUCCAUGAAAAAUCAAAAGAUCCAAACUUGAAUAAUUUCUAAAAGUUUCCCAAAGCUAUAUUGGUCUAAGCAAAACCUAAAAGGUAAAUCAUUGUUCAAUGCUACAACGAAAGCUUGCAAUAUUACUGAUAAAAAGUGAAAUCUCCCAAAAACAUUUCAAAUACGACGCAUAUAUUUUUUACUCCCCGUUUCUUAUAAAACUAUAUCAAGAAAAACUACAAAAAAUCUUAAAUGAUAGAUUAAUAUAAAGGUUUGACAAUUUUUGCACAUUGAAGGUGUAGAUUAUUUCGAAGGUACAAUAAGGUAGAACUAUUUCAACACUACGAUUCCAAAAAGUUACAUUCCUCUAUGAAAAAUCAAAGGAUCCAAACUUGAAUAAUUUCUUCGCUAGUUUCCCAAAGCUAUAUUGGUCUAAGCAAAACCUAAAAGGUAAAUCAUUGUUCAAUGCUACAACGAAAGCUUGCAAUAUUACUGGUACAAAGUGAAAUCUCCCACAAGCAUUUCAAAUACGACGCUUACAUUGUUUACUCCCCGUUUCUUAUAAAACUAUAUCGGGAAAAAACUACAAUAAAUCUUAAAUGAUAUAUUAAUACAAAGGUUUGACAAUUUUUGCAUAUUGAAGGUGUAGAUUAUUUCGAAGGUACAAUAAGGUAGAACUAUUUCAACACUACGAUUCCAAAAAGUUAUAUUUCUCUAUGAAAAAUCAAAAGGUCCAAAUUUGAAUAAUGUGUCGCUAGAUUCUCAAAGCUAUAUUUGUUCAAGCAAAACCGAAAAGUCUAUUUUUAUUUGAAUGAUACAAAGAAAGCUUGCAAAAUUUCUGGUUGAAACUGAAAUCUCCCAACAACAUUUCAAAUACGACGCAUACAUUUUUUACUCCCCGUUUCUUAUAAAUCUAUAUCAACAAAAAACUACAAUAAAUCUUAAAUGAUACAUUAAUACAAAGGUUUGACAAUUUUUUCAGAUUGAAGGUGUCGAUUAUUUCGAAGGUACAAUAAGGUAGAACUAUUUCAACACUACGAUUCCAAAAAGUUACAUUUCUCCAUAAAAAAUCAAAAGAUCCAAACUUGAAUAAUUUCUUCGCUAGAUUCCCAAAGCUAUAUUUGUCUAAGCAAAACCUAAAAGGUAAAUUUUUUUUCAAUGCUACAAGGAAACCUUGCAAUAUUUCUGGUACAAAAAGAAAUCUUCCAAAAACAUUUCAAAUACGACGCAUACAUUAUUUACUCCCCGUUUCUUAUAAAACUAUAUCAAGAAAAAACUACAAUAAAUCUUAAAUGAUACAUUAAUACAAAUGUUUGACAAUUUUUGCACAUUGAAGGUGUAGGUUACUUCGAAGGUACAAUAAGGUAGAACUAUUUCAGCACUACGAUUCCAAAAAGUUACAUUUCUCUAUGAAAAAUCAAAAGAUCCAAACUUGAAUAAUUUCUUCGCUAGAUUCCCAAAGCUAUAUUUGUCUAAGCAAACCCUAAAAGGUAAAUUUUUUUUCAAUGCUACAAAGAAAGCUUGCAAUAUUUCUGGCACAAAAAGAAAUCUUCCAAAAACAUUUCAAAUACGACGCAUACAUUGUUUACUCCCCGUUUCUUAUAAAACUAUAUCAAGAAAAAACUACAAUAAAUCUUAAAUGAUACAUUAAUACAAAGGUUUGACAAUUUUUUCACAUUGAAGGUGUCGAUUAUUUCGAAGGUACAAUAAGCUAGAACUAUUUCAACACUACGAUUCCAAAAAGUGACAUUUCUCCAUGAAAAAUCAAAAGAUCCAAACUUGAAUAAUUUCUUCGCUAGUUUCCCAAAGCUAUAUUGGUCUAAGCAAAACCUAAAAGGUAAAUCAUUGUUCAAUGCUACAACGAAAGCUUGCAAUAUUACUGGUACAAAAUGAAAUCUCCCAAAAACAUUUCAAAUACGACGCAUAUAUUUUUUACUCCCCGUUUCUUAUAAAACUAUAUCAAGAAAAACUACAAAAAAUCUUAAGUGAUAGAUUAAUAUAAAGGUUUGACAAUUUUUUCACAUUGAAGGUGUCGAUUAUUUCGAAGGUACAAUAAGGUAGAAGUAUUUCAACACUACGAUUCCAAAAAGUUACAUUUCUCCAUGAAAAAUCAAAAGAUCCAAACUUGAAUAAUUUCUUCGCUAGUUUCCCAAAGCUAUAUUUGUCUAAGCAAAACCUAAAAGGUAAAUCAUUGUUCAAUGCUACAACGAAUGCUUGCAAUAUUACUGGUACAAAGUGAAAUCUCCCAAAAACAUUUCAAAUACGACGCUUACAUUGUUUACUCCCCGUUUAUAAUAAAACUAUAUCAAGAAAAAACUACAAUAAAUCUUAAAUGAUACAUUAAUACACAGGUUUGACAAUUUUUGCACAUUGAAGGUGUAGAUUAUUUCGAAGGUACAAUAAGGUAGAACUAUUUCAACACUACGAUUCCAAAAAGUUACAUUCCUCUAUGAAAAAUCAAAGGAUCCAAACUUGAAUAAUUUCUUCGCUAGUUUCCCAAAGCUAUAUUGGUCUAAGCAAAACCUAAAAGGUAAAUCAUUGUUCAAUGCUACAACGAAAGCUUGCAAUAUUACUGGUACAAAGUGAAAUCUCCCACAAGCAUUUCAAAUACGACGCUUACAUUGUUUACUCCCCGUUUCUUAUAAAACUAUAUCGGGAAAAAACUACAAUAAAUCUUAAAUGAUAUAUUAAUACAAAGGUUUGACAAUUUUUGCAUAUUGAAGGUGUAGAUUAUUUCGAAGGUACAAUAAGGUAGAACUAUUUCAACACUACGAUUCCAAAAAGUUAUAUUUCUCUAUGAAAAAUCAAAAGGUCCAAAUUUGAAUAAUGUGUCGCUAGAUUCUCAAAGCUAUAUUUGUUCAAGCAAAACCGAAAAGUCUAUUUUUAUUUGAAUGAUACAAAGAAAGCUUGCAAAAUUUCUGGUUGAAACUGAAAUCUCCCAACAACAUUUCAAAUACGACGCAUACAUUUUUUACUCCCCGUUUCUUAUAAAUCUAUAUCAACAAAAAACUACAAUAAAUCUUAAAUGAUACAUUAAUACAAAGGUUUGACAAUUUUUUCAGAUUGAAGGUGUCGAUUAUUUCGAAGGUACAAUAAGGUAGAACUAUUUCAACACUACGAUUCCAAAAAGUUACAUUUCUCCAUAAAAAAUCAAAAGAUCCAAACUUGAAUAAUUUCUUCGCUAGAUUCCCAAAGCUAUAUUUGUCUAAGCAAAACCUAAAAGGUAAAUUUUUUUUCAAUGCUACAAGGAAACCUUGCAAUAUUUCUGGUACAAAAAGAAAUCUUCCAAAAACAUUUCAAAUACUACGCAUACAUUAUUUACUCCCCGUUUCUUAUAAAACUAUAUCAAGAAAAAACUACAAUAAAUCUUAAAUGAUACAUUAAUACAAAUGUUUGACAAUUUUUGCACAUUGAAGGUGUAGGUUACUUCGAAGGUACAAUAAGGUAGAACUAUUUCAGCACUACGAUUCCAAAAAGUUACAUUUCUCUAUGAAAAAUCAAAAGAUCCAAACUUGAAUAAUUUCUUCGCUAGAUUCCCAAAGCUAUAUUUGUCUAAGCAAACCCUAAAAGGUAAAUUUUUUUUCAAUGCUACAAAGAAAGCUUGCAAUAUUUCUGGUACAAAAAGAAAUCUUCCAAAAACAUUUCAAAUACGACGCAUACAUUGUUUACUCCCCGUUUCUUAUAAAACUAUAUCAAGAAAAAACUACAAAAAAUCUUAAAUGAUAGGUUAAUAUAAAGGUUUGACAAUUUUUUCACAUUGAUGGUGUCGAUUAUUUCGAAGGUACAAUAAGGUAGAACUAUUUCAACACUACGAUUCCAAAAAGUUACAUUUCUCCAUGAAAAAUCAAAAGAUCCAAACUUGAAUAAUUUCUUCGCUAGAUUCCAAAGCUAUAUUGGUCUAAGCAAAACCUAAAAGGUAACUCAUUUUUCAAUGCUACAACGAAGGCUUGCAAUAUUUCUGGUACAAAGUGAAAGCUCCCAAAAACAUUUCAAAUACGACGCAUAUAUUUUUUACUCCCCGUUUCUUAUAAAACUAUAUCAAGAAAAAACUACAAAAAAUCUUAAAUGAUAGGUUAAUAUAAAGGUUUGACAAUUAUUUCACAUUGAAGGAGUUGAUUAUUUCGAAGGUACAAUAAGGUAGAACUAUUUCAACACUACGAUUCCAAAAAGUUACAUUUCUCCAUAAAAAAUCAAAAGAUCCAAACUUGAAUAAUUUCUUCGCUAGAUUCCCAAAGCUAUAUUUGUCUAAGCAAAACCUAAAAGGUAAAUUUUUUUUCAAUGCUACAAGGAAAGCUUGCAAUAUUUCUGGUACAAAGUGAAAUCUUCCAAAAACAUUUCAAAUACGACGCAUACCUUGUUUACUCACCGUUUCUUAUAAAACUAUAUCAAGAAAAAACUACAAUAAAUCUUAAAUGAUACAUUAGUACAAAGGUUUGACAAUUUUUUCACAUUGAAGGAGUAGAAUAUUUCGAAGGUACAAAAAGGUACAAUGAUUUCAACACUACGAUUCCAAAAAGUUAUAUUCCUCUAUGAAAAAUCAAAAGAUCCAAACUUGAGUAAUUUCUUCGCUAGAUUCCCAAAGCUAUAUUUGUCUAAGCAAAUCCUAAAAGGUAAUUUUGUUUCAAUGCUACAAGGAAAGCUUGCAAUAUUUCUGGUACAAAAGAAAUCUUCCAAAAACAUUUCAAAUACGACGCAUACAUUGUUUACUCCCCGUUUCUUAUAAAACUAUAUCAAGAAAAAACUACAAUAAAUAUUAAAUGAUACAUUAUUACACAGGUUUGACAAUUUUUGCACAUUGAAGGUGUAGAUUAUUUCGAAGGUACAAUAAGGUAGAACUAUUUCAACACUACGAUUCCAAAAAGUUACAUUCCUCUAUGCAAAAUCAAAAGAUCCAAACUUGAAUAAUUUCUUCGCUAGUUUCCCAAAGCUAUAUUGGUCUAAGCAAAACCUAAAAGGUAAAUCAUUGUUCAAUGCUACAACGAAAGCUUGCAAUAUUACUGAUACAAAGUGAAAUCUCCCAAAAACAUUUCGAAUACGACGCAUAUAUUUUUUACUCCCCGUUUCUUAUAAAACUAUAUCAAGAAAAAACUACAAAAAAUCUUAAAUGAUAGAUUAAUAUAAAGGUUUGACAAUUUUUUCACAUUGAAGGUGUCGGUUAUUUCGAAGGUACAAUAAGCUAGAACUAUUUCAACACUACGAUUCCAAAAAGUGACAUUUCUCCAUGAAAAAUCAAAAGAUCCAAACUUGAAUAAUUUCUUCGCUAGAUUCCCAAAGCUAUAUUGGUCCAAGCAAAACCUAAAAGGUAAAAUUUUUUUUUAAUGCUACAACGAAAGCUUGCAAUAUUUCUGGUACAAAGUGAAAUCUCCCAAAAACAUUCCAAAUACGACGCAUAUAUUUUUUACUCCCCGUUUCUUAUAAAUCUAUAUCGAGAAAAAACUAGAAUAAAUCUUAAAUGAUACAUUAAUACAAAGGUUUGACAAUUUUUUCACAUUGAAGGUGUCGGUUAUUUCGAAGGUACAAUAAGCUAGAACUAUUUCAACACUACGAUUCCAAAAAGUGACAUUUCUCCAUGAAAAAUCAAAAGAUCCAAACUUGAAUAAUUUCUUCGCUAGUUUCCCAAAGCUAUAUUGGUCUAAGCAAAACCUAAAAGGUAAAUCAUUGUUCAAUGCUACAACGACAGCUUGCAAUAUUACUGGUACAAAGUGAUAUCUCCCAAAAACAUUUCAAAUACGACGCAUAUAUUUUUUACUCCCCGUUUCUUAUAAAACUAUAUCAAGAAAAAAUUACAAAAAAUCUUAAAUGAUAGGUUAAUAUAAAGGUUUGACAAUUUUUGCACAUUGAAGGCGUAGGUUACUUCGAAGGUACAAUAAGGUAGAACUAUUUCAACACUACGAUUCCAAAAAGUUACAUUCCUCUAUGAAAAAUCAAAAGAUCCAAACUUGAAUAAUUUCUUCGCUAGAUUGCCAAAGCUAUAUUUGUCUUGGCAAAACCUAACAGGUAAAUUUUUUUUCAAUGCUACAAGGAAAGCUUGCUAUAUUUCUGGUACAAAAAGAAAUCUUCCAAAAACAUUUCAAAUACGACGCAUACAUUGUUUACUCCCCGUUUCUUAUAAAACUAUAUCAAGAAAAAAUUACAAUAAAUCUUAAAUGAUAAUUAAUACAAAUGUUUGACAAUUUUUGCACAUUGAAGGUGUAGGUUACUUCGAAGGUACAAUAAGGUAGAACUAUUUCAGCACUACGAUUGCAAAAAGUUACAUUUCUCUAUGAAAAAUCAAAAGAUCCAAACUUGAAUAAUUUCUUCGCUAGAUUCCCAAAGCUAUAUAUUUGUAUAAGCAAAACCUAAAAGGUAAAUUUUUUUUCAAUGCUACAAGGAAAGCUUGCAAUAUUUCUGGUACAAAGUGAAAUCUCCCAAAAACAUUUCAAAUACGACGCUUACAUUGUUUACUCCCCGUUUCUUAUAAAACUAUAUCGAGAAAAAACUACCAUUAAUCUUAAAUGAUACAUUAAUACAAAGGUUUGACAAUUUUUUCACAUUGAAGAUGUCGAUUGUUUCGAAGGUACAAUAAGGUAGAACUAUUUCAACACUAUGAUUCCAAAAAGUUACAUUUCUCCAUAAAAAAUCAGAAGAUCCAAACUUGAAUAAUUUCUUCGCUAGAUUCCCAAAGCUAUAUAUUUGUAUAAGCAAAACCCAAAAAGGUAAAUUUUUUUUCAAUGCUACAAGGAAAGCUUGCAAUAUUUCUGGUACAAAGUGAAAUCUCCCAAAAAUAUUUCAAAUACGACGCUUACAUUGUUUACUCCCCGUUUCUUAUAAAACUAUAUCGAGAAAAAACUACCAUUAAUCUUAAAUGAUACAUUAAUACAAAGGUUUGACAAUUUUUGCAUAUUGAAGGUGUAGAUUAUUUCGAAGGUACAAUAAGGUAGAACUAUUUCAACACUACGAUUCCAAAAAGUUAUAUUUCUCUAUGAAAAAUCAAAAGGUCCAAAUUUGAAUAAUGUCUCGCUAGAUUCUCAAAGCUAUAUUUGCUCAAGCAAAACCGAAAAGUCUAUUUUUAUUUGAAUGAUACAAAGAAAGCUUGCAAAAUUUCUGGUUGAAACUGAAAUCUCCCAACAACAUUUCAAAUACGACGCAUACAUUUUUUAGUCCCCGUUUCUUAUAAAUCUAUAUCAAGAAAAAACUACAAUAAAUCUUAAAUGAUACAUUAAUACAAAGGUUUGACAAUUUUUUCACAUUGAAGGGGUCGAUUAUUUCGAAGGUACAAUAAGGUAGAACUAUUUCAACACUACGAUUCCAAAAAGUUACAUUUCUCCAUGAAAAAUCAAAAGAUCCAAACUUGAAUAAUUUCUUCGCUAGAUUCCCAAAGCUAUAUUGGUCUAAGCAAAACCUAAAAGGUAAAAUUUUUUUUCAAUGCUACAACGAAAGCUUGCAAUAUUUCUGGUACAAAGUGAAAUCUCCCAAAAACAUUUCAAAUACGACGCAUAUAUUUUUUACUCCCCGUUUCUUAUAAAUCUAUAUCAAGAAAAAACUACAAUAAAUCUUAAAUGAUACAUUAAUACAAAGGUUUGACAAUUUUUUCACAUUGAAGGUGUCGAUUAUUUCGAAGGUACAAUAAGCUAGAACUAUUUCAACACUACGAUUCCAAAAAGUUACAGUUCUCCAUGAAAAAUCAAAAGAUCCAAACUUGCAUAAUUUCUUCGCUAGUUUCCCAAAGCUAUAUUUGUCUUGGCAAAACCUAAAAGGUAAAUCAUUGUUCAAUGCUACAACGAAAGCUUGCAAUAUUACUGGUACAAAGUGAAAUCUCCCAAAAACAUUUCAAAUACGACACUUACAUUGUUUACUCCCCGUUUAUAAUAAAACUAUAUCAAGACAAAACUACAAUAAAUCUUAAAUGAUACAUUAAUACACAGGUUUGACAAUUUUUGCACAUUGAAGGUGUAGAUUAUUUCGAAGGUACAAUAAGGUAGAACUAUUUCAACACUACGAUUCCAAAAAGUUACAUUCCUCUAUGAAAAAUCAAAGGAUCCAAACUUGAAUAAUUUCUUCGCUAGUUUCCCAAAGCUAUAUUGGUCUAAGCAAAACCUAAAAGGUAAAUCAUUGUUCAAUGCUACAACGAAAGCUUGCAAUAUUACUGGUACAAAGUGAAAUCUCCCACAAGCAUUUCAAAUACGACGCUUACAUUGUUUACUCCCCGUUUCUUAUAAAACUAUAUCGGGAAAAAACUACAAUAAAUCUUAAAUGAUAUAUUAAUACAAAGGUUUGACAAUUUUUGCAUAUUGAAGGUGUAGAUUAUUUCGAAGGUACAAUAAGGUAGAACUAUUUCAACACUACGAUUCCAAAAAGUUAUAUUUCUCUAUGAAAAAUCAAAAGGUCCAAAUUUGAAUAAUGUGUCGCUAGAUUCUCAAAGCUAUAUUUGUUCAAGCAAAACCGAAAAGUCUAUUUUUAUUUGAAUGAUACAAAGAAAGCUUGCAAAAUUUCUGGUUGAAACUGAAAUCUCCCAACAACAUUUCAAAUACGACGCAUACAUUUUUUACUCCCCGUUUCUUAUAAAUCUAUAUCAACAAAAAACUACAAUAAAUCUUAAAUGAUACAUUAAUACAAAGGUUUGACAAUUUUUUCAGAUUGAAGGUGUCGAUUAUUUCGAAGGUACAAUAAGGUAGAACUAUUUCAACACUACGAUUCCAAAAAGUUACAUUUCUCCAUAAAAAAUCAAAAGAUCCAAACUUGAAUAAUUUCUUCGCUAGAUUCCCAAAGCUAUAUUUGUCUAAGCAAAACCUAAAAGGUAAAUUUUUUUUCAAUGCUACAAGGAAACCUUGCAAUAUUUCUGGUACAAAAAGAAAUCUUCCAAAAACAUUUCAAAUACUACGCAUACAUUAUUUACUCCCCGUUUCUUAUAAAACUAUAUCAAGAAAAAACUACAAUAAAUCUUAAAUGAUACAUUAAUACAAAUGUUUGACAAUUUUUGCACAUUGAAGGUGUAGGUUACUUCGAAGGUACAAUAAGGUAGAACUAUUUCAGCACUACGAUUCCAAAAAGUUACAUUUCUCUAUGAAAAAUCAAAAGAUCCAAACUUGAAUAAUUUCUUCGCUAGAUUCCCAAAGCUAUAUUUGUCUAAGCAAACCCUAAAAGGUAAAUUUUUUUUCAAUGCUACAAAGAAAGCUUGCAAUAUUUCUGGUACAAAAAGGAAUCUUCCAAAAACAUUUCAAAUACGACGCAUACAUUGUUUACUCCCCGUUUCUUAUAAAACUAUAUCAAGAAAAAACUACAAAAAAUCUUAAAUGAUAGGUUAAUAUAAAGGUUUGACAAUUUUUUCACAUUGAUGGUGUCGAUUAUUUCGAAGGUACAAUAAGGUAGAACUAUUUCAACACUACGAUUCCAAAAAGUUACAUUUCUCCAUGAAAAAUCAAAAGAUCCAAACUUGAAUAAUUUCUUCGCUAGAUUCCAAAGCUAUAUUGGUCUAAGCAAAACCUAAAAGGUAACUCAUUUUUCAAUGCUACAACGAAGGCUUGCAAUAUUUCUGGUACAAAGUGAAAGCUCCCAAAAACAUUUCAAAUACGACGCAUAUAUUUUUUACUCCCCGUUUCUUAUAAAGCUAUAUCAAGAAAAAACUACAAAAAAUCUUAAAUGAUAGGUUAAUAUAAAGGUUUGACAAUUAUUUCACAUUGAAGGAGUUGAUUAUUUCGAAGGUACAAUAAGGUAGAACUAUUUCAACACUACGAUUCCAAAAAGUUACAUUUCUCCAUAAAAAAUCAAAAGAUCCAAACUUGAAUAAUUUCUUCGCUAGAUUCCCAAAGCUAUAUUUGUCUUAAGCAAAACCUAAAAGGUAAAUUUUUUUUCAAUGCUACAAGGAAAGCUUGCAAUAUUUCUGGUACAAAGUGAAAUCUUCCAAAAACAUUUCAAAUACGACGCAUACCUUGUUUACUCACCGUUUCUUAUAAAACUAUAUCAAGAAAAAACUACAAUAAAUCUUAAAUGAUACAUUAGUACAAAGGUUUGACAAUUUUUUCACAUUGAAGGAGUAGAAUAUUUCGAAGGUACAAAAAGGUACAAUGAUUUCAACACUACGAUUCCAAAAAGUUAUAUUCCUCUAUGAAAAAUCAAAAGAUCCAAACUUGAGUAAUUUCUUCGCUAGAUUCCCAAAGCUAUAUUUGUCUAAGCAAAUCCUAAAAGGUAAUUUUGUUUCAAUGCUACAAGGAAAGCUUGCAAUAUUUCUGGUACAAAAGAAAUCUUCCAAAAACAUUUCAAAUACGACGCAUACAUUGUUUACUCCCCGUUUCUUAUAAAACUAUAUCAAGAAAAAACUACAAUAAAUAUUAAAUGAUACAUUAUUACACAGGUUUGACAAUUUUUGCACAUUGAAGGUGUAGAUUAUUUCGAAGGUACAAUAAGGUAGAACUAUUUCAACACUACGAUUCCAAAAAGUUACAUUCCUCUAUGCAAAAUCAAAAGAUCCAAACUUGAAUAAUUUCUUCGCUAGUUUCCCAAAGCUAUAUUGGUCUAAGCAAAACCUAAAAGGUAAAUCAUUGUUCAAUGCUACAACGACAGCUUGCAAUAUUACUGGUACAAAGUGAUAUCUCCCAAAAACAUUUCAAAUACGACGCAUAUAUUUUUUACUCCCCGUUUCUUAUAAAACUAUAUCAAGAAAAAAUUACAAAAAAUCUUAAAUGAUAGGUUAAUAUAAAGGUUUGACAAUUUUUUCACAUUGAAGGUGUCGAUUAUUUGGAAGGUACAAUAAGGUAGAACUAUUUCAACACUACGAUUCCAAAAAGUUACAUUUCUCCAUGAAAAAUCAAAAGAUCCAAACUUGAAUAAUUUCUUCGCUAGAUUCCAAAGCUAUAUUGGUCUAAGCAAAACCUAAAAGAUAACUCAUUUUUCAAUGCUACAACGAAAGCUUGCAAUAUUUCUGGUACAAAUUGAAAUCUCCCUAAAACAUUUCAAACACGACGCAUAUAUUUUUUACUCCCCGUUUCUUAUAAAACUAUAUCAAGAAAAAACUACAAAAAAUCUUAAAUGAUAGGUUAAUAUAAAGGUUUGACAAUUUUUUCACAUUGAAGGUGUCGAUUAUUUCGAAGGUACAAUAAGGUAGAACUAUUUCAACACUACGAUUCCAAAAAGUUACAUUUCUCCAUAAAAAAUCUAAAGAUCCAAACUUGAAUAAUUUCUUCGCUAGAUUCCCAAAGCUAUAUUUGUCUAAGCAAACCCUAAAAGGUAAAUUUUUUUUCAAUGCCCCAAGGAAAGCUUGCUAUAUUUCUGGUACAAAGUGAAAUCUUCAAAAAACAUUUCAAAUACGACGCAUACAUUAUUUACUCCCCGUUUCUUAUAAAACUAUAUCAAGAAAAAACUACAAUAAAUCUUAAAUGAUACAUUAAUACAAAGGUUUGACAAUUUUUUCACAUUGAAGGUGUCGAUUAUUUCGAAGGUACAAUAAGCUAGAACUAUUUCAACACUACGAUUCCAAAAAGCUACAUUUCUCCAUGAAAAAUCAAAAGAUCCAAACUUGAAUAAUUUCUAAAAGUUUCCCAAAGCUAUAUUGGUCUAAGCAAAACCUAAAAGGUAAAUCAUUGUUCAAUGCUACAACGAAAGCUUGCAAUAUUACUGAUAAAAAGUGAAAUCUCCCAAAAACAUUUCAAAUACGACGCAUAUAUUUUUUACUCCCCGUUUCUUAUAAAACUAUAUCAAGAAAAAACUACAAAAAAUCUUAAAUGAUAGAUUAAUAUAAAGGUUUGACAAUUUUUUCACAUUGAAGGUGUCGAUUAUUUCGAAGGUACAAUAAGGUAGAACUAUUUCAACACUACGAUUCCAAAAAGUUACAUUUCUCCAUAAAGAUCAAAAGAUCCAAACUUGAAUAAUUUCUUCGCUAGAUUCCCAAAGCUAUAUUUGUCUAAGCAAAACCUAAAAGGUAAAUUUUUUUUCAAUGCUACAAGGAAAGCUUGCAAUAUUUCUGGUACAAAAAGAAAUCUUCCAAAACAUUUUAAAUACGACGCAUACAUUGUUUACUCCCCGUUUCUUAUAAAACUAUAUCAAGAAAAAACUACAAAAAAUCUUAAAUGAUAGGUUAAUAUAAAGGUUUGACAAUUUUUUCACAUUGAAGGUGUCGAUUAUUUCGAAGGUACAAUAAGGUAGAACUAUUUCAACACUACGAUUCCAAAAAGUUACAUUCCUCUAUGAAAAAUCAAAAGAUCCAAACUUGAAUAAUUUCUUCGCUAGAUUGCCAAAGCUAUAUUUGUCUUGGCAAAACCUAAAAGGUAAAUUUUUUUUCAAUGCUACAAGGAAAGCUUGCAAUAUUUCUGGUACAAAGUGAAAUCUUCAAAAAACAUUUCAAAUACGACGCAUACAUUAUUUACUCCCCGUUUCUUAUAAAACUAUAUCAAGAAAAAACUACAAUAAAUCUUAAAUGAUACAUUAAUACAAAGGUUUGACAAUUUUUUCACAUUGAAGGUGUCGAUUAUUUCGAAGGUACAAUAAGCUAGAACUAUUUCAACACUACGAUUCCAAAAAGUUACAGUUCUCCAUGAAAAAUCAAAAGAUCCAAACUUGCAUAAUUUCUUCGCUAGUUUCCCAAAGCUAUAUUUGUCUAAGCAAAACCUAAAAGGUAAAUCAUUGUUCAAUGCUACAACGAAAGCUUGCAAUAUUACUGGUACAAAGUGAAAUCUCCCAAAAACAUUUCAAAUACGACACUUACAUUGUUUACUCCCCGUUUAUAAUAAAACUAUAUCAAGACAAAACUACAAUAAAUCUUAAAUGAUACAUUAAUACACAGGUUUGACAAUUUUUGCACAUUGAAGGUGUAGAUUAUUUCGAAGGUACAAUAAGGUAGAACUAUUUCAACACUACGAUUUCAAAAAGUUACAUUCCUCUAUGAAAAAUCAAAGGAUCCAAACUUGAAUAAUUUCUUCGCUAGUUUCCCAAAGCUAUAUUGGUCUAAGCAAAACCUAAAAGGUAAAUCAUUGUUCAAUGCUACAACGAAAGCUUGCAAUAUUACUGAUACAAAGUGAAAUCUCCCAAAAACAUUUCGAAUACGACGCAUAUAUUUUUUACUCCCCGUUUCUUAUAAAACUAUAUCAAGAAAAAACUACAAAAAAUCUUAAAUGAUAGAUUAAUAUAAAGGUUUGACAAUUUUUUCACAUUGAAGGUGUCGGUUAUUUCGAAGGUACAAUAAGCUAGAACUAUUUCAACACUACGAUUCCAAAAAGUGACAUUUCUCCAUGAAAAAUCAAAAGAUCCAAACUUGAAUAAUUUCUUCGCUAGAUUCCCAAAGCUAUAUUGGUCCAAGCAAAACCUAAAAGGUAAAAUUUUUUUUUAAUGCUACAACGAAAGCUUGCAAUAUUUCUGGUACAAAGUGAAAUCUCCCAAAAACAUUCCAAAUACGACGCAUAUAUUUUUUACUCCCCGUUUCUUAUAAAUCUAUAUCGAGAAAAAACUAGAAUAAAUCUUAAAUGAUACAUUAAUACAAAGGUUUGACAAUUUUUUCACAUUGAAGGUGUCGAUUAUUUCGAAGGUACAGUAAGCUAGAACUAUUUCAACACUACGAUUCCAAAAAGUGACAUUUCUCCAUGAAAAAUCAAAAGAUCCAAACUUGAAUAAUUUCUUCGCUAGUUUCCCAAAGCUAUAUUGGUCUAAGCAAAACCUAAAAGGUAAAUCAUUGUUCAAUGCUACAACGAAAGCUUGCAAUAUUACUGGUACAAAAUGAAAUCUCCCAAAAACAUUUCAAAUACGACGCAUAUAUUUUUUACUCCCCGUUUCUUAUAAAACUAUAUCAAGAAAAACUACAAAAAAUCUUAAGUGAUAGAUUAAUAUAAAGGUUUGACAAUUUUUUCACAUUGAAGGUGUCGAUUAUUUCGAAGGUACAAUAAGUUAGAAGUAUUUCAACACUACGAUUCCAAAAAGUUACAUUUCUCCAUGAAAAAUCAAAAGAUCCAAACUUGAAUAAUUUCUUCGCUAGAUUCCCAAAGCUAUAUUGGUCCAAGCAAAACCUAAAAGGUAAAAUUUUUUUUUUAAUGCUACAACGAAAGCUUGCAAUAUUUCUGGUACAAAGUGAAAUCUCCCAAAAACAUUUCAAAUACGACGCAUAUAUUUUUUACUCCCCGUUUCUUAUAAAACUAUAUCAAGAAAAACUACAAAAAAUCUUAAAUGAUACAUUAAUACAAAGGUUUGACAAUUUUUUCACAUUGAAGGUGUCGAUUAUUUCGAAGAUACAAUAAGCUAGAACUAUUUCAACACUACGAUUCCAAAAAGUUACAUUUCUCCAUGAAAAAUCAAAAGAUCCAAACUUGAAUAAUUUCUUCGCUAGAUUCCCAAAGCUAUAUUGGUCCAAGCAAAACCUAAAAGGUAAAAUUUUUUUUUAAUGCUACAACGAAAGCUUGCAAUAUUUCUGGUACAAAGUGAAAUCUCCCAAAAACAUUUCAAAUACGACGCAUAUAUUUUUUACUCCCCGUUUCUUAUAAAACUAUAUCAAGAAAAACUACAAAAAAUCUUAAAUGAUAGAUUAAUAUAAAGGUUUGACAAUUUUUUCGCAUUGAAGGUGUCGAUUAUUUCGAAGGUACAAUAAGCUAGAACUAUUUCAACACUACGAUUCCAAAAAGUUACAUUUCUCCAUGAAAAAUCAAAAGAUCCAAACUUGAAUAAUUUCUUCGCUAGUUUCCCAAAGCUAUAUUUGUCUAAGCAAAACCUAAAAGGUAAAUCAUUGUUCAAUGCUACAACGAAUGCUUGCAAUAUUACUGGUACAAAGUGAAAUCUCCCAAAACCAUUUCAAAUACGACGCUUACAUUGUUUACUCCCCGUUUAUAAUAAAACUAUAUCAAGAAAAAACUACAAUAAAUCUUAAAUGAUACAUUAAUACACAGGUUUGACAAUUUUUGCACAUUGAAGGUGUAGAUUAUUUCGAAGGUACAAUAAGGUAGAACUAUUUCAACACUACGAUUCCAAAAAGUUACAUUCCUCUAUGAAAAAUCAAAGGAUCCAAACUUGAAUAAUUUCUUCGCUAGUUUCCCAAAGCUAUAUUGGUCUAAGCAAAACCUAAAAGGUAAAUCAUUGUUCAAUGCUACAACGAAAGCUUGCAAUAUUACUGGUACAAAGUGAAAUCUCCCACAAGCAUUUCAAAUACGACGCUUACAUUGUUUACUCCCCGUUUCUUAUAAAACUAUAUCGGGAAAAAACUACAAUAAAUCUUAAAUGAUAUAUUAAUACAAAGGUUUGACAAUUUUUGCAUAUUGAAGGUGUAGAUUAUUUCGAAGGUACAAUAAGGUAGAACUAUUUCAACACUACGAUUCCAAAAAGUUAUAUUUCUCUAUGAAAAAUCAAAAGGUCCAAAUUUGAAUAAUGUGUCGCUAGAUUCUCAAAGCUAUAUUUGUUCAAGCAAAACCGAAAAGUCUAUUUUUAUUUGAAUGAUACAAAGAAAGCUUGCAAAAUUUCUGGUUGAAACUGAAAUCUCCCAACAACAUUUCAAAUACGACGCAUACAUUUUUUACUCCCCGUUUCUUAUAAAUCUAUAUCAACAAAAAACUACAAUAAAUCUUAAAUGAUACAUUAAUACAAAGGUUUGACAAUUUUUUCAGAUUGAAGGUGUCGAUUAUUUCGAAGGUACAAUAAGGUAGAACUAUUUCAACACUACGAUUCCAAAAAGUUACAUUUCUCCAUAAAAAAUCAAAAGAUCCAAACUUGAAUAAUUUCUUCGCUAGAUUGCCAAAGCUAUAUUUGUCUAAGCAAAACCUAAAAGGUAAAUUUUUUUUCAAUGCUACAAGGAAACCUUGCAAUAUUUCUGGUACAAAAAGAAAUCUUCCAAAAACAUUUCAAAUACGACGCAUACAUUAUUUACUCCCCGUUUCUUAUAAAACUAUAUCAAGAAAAAACUACAAUAAAUCUUAAAUGAUACAUUAAUACAAAUGUUUGACAAUUUUUGCACAUUGAAGGUGUAGGUUACUUCGAAGGUACAAUAAGGUAGAACUAUUUCAGCACUACGAUUCCAAAAAGUUACAUUUCUCUAUGAAAAAUCAAAAGAUCCAAACUUGAAUAAUUUCUUCGCUAGAUUCCCAAAGCUAUAUUUGUCUAAGCAAACCCUAAAAGGUAAAUUUUUUUUCAAUGCUACAAAGAAAGCUUGCAAUAUUUCUGGUACAAAAAGAAAUCUUCCAAAAACAUUUCAAAUACGACGCAUACAUUGUCUACUCCCCGUUUCUUAUAAAACUAUAUCAAGAAAAAACUACAAAAAAUCUUAAAUGAUAGGUUAAUAUAAAGGUUUGACAAUUUUUUCACAUUGAUGGUGUCGAUUAUUUCGAAGGUACAAUAAGGUAGAACUAUUUCAACACUACGAUUCCAAAAAGUUACAUUUCUCCAUGAAAAAUUAAAAGAUCCAAACUUGAAUAAUUUCUUCGCUAGAUUCCAAAGCUAUAUUGGUCUAAGCAAAACCUAAAAGGUAACUCAUUUUUCAAUGCUACAACGAAGGCUUGCAAUAUUUCUGGUACAAAGUGAAAGCUCCCAAAAACAUUUCAAAUACGACGCAUAUAUUUUUUACUCCCCGUUUCUUAUAAAACUAUAUCAAGAAAAAACUACAAAAAAUCUUAAAUGAUAGGUUAAUAUAAAGGUUUGACAAUUUUUUCACAUUGAAGGAGUUGAUUAUUUCGAAGGUACAAUAAGGUAGAACUAUUUCAACACUACGAUUCCAAAAAGUUACAUUUCUCCAUAAAAAAUCAAAAGAUCCAAACUUGAAUAAUUUCUUCGCUAGAUUCCCAAAGCUAUAUUUGUCUAAGCAAAACCUAAAAGGUAAAUUUUUUUUUCAAUGCUACAAGGAAAGCUUGCAAUAUUUCUGGUACAAAGUGAAAUCUUCCAAAAACAUUUCAAAUACGACGCAUACCUUGUUUACUCACCGUUUCUUAUAAAACUAUAUCAAGAAAAAACUACAAUAAAUCUUAAAUGAUACAUGAGUACAAAGGUUUGACAAUUUUUUCACAUUGAAGGAGUAGAAUAUUUCGAAGGUACAAAAAGGUACAAUGAUUUCAACACUACGAUUCCAAAAAGUUAUAUUCCUCUAUGAAAAAUCAAAAGAUCCAAACUUGAGUAAUUUCUUCGCUAAAUUCCCAAAGCUAUAUUUGUCUAAGCAAAUCCUAGAAGGUAAUUUUGUUUCAAUGCUACAAGGAAAGCUUGCAAUAUUUCUGGUACAAAAGAAAUCUUCCAAAAACAUUUCAAAUACGACGCAUACAUUGUUUACUCCCCGUUUCUUAUAAAACUAUAUCAAGAAAAAACUACAAUAAAUAUUAAAUGAUACAUUAAUACACAGGUUUGACAAUUUUUGCACAUUGAAGGUGUAGAUUAUUUCGAAGGUACAAUAAGGUAGAACUAUUUCAACACUACGAUUCCAAAAAGUUACAUUCCUCUAUGCAAAAUCAAAAGAUCCAAACUUGAAUAAUUUCUUCGCUAGUUUCCCAAAGCUAUAUUGGUCUAAGCAAAACCUAAAAGGUAAAUCAUUGUUCAAUGCUACAACGACAGCUUGCAAUAUUACUGGUACAAAGUGAUAUCUCCCAAAAACAUUUCAAAUACGACGCAUAUAUUUUUUACUCCCCGUUUCUUAUAAAACUAUAUCAAGAAAAAAUUACAAAAAAUCUUAAAUGAUAGGUUAAUAUAAAGGUUUGACAAUUUUUUCACAUUGAAGGUGUCGAUUAUUUCGAAGGUACAAUAAGCUAGAACUAUUUCAACACUACGAUUCCAAAAAGUUACAUUUCUCCAUGAAAAAUCAAAAGAUCCAAACUUGAAUAAUUUCUUCGCUAGAUUCCAAAGCUAUAUUGGUCUAAGCAAAACCUAAAAGGUAACUCAUUUUUCAAUGCUACAACGAAAGCUUGCAAUAUUUCUGGUACAAAUUGAAAUCUCCCAAAAACAUUUCAAACACGACGCAUAUAUUUUUUACUCCCCGUUUCUUAUAAAACUAUAUCAAGAAAAAACUACAAAAAAUCUUAAAUGAUAGGUUAAUAUAAAGGUUUGACAAUUUUUUCACAUUGAAGGUGUCGAUUAUUUCGAAGGUACAAUAAGGUAGAACUAUUUCAACACUACGAUUCCAAAAAGUUACAUUUCUCCAUAAAAAAUCUAAAGAUCCAAACUUGAAUAAUUUCUUCGCUAGAUUCCCAAAGCUAUAUUUGUCUAAGCAAAACCUAAAAGGUAAAUUUUUUUUCAAUGCUACAAGGAAAGCUUGCAAUAUUUCUGGUACAAAGUGAAAUCUUCCAAAAACAUUUCAAAUACGACGCAUACCUUGUUUACUCACCGUUUCUUAUAAAACUAUAUCAAGAAAAAACUACAAUAAAUCUUAAAUGAUACAUUAAUACAAAUGUUUGACAAUUUUUGCACAUUGAAGGUGUAGGUUACUUCGAAGGUACAAUAAGGUAGAACUAUUUCAGCACUACGAUUCCAAAAAGUUACAUUUCUCUAUGAAAAAUCAAAAGAUCCAAACUUGAAUAAUUUCUUCGCUAGAUUCCCAAAGCUAUAUUUGUCUAAGCAAACCCUAAAAGGUAAAUUUUUUUUCAAUGCUACAAAGAAAGCUUGCAAUAUUUCUGGCACAAAAAGAAAUCUUCCAAAAACAUUUCAAAUACGACGCAUACAUUGUUUACUCCCCGUUUCUUAUAAAACUAUAUCAAGAAAAAACUACAAAAAAUCUUAAAUGAUAGGUUAAUAUAAAGGUUUGACAAUUUUUUCACAUUGAAGGUGUCGAUUAUUUCGAAGGUACAAUAAGGUAGAACUAUUUCAACACUACGAUUCCAAAAAGUUACAUUCCUCUAUGAAAAAUCAAAAGAUCCAAACUUGAAUAAUUUCUUCGCUAGAUUGCCAAAGCUAUAUUUGUCUUGGCAAAACCUAAAAGGUAAAUUUUUUUUUCAAUGCUACAAGGAAAGCUUGCAAUAUUUCUGGUACAAAGUGAAAUCUUCAAAAAACAUUUCAAAUACGACGCAUAUAUUUUUUACUCCCCGUUUCUUAUAAAUCUAUAUCAAGAAAAAACUACAAUAAAUCUUAAAUGAUACAUUAAUACAAAGGUUUGACAAUUUUUUCACAUUGAAGGUGUCGAUUAUUUCGAAGGUACAAUAAGGUAGAACUAUUUCAACACUACGAUUCCAAAAAGUUACAUUUCUCCAUGAAAAAUCAAAAGAUCCAAACUUGAAUAAUUUCUUCGCUAGAUUCCCAAAGCUAUAUUGGUCUAAGCAAAACCUAAAAGGUAAAAUUUUUUUUCAAUGCUACAACGAAAGCUUGCAAUAUUUCUGGUACAAAGUGAAAUCUCCCAAAAACAUUUCAAAUACGACGCAUAUAUUUUUUACUCCCCGUUUCUUAUAAAUCUAUAUCAAGAAAAAACUACAAUAAAUCUUAAAUGAUACAUUAAUACAAAGGUUUGACAAUUUUUUCACAUUGAAGGUGUCGAUUAUUUCGAAGGUACAAUAAGCUAGAACUAUUUCAACACUACGAUUCCAAAAAGUUACAGUUCUCCAUGAAAAAUCAAAAGAUCCAAACUUGCAUAAUUUCUUCGCUAGUUUCCCAAAGCUAUAUUUGUCUAAGCAAAACCUAAAAGGUAAAUCAUUGUUCAAUGCUACAACGAAAGCUUGCAAUAUUACUGGUACAAAGUGAAAUCUCCCAAAAACAUUUCAAAUACGACACUUACAUUGUUUACUCCCCGUUUAUAAUAAAACUAUAUCAAGACAAAACUACAAUAAAUCUUAAAUGAUACAUUAAUACACAGGUUUGACAAUUUUUGCACAUUGAAGGUGUAGAUUAUUUCGAAGGUACAAUAAGGUAGAACUAUUUCAACACUACGAUUUCAAAAAGUUACAUUCCUCUAUGAAAAAUCAAAGGAUCCAAACUUGAAUAAUUUCUUCGCUAGUUUCCCAAAGCUAUAUUGGUCUAAGCAAAACCUAAAAGGUAAAUCAUUGUUCAAUGCUACAACGAAAGCUUGCAAUAUUACUGGUACAAAGUGAAAUCUCCCAAAAACAUUUCAAAUACGACGCAUAUAUUUUUUACUCCCCGUUUCUUAUAAAACUAUAUCAAGAAAAACUACAAUAAAUCUUAAAUGAUAGAUUAAUAUAAAGGUUUGACAAUUUUUUCACAUUGAAGGUGUCGAUUAUUUCGAAGGUACAAUAAGCUAGAACUAUUUCAACACUACGAUUCCAAAAAGUUACAUUUCUCCAUGAAAAAUCAAAAGAUCCAAACUUGAAUAAUUUCUUCGCUAGAUUCCCAAAGCUAUAUUGGUCCAAGCAAAACCUAAAAGGUAAAAUUUUUUUUUUAAUGCUACAACGAAAGCUUGCAAUAUUUCUGGUACAAAGUGAAAUCUCCCAAAAACAUUCCAAAUACGACGCAUAUAUUUUUUACUCCCCGUUUCUUAUAAAUCUAUAUCGAGAAAAAACUAGAAUAAAUCUUAAAUGAUACAUUAAUACAAAGGUUUGACAAUUUUUUCACAUUGAAGGUGUCGAUUAUUUCGAAGGUACAGUAAGCUAGAACUAUUUCAACACUACGAUUCCAAAAAGUGACAUUUCUCCAUGAAAAAUCAAAAGAUCCAAACUUGAAUAAUUUCUUCGCUAGUUUCCCAAAGCUAUAUUGGUCUAAGGAAAACCUAAAAGGUAAAUCAUUGUUCAAUGCUACAACGAAAGCUUGCAAUAUUACUGGUACAAAAUGAAAUCUCCCAAAAACAUUUCAAAUACGACGCAUAUAUUUUUUACUCCCCGUUUCUUAUAAAACUAUAUCAAGAAAAACUACAAAAAAUCUUAAGUGAUAGAUUAAUAUAAAGGUUUGACAAUUUUUUCACAUUGAAGGUGUCGAUUAUUUCGAAGGUACAAUAAGGUAGAAGUAUUUCAACACUACGAUUCCAAAAAGUUACAUUUCUCCAUGAAAAAUCAAAAGAUCCAAACUUGAAUAAUUUCUUCGCUAGAUUCCCAAAGCUAUAUUGGUCCAAGCAAAACCUAAAAGGUAAAAUUUUUUUUUAAUGCUACAACGAAAGCUUGCAAUAUUUCUGGUACAAAGUGAAAUCUCCCAAAAACAUUUCAAAUACGACGCAUAUAUUUUUUACUCCCCGUUUCUUAUAAAACUAUAUCAAGAAAAACUACAAAAAAUCUUAAAUGAUACAUUAAUACAAAGGUUUGACAAUUUUUUCACAUUGAAGGUGUCGAUUAUUUCGAAGGUACAAUAAGCUAGAACUAUUUCAACACUACGAUUCCAAAAAGUUACAUUUCUCCAUGAAAAAUCAAAAGAUCCAAACUUGAAUAAUUUCUUCGCUAGAUUCCCAAAGCUAUAUUGGUUCAAGCAAAACCUAAAAGGUAAAAUUUUUUUUUAAUGCUACAACGAAAGCUUGCAAUAUUUCUGGUACAAAGUGAAAUCUCCCAAAAACAUUUCAAAUACGACGCAUAUAUUUUUUACUCCCCGUUUCUUAUAAAACUAUAUCAAGAAAAACUACAAAAAAUCUUAAAUGAUAGAUUAAUAUAAAGGUUUGACAAUUUUUUCGCAUUGAAGGUGUCGAUUAUUUCGAAGGUACAAUAAGCUAGAACUAUUUCAACACUACGAUUCCAAAAAGUUACAUUUCUCCAUGAAAAAUCAAAAGAUCCAAACUUGAAUAAUUUCUUCGCUAGAUUCCAAAGCUAUAUUGGUCUAAGCAAAACCUAAAAGGUAACUCAUUUUUCAAUGCUACAACGAAAGCUUGCAAUAUUUCUGGUACAAAUUGAAAUCUCCCAAAAACAUUUCAAACACGACUCAUAUAUUUUUUACUCCCCGUUUCUUAUAAAACUAUAUCAAGAAAAAACUACAAAAAAUCUUAAAUGAUAGGUUAAUAUAAAGGUUUGACAAUUUUUUCACAUUGAAGGUGUCGAUUAUUUCGAAGGUACAAUAAGGUAGAACUAUUUCAACACUACGAUUCCAAAAAGUUACAUUUCUCCAUAAAAAAUCUAAAGAUCCAAACUUGAAUAAUUUCUUCGCUAGAUUCCCAAAGCUAUAUUUGUCUAAGCAAAACCUAAAAGGUAAAUUUUUUUUCAAUGCUACAAGGAAAGCUUGCAAUAUUUCUGGUACAAAGUGAAAUCUUCCAAAAACAUUUCAAAUACGACGCAUACCUUGUUUACUCACCGUUUCUUAUAAAACUAUAUCAAGAAAAAACUACAAUAAAUCUUAAAUGAUACAUUAAUACAAAUGUUUGACAAUUUUUGCACAUUGAAGGUGUAGGUUACUUCGAAGGUACAAUAAGGUAGAACUAUUUCAGCACUACGAUUCCAAAAAGUUACAUUUCUCUAUGAAAAAUCAAAAGAUCCAAACUUGAAUAAUUUCUUCGCUAGAUUCCCAAAGCUAUAUUUGUCUAAGCAAACCCUAAAAGGUAAAUUUUUUUUCAAUGCUACAAAGAAAGCUUGCAAUAUUUCUGGCACAAAAAGAAAUCUUCCAAAAACAUUUCAAAUACGACGCAUACAUUGUUUACUCCCCGUUUCUUAUAAAACUAUAUCAAGAAAAAACUACAAAAAAUCUUAAAUGAUAGGUUAAUAUAAAGGUUUGACAAUUUUUUCACAUUGAAGGUGUCGAUUAUUUCGAAGGUACAAUAAGGUAGAACUAUUUCAACACUACGAUUCCAAAAAGUUACAUUCCUCUAUGAAAAAUCAAAAGAUCCAAACUUGAAUAAUUUCUUCGCUAGAUUGCCAAAGCUAUAUUUGUCUUGGCAAAACCUAAAAGGUAAAUUUUUUUUUCAAUGCUACAAGGAAAGCUUGCAAUAUUUCUGGUACAAAGUGAAAUCUUCAAAAAACAUUUCAAAUACGACGCAUACAUUAUUUACUCCCCGUUUCUUAUAAAACUAUAUCAAGAAAAAACUACAAUAAAUCUUAAAUGAUACAUUAAUACAAAGGUUUGACAAUUUUUGCACAUUGAAGGCGUAGGUUACUUCGAAGGUACAAUAAGUUAGAACUAUUUCAACACUACGAUUCCAAAAAGUUACAUUUCUAAAUAAAAAAUCAAAAGAUCGAAACUUGAAUAAUUUCUUCGCUAGAUUCCCAAAGCUAUAUUUGUCUUGGCAAAACCUAAAAGGUAAAUUUUUUUUCAAUGCUACAAGGAAAGCUUGCUAUAUUUCUGGUACAAAGUGAAAUCUUCAAAAAACAUUUCAAAUACGACGCAUACAUUAUUUACUCCCCGUUUCUUAUAAAACUAUAUCAAGAAAAAACUACAAUAAAUCUUAAAUGAUACAUUAAUACAAAGGUUUGACAAUUUUUUCACAUUGAAGGUGUCGAUUAUUUCGAAGGUACAAUAAGCUAGAACUAUUUCAACACUACGAUUCCAAAAAGCUACAUUUCUCCAUGAAAAAUCAAAAGAUCCAAACUUGAAUAAUUUCUAAAAGUUUCCCAAAGCUAUAUUGGUCUAAGCAAAACCUAAAAGGUAAAUCAUUGUUCAAUGCUACAACGAAAGCUUGCAAUAUUACUGAUACAAAGUGAAAUCUCCCAAAAACAUUUCAAAUACGACGCAUAUAUUUUUUACUCCCCGUUUCUUAUAAAACUAUAUCAAGAAAAAACUACAAAAAAUCUUAAAUGAUAGAUUAAUAUAAAGGUUUGACAAUUUUUUCACAUUGAAGGUGUCGAUUAUUUCGAAGGUACAAUAAGGUAGAACUAUUUCAACACUACGAUUCCAAAAAGUUACAUUUCUCCAUAAAAAUCAAAAGAUCCAAACUUGAAUAAUUUCUUCGCUAGAUUCCCAAAGCUAUAUUUGUCUAAGCAAAACCUAAAAGGUAAAUUUUUUUUCAAUGCUACAAGGAAAGCUUGCAAUAUUUCUGGUACAAAAAGAAAUCUUCCAAAAACAUUUCAAAUACGACGCAUACAUUGUUUACUCCCCGUUUCUUAUAAAUCUAUAUCAAGAAAAAACUACAAUAAAUCUUAAAUGAUACAUUAAUACAAAGGUUUGACAAUUUUUUCACAUUGAAGGUGUCGAUUAUUUCGAAGGUACAAUAAGCUAGAACUAUUUCAACACUACGAUUCCAAAAAGUUACAUUUCUCCAUGAAAAAUCAAAAGAUCCAAACUUGAAUAAUUUCUUCGCUAGUUUCCCAAAGGUAUAUUGGUCUAAGCAAAACCUAAAAGGUAAAUCAUUGUUCAAUGCUACAACGAAAGCUUGCAAUAUUACUGAUACAAAGUGAAAUCUCCCAAAAACAUUUCGAAUACGACGUAUAUAUUUUUUACUCCCCGUUUCUUAUAAAACUAUAUCAAGAAAAAACUACAAAAAAUCUUAAAUGAUAGAUUAAUAUAAAGGUUUGACAAUUUUUUCACAUUGAAGGUGUCGAUUAUUUCGAAGGUACAAUAAGGUAGAACUAUUUCAACACUACGAUUCCAAAAAGUUACAUUUCUCCAUAAAAAUCAAAAGAUCCAAACUUGAAUAAUUUCUUCGCUAGAUUCCCAAAGCUAUAUUUGUCUAAGCAAAACCUAAAAGGUAAAUUUUUUUUCAAUGCUACAAGGAAAGCUUGCAAUAUUUCUGGUACAAAGUGAAAUCUCCCAAAAACAUUUCAAAUACGACGCUUACAUUGUUUACUCCCCGUUUCUUAUAAAACUAUAUCGAGAAAAAACUACCAUUAAUCUUAAAUGAUACAUUAAUACAAAGGUUUGACAAUUUUUACAUAUUGAAGGUGUAGAUUAUUUCGAAGGUACAAUAAGGUAGAACUAUUUCAACUCUACGAUUCCAAAAAGUUAUAUUUCUCUAUGAAAAAUCAAAAGGUCCAUAUUUGAAUAAUGUCUCGCUAGAUUCUUAAAGCUAUAUUUGCUCAAGCAAACCGAAAAGUCUAUUUUUAUUUGAAUGAUACAAAGAAAGCUUGCAAAAUUUCUGGUUGAAACUGAAAUCUCCCAACAACAUUUCAAAUACGACGCAUACAUUUUUUACUCCCCGUUUCUUAUAAAUCUGUAUCAAGAAAAAACUACAAUAUAUCUUAAAUGAUACAUUAAUACAAAGGUUUGACAAUUUUUUCACAUUGAAGGUGUCGAUUAUUUCGAAGGUACAAUAAGCUAGAACUAUUUCAACACUACGAUUCCAAAAAGCUACAUUUCUCCAUGAAAAAUCAAAAGAUCCAAACUUGAAUAAUUUCUAAAAGUUUCCCAAAGCUAUAUUGGUCUAAGCAAAACCUAAAUGGUAAAUCAUUGUUCAAUGCUACAACGAAAGCUUGCAAUAUUACUGAUACAAAGUGAAAUCUCCCAAAAACAUUUCAAAUACGACGCAUAUAUUUUUUACUCCCCGUUUCUUAUAAAACUAUAUCAAGAAAAAACUACAAAAAAUCUUAAAUGAUAGAUUAAUAUAAAGGUUUGACAAUUUUUUCACAUUGAAGGUGUCGAUUAUUUCGAAGGUACAAUAAGGUAGAACUAUUUCAACACUACGAUUCCAAAAAGUUACAUUUCUCCAUAAAAAUCAAAAGAUCCAAACUUGAAUAAUUUCUUCGCUAGAUUCCCAAAGCUAUAUUUGUCUAAGCAAAACCUAAAAGGUAAAUUUUUUUUCAAUGCUACAAGGAAAGCUUGCAAUAUUUCUGGUACAAAAAGAAAUCUUCCAAAAACAUUUCAAAUACGACGCAUACAUUGUUUACUCCCCGUUUCUUAUAAAUCUAUAUCAAGAAAAAACUACAAUAAAUCUUAAAUGAUACAUUAAUACAAAGGUUUGACAAUUUUUUCACAUUGAAGGUGUCGAUUAUUUCGAAGGUACAAUAAGCUAGAACUAUUUCAACACUACGAUUCCAAAAAGUUACAUUUCUCCAUGAAAAAUCAAAAGAUCCAAACUUGAAUAAUUUCUUCGCUAGUUUCCCAAAGGUAUAUUUGUCUAAGCAAAACCUAAAAGGUAAAUCAUUGUUCAAUGCUACAACGAAAGCUUGCAAUAUUACUGAUACAAAGUGAAAUCUCCCAAAAACAUUUCGAAUACGACGCAUAUAUUUUUUACUCCCCGUUUCUUAUAAAACUAUAUCAAGAAAAAACUACAAAAAAUCUUAAAUGAUAGAUUAAUAUAAAGGUUUGACAAUUUUUUCACAUUGAAGGUGUCGAUUAUUUCGAAGGUACAAUAAGGUAGAACUAUUUCAACACUACGAUUCCAAAAAGUUACAUUUCUCCAUAAAAAUCAAAAGAUCCAAACUUGAAUAAUUUCUUCGCUAGAUUCCCAAAGCUAUAUUUGUCUAAGCAAAACCUAAAAGGUAAAUUUUUUUUCAAUGCUACAAGGAAAGCUUGCAAUAUUUCUGGUACAAAAAGAAAUCUUCCAAAAACAUUUCAAAUACGACGCAUACAUUGUUUACUCCCCGUUUCUUAUAAAUCUAUAUCAAGAAAAAACUACAAUAAAUCUUAAAUGAUACAUUAAUACAAAGGUUUGACAAUUUUUUCACAUUGAAGAUGUCGAUUGUUUCGAAAGUACAAUAAGGUAGAACUAUUUCAACACUAUGAUUCCAAAAAGUUACAUUUCUCCAUAAAAAAUCAGAAGAUCCAAACUUGAAUAAUUUCUUCGCUAGAUUCCCAAAGCUAUAUAUUUGUAUAAGCAAAACCUAAAAGGUAAAUUUUUUUUCAAUGCUACAAGGAAAGCUUGCAAUAUUUCUGGUACAAAGUGAAAUCUCCCAAAAAUAUUUCAAAUACGACGCUUACAUUGUUUACUCCCCGUUUCUUAUAAAACUAUAUCGAGAAAAAACUACCAUUAAUCUUAAAUGAUACAUUAAUACAAAGGUUUGACAAUUUUUGCAUAUUGAAGGUGUAGAUUAUUUCGAAGGUACAAUAAGGUAGAACUAUUUCAACACUACGAUUCCAAAAAGUUAUAUUUCUCUAUGAAAAAUCAAAAGGUCCAAAUUUGAAUAAUGUCUCGCUAGAUUCUCAAAGCUAUAUUUGCUCAAGCAAACCGAAAAGUCUAUUUUUAUUUGAAUGAUACAAAGAAAGCUUGCAAAAUUUCUGGUUGAAACUGAAAUCUCCCAACAACAUUUCAAAUACGACGCAUACAUUUUUUACUCCCCGUUUCUUAUAAAUCUGUAUCAAGAAAAAACUACAAUAUAUCUUAAAUGAUACAUUAAUACAAAGGUUUGACAAUUUUUUCACAUUGAAGGUGUCGAUUAUUUCGAAGGUACAAUAAGCUAGAACUAUUUCAACACUACGAUUCCAAAAAGCUACAUUUCUCCAUGAAAAAUCAAAAGAUCCAAACUUGAAUAAUUUCUAAAAGUUUCCCAAAGCUAUAUUGGUCUAAGCAAAACCUAAAAGGUAAAUCAUUGUUCAAUGCUACAACGAAAGCUUGCAAUAUUACUGAUACAAAGUGAAAUCUCCCAAAAACAUUUCAAAUACGACGCAUAUAUUUUUUACUCCCCGUUUCUUAUAAAACUAUAUCAAGAAAAAACUACAAAAAAUCUUAAAUGAUAGAUUAAUAUAAAGGUUUGACAAUUUUUUCACAUUGAAGGUGUCGAUUAUUUCGAAGGUACAAUAAGGUAGAACUAUUUCAACACUACGAUUCCAAAAAGUUACAUUUCUCCAUAAAAAUCAAAAGAUCCAAACUUGAAUAAUUUCUUCGCUAGAUUCCCAAAGCUAUAUUUGUCUAAGCAAAACCUAAAAGGUAAAUUUUUUUUCAAUGCUACAAGGAAAGCUUGCAAUAUUUCUGGUACAAAAAGAAAUCUUCCAAAAACAUUUCAAAUACGACGCAUACAUUGUUUACUCCCCGUUUCUUAUAAAUCUAUAUCAAGAAAAAACUACAAUAAAUCUUAAAUGAUACAUUAAUACAAAGGUUUGACAAUUUUUUCACAUUGAAGAUGUCGAUUGUUUCGAAGGUACAAUAAGGUAGAACUAUUUCAACACUAUGAUUCCAAAAAGUUACAUUUCUCCAUAAAAAAUCAGAAGAUCCAAACUUGAAUAAUUUCUUCGCUAGAUUCCCAAAGCUAUAUAUUUGUAUAAGCAAAACCUAAAAGGUAAAUUUUUUUUCAAUGCUACAAGGAAAGCUUGCAAUAUUUCUGGUACAAAGUGAAAUCUCCCAAAAAUAUUUCAAAUACGACGCUUACAUUGUUUACUCCCCGUUUCUUAUAAAACUAUAUCGAGAAAAAACUACCAUUAAUCUUAAAUGAUACAUUAAUACAAAGGUUUGACAAUUUUUGCAUAUUGAAGGUGUAGAUUAUUUCGAAGGUACAAUAAGGUAGAACUAUUUCAACACUACGAUUCCAAAAAGUUAUAUUUCUCUAUGAAAAAUCAAAAGGUCCAAAUUUGAAUAAUGUCUCGCUAGAUUCUCAAAGCUAUAUUUGCUCAAGCAAAACCGAAAAGUCUAUUUUUAUUUGAAUGAUACAAAGAAAGCUUGCAAAAUUUCUGGUUGAAACUGAAAUCUCCCAACAACAUUUCAAAUACGACGCAUACAUUUUUUAGUCCCCGUUUCUUAUAAAUCUAUAUCAAGAAAAAACUACAAUAAAUUUUAAAUGAUACAUUAAUACAAAGGUUUGACAGUUUUUUCACAUUGAAGGGGUCGAUUAUUUCGAAGGUACAAUAAGCUAGAACUAUUUCAACACUACGAUUCCAAAAAGCUACAUUUCUCCAUGAAAAAUCAAAAGAUCCAAACUUGAAUAAUUUCUAAAAGUUUCCCAAAGCUAUAUUGGUCUAAGCAAAACCUAAAAGGUAAAUCAUUGUUCAAUGCUACAACGAAAGCUUGCAAUAUUACUGAUAAAAAGUGAAAUCUCCCAAAAACAUUUCAAAUACGACGCAUAUAUUUUUUACUCCCCGUUUCUUAUAAAACUAUAUCAAGAAAAAACUACAAAAAAUCUUAAAUGAUAGAUUAAUAUAAAGGUUUGACAAUUUUUUCACAUUGAAGGUGUCGAUUAUUUCGAAGGUACAAUAAGGUAGAACUAUUUCAACACUACGAUUCCAAAAAGUUACAUUUCUCCAUAAAAAUCAAAAGAUCCAAACUUGAAUAAUUUCUUCGCUAGAUUCCCAAAGCUAUAUUGGUCUAAGCAAAACCUAAAAGGUAAAUUUUUUUUCAAUGCUACAAGGAAAGCUUGCAAUAUUUCUGGUACAAAAAGAAAUCUUCCAAAAACAUUUCAAAUACGACGCAUACAUUGUUUACUCCCCGUUUCUUAUAAAACUAUAUCAAGAAAAAACUACAAAAAAUCUUAAAUGAUAGGUUAAUAUAAAGGUUUGACAAUUUUUUCACAUUGAAGGUGUCGAUUAGUUCGAAGGUACAAUAAGGUAAAACUAUUUCAACACUACGAUUCCAAAAAGUUACAUUUCUCCAUAAAAAUCAAAAGAUCCAAACUUGAAUAAUUUCUUCGCUAGAUUCCCAAAGCUAUAUUUGUCUAAACAAAACCUAAAAGGUAAAUUUUUUUUCAAUGCUACAAGGAAAGCUUGCAAUAUUUCUGGUACAAAGUGAAAUCUCCCAAAAACAUUUCAAAUACGACGCUUACAUUGUUUACUCCCCGUUUCUUAUAAAACUAUAUCGAGAAAAAACUACCAUUAAUCUUAAAUGAUACAUUAAUACAAAAGUUUGACAAUUUUUACAUAUUGAAGGUGUAGAUUAUUUCGAAGGUACAAUAAGGUAGAACUAUUUCAACUCUACGAUUCCAAAAAGUUAUAUUUCUCUAUGAAAAAUCAAAAGGUCCAUAUUUGAAUAAUGUCUCGCUAGAUUCUCAAAGCUAUAUUUGCUCAAGCAAACCGAAAAGUCUAUUUUUAUUUGAAUGAUACAAAGAAAGCUUGCAAAAUUUCUGGUUGAAACUGAAAUCUCCCAACAACAUUUCAAAUACGACGCAUACAUUUUUUACUCCCCGUUUCUUAUAAAUCUGUAUCAAGAAAAAACUACAAUAUAUCUUAAAUGAUACAUUAAUACAAAGGUUUGACAAUUUUUUCACAUUGAAGGUGUCGAUUAUUUCGAAGGUACAAUAAGCUAGAACUAUUUCAACACUACGAUUCCAAAAAGCUACAUUUCUCCAUGAAAAAUCAAAAGAUCCAAACUUGAAUAAUUUCUAAAAGUUUCCCAAAGCUAUAUUGGUCUAAGCAAAACCUAAAAGGUAAAUCAUUGUUCAAUCCUACAACGAAAGCUUGCAAUAUUACUGAUACAAAGUGAAAUCUCCCAAAAACAUUUCAAAUACGACGCAUAUAUUUUUUACUCCCCGUUUCUUAUAAAACUAUAUCAAGAAAAAACUACAAAAAAUCUUAAAUGAUAGAUUAAUAUAAAGGUUUGACAAUUUUUUCACAUUGAAGGUGUCGAUUAUUUCGAAGGUACAAUAAGGUAGAACUAUUUCAACACUACGAUUCCAAAAAGUUACAUUUCUCCAUAAAAAUCAAAAGAUCCAAACUUGAAUAAUUUCUUCGCUACAUUCCCAAAGCUAUAUUUGUCUAAGCAAAACCUAAAAGGUAAAUUUUUUUUCAAUGCUACAAGGAAAGCUUGCAAUAUUUCUGGUACAAAAAGAAAUCUUCCAAAAACAUUUCAAAUACGACGCAUACAUUGUUUACUCCCCGUUUCUUAUAAAUCUAUAUCAAGAAAAAACUACAAUAAAUCUUAAAUGAUACAUUAAUACAAAGGUUUGACAAUUUUUUCACAUUGAAGGUGUCGAUUAUUUCGAAGGUACAAUAAGCUAGAACUAUUUCAACACUACGAUUCCAAAAAGUUACAUUUCUCCAUGAAAAAUCAAAAGAUCCAAACUUGAAUAAUUUCUUCGCUAGUUUCCCAAAGGUAUAUUGGUCUAAGCAAAACCUAAAAGGUAAAUCAUUGUUCAAUGCUACAACGAAAGCUUGCAAUAUUACUGAUACAAAGUGAAAUCUCCCAAAAACAUUUCGAAUACGACGCAUAUAUUUUUUACUCUCCGUUUCUUAUAAAACUAUAUCAAGAAAAAACUACAAAAAAUCUUAAAUGAUAGAUUAAUAUAAAGGUUUGACAAUUUUUUCACAUUGAAGGUGUCGAUUAUUUCGAAGGUACAAUAAGGUAGAACUAUUUCAACACUACGAUUCCAAAAAGUUACAUUUCUCCAUAAAAAUCAAAAGAUCCAAACUUGAAUAAUUUCUUCGCUAGAUUCCCAAAGCUAUAUUUGUCUAAGCAAAACCUAAAAGGUAAAUUUUUUUUCAAUGCUACAAGGAAAGCUUGCAAUAUUUCUGGUACAAAAAGAAAUCUUCCAAAAACAUUUCAAAUACGACGCAUACAUUGUUUACUCCCCGUUUCUUAUAAAUCUAUAUCAAGAAAAAACUACAAUAAAUGUUAAAUGAUACAUUAAUACAAAGGUUUGACAAUUUUUUCUCAUUGAAGAUGUCGAUUGUUUCGAAAGUACAAUAAGGUAGAACUAUUUCAACACUAUGAUUCCAAAAAGUUACAUUUCUCCAUAAAAAAUCAGAAGAUCCAAACUUGAAUAAUUUCUUCGCUAGAUUCCCAAAGCUAUAUAUUUGUAUAAGCAAAACCUAAAAGGUAAAUUUUUUUUCAAUGCUACAAGGAAAGCUUGCAAUAUUUCUGGUACAAAGUGAAGUCUCCCAAAAAUAUUUCAAAUACGACGCUUACAUUGUUUACUCCCCGUUUCUUAUAAAACUAUAUCGAGAAAAAACUACCAUUAAUCUUAAAUGAUACAUUAAUACAAAGGUUUGACAAUUUUUGCAUAUUGAAGGUGUAGAUUAUUUCGAAGGUACAAUAAGGUAGAACUAUUUCAACACUACGAUUCCAAAAAGUUAUAUUUCUCUAUGAAAAAUCAAAAGGUCCAAAUUUGAAUAAUGUCUCGCUAGAUUCUCAAAGCUAUAUUUGCUCAAGCAAAACCGAAAAGUCUAUUUUUAUUUGAAUGAUACAAAGAAAGCUUGCAAAAUUUCUGGUUGAAACUGAAAUCUCCCAACAACAUUUCAAAUACGACGCAUACAUUUUUUAGUCCCCGUUUCUUAUAAAUCUAUAUCAAGAAAAAACUACAAUAAAUCUUAUAUGAUACAUUAAUACAAAGGUUUGACAAUUUUUUCACAUUGAAGGGGUCGAUUAUUUCGAAGGUACAAUAAGCUAGAACUAUUUCAACACUACGAUUCCAAAAAGCUACAUUUCUCCAUGAAAAAUCAAAAGAUCCAAACUUGAAUAAUUUCUAAAAGUUUCCCAAAGCUAUAUUGGUCUAAGCAAAACCUAAAAGGUAAAUCAUUGUUCAAUGCUACAACGAAAGCUUGCAAUAUUACUGAUAAAAAGUGAAAUCUCCCAAAAACAUUUCAAAUACGACGCAUAUAUUUUUUACUCCCCGUUUCUUAUAAAACUAUAUCAAGAAAAAACUACAAAAAAUCUUAAAUGAUAGAUUAAUAUAAAGGUUUGACAAUUUUUUCACAUUGAAGGUGUCGAUUAUUUCGAAGGUACAAUAAGGUAGAACUAUUUCAACACUACGAUUCCAAAAAGUUACAUUUCUCCAUAAAAAUCAAAAGAUCCAAACUUGAAUAAUUUCUUCGCUAGAUUCCCAAAGCUAUAUUUGUCUAAGCAAAACCUAAAAGGUAAAUUUUUUUUCAAUGCUACAAGGAAAGCUUGCAAUAUUUCUGGUACCAAAAGAAAUCUUCAAAAAACAUUUCAAAUACGACGCAUACAUUAUUUACUCCCCGUUUCUUAUAAAACUAUAUCAAGAAAAAACUACAAUAAAUCUUAAAUGAUACAUUAAUACAAAGGUUUGACAAUUUUUGCACAUUGAAGGCGUAGGUUACUUCGAAGGUACAAUAAGGUAGAACUAUUUCAACACUACGAUUCCAAAAAGUUACAUUUCUAAAUAAAAAAUCAAAAGAUCCAAACUUGAAUAAUUUCUUCGCUAGAUUCCCAAAGCUAUAUUUGUCUAAGCAAAACCUAAAAGGUAAAUUUUUUUUCAAUGCUACAAGGAAAGCUGGCUAUAUUUCUGGUACAAAAAGAAAUCUUCCAAAAACAUUUCAAAUACGACGCAUACAUUGUUUACUCCCCGUUUCUUAUAAAACUAUAUCAAGAAAAAAUUACAAUAAAUCUUAAAUGAUAAUUAAUACAAAUGUUUGACAAUUUUUGCACAUUGAAGGUGUAGGUUACUUCGAAGGUACAAUAAGGUAGAACUAUUUCAGCACUACGAUUCCAAAAAGUUACAUUUCUCUAUGAAAAAUCAAAAGAUCCAAACUUGAAUAAUUUCUUCGCUAGAUUCCCAAAGCUAUCUAUUUGUAUAAGCAAAACCUAAAAGGUAAAUUUUUUUUCAAUGCUACAAGGAAAGCUUGCAAUAUUUCUGGUACAUAGUGAAAUCUCCCAAAAACAUUUCAAAUACGACGCUUACAUUGUUUACUCCCCGUUUCUUAUAAAACUGUAUCGAGAAAAAACUACCAUUAAUCUUAAAUGAUACAUUAAUACAAAGGUUUGACAAUUUUUACAUAUUGAAGGUGUAGAUUAUUUCGAAGGUACAAUAAGGUAGAACUAUUUCAACACUACGAUUCCAAAAAGUUAUAUUUCUCUAUGAAAAAUCAAAAGGUCCAAAUUUGAAUAAUUUCUCGCUAGAUUCUCAAAGCUAUAUUUGCUCAAGCAAACCGAAAAGUCUAUUUUUAUUUGAAUGAUACAAAGAAAGCUUGCAAAAUUUCUGGUUGAAACUGAAAUCUCCCAACAACAUUUCAAAUACGACGCAUACAUUUUUUACUCCCCGUUUCUUAUAAAUCUGUAUCAAGAAAAAACUACAAUAUAUCUUAAAUGAUAGGUUAAUAUAAAGGUUUGACAAUUUUUUCACAUCGAAGGUGUCGAUUAUUUCGAAGGUACAAUAAGGUAGAACUAUUUCAACACUACGAUUCCAAAAAGUUACAUUCCUCUAUGAAAAAUCAAAAGAUCCAAACUUGAAUAAUUUCUUCGCUAGAUUGCCAAAGCUAUAUUUGUCUUGGCAAAACCUAAAAGGUAAAUUUUUUUUCAAUGCUACAAGGAAAGCUUGCAAUAUUUCUGGUACAAAGUGAAAUCUUCAAAAAACAUUUCAAAUACGACGCAUACAUUAUUUACUCCCCGUUUCUUAUAAAACUAUAUCAAGAAAAAACUACAAUAAAUCUUAAAUGAUACAUUAAUACAAAGGUUUGACAAUUUUUCACAUUGAAGGCGUAGGUUACUUCGAAGGUACAAUAAGGUAGAACUAUUUCAACACUACGAUUCCAAAAAGUUACAUUUCUAAAUAAAAAAUCAAAAGAUCCAAACUUGAAUAAUUUCUUCGCUAGAUUCCCAAAGCUAUAUUUGUCUAAGCAAAACCUAAAAGGUAAAUUUUUUUUCAAUGCUACAAGGAAAGCUUGCUAUAUUUCUGGUACAAAAAGAAAUCUUCCAAAAACAUUUCAAAUACGACGCAUACAUUGUUUACUCCCCGUUUCUUAUAAAACUAUAUCAAGAAAAAAUUACAAUAAAUCUUAAAUGAUAAUUAAUACAAAUGUUUGACAAUUUUUGCACAUUGAAGGUGUAGGUUACUUCGAAGGUACAAUAAGGUAGAACUAUUUCAGCACUACGAUUCCAAAAAGUUACAUUUCUCUAUGAAAAAUCAAAAGAUCCAAACUUGAAUAAUUUCGUCGCUAGAUUCCCAAAGCUAUAUAUUUGUAUAAGCAAAACCUAAAAGGUAAAUUUUUUUCAAUGCUACAAGGAAAGCUUGCAAUAUUUCUGGUACAAAGUGAAAUCCCCCAAAAACAUUUCAAAUACGACGCUUACAUUGUUUACUCCCCGUUUCUUAUAAAACUAUAUCGAGAAAAAACUACCAUUAAUCUUAAAUGAUACAUUAAUACAAAGGUUUGACAAUUUUUACAUAUUGAAGGUGUAGAUUAUUUCGAAGGUACAAUAAGGUAGAACUAUUUCAACACUACGAUUCCAAAAAGUUAUAUUUCUCUAUGAAAAAUCAAAAGGUCCAAAUUUGAAUAAUGUCUCGCUAGAUUCUCAAAGCUAUAUUUGCUCAAGCAAACCGAAAAGUCUAUUUUUAUUUGAAUGAUACAAAGAAAGCUUGCAAAAUUUCUGGUUGAAACUGAAAUCUCCCAACAACAUUUCAAAUACGACGCAUACAUUUUUUACUCCCCGUUUCUUAUAAAUCUGUAUCAAGAAAAAACUACAAUAUAUCUUAAAUGAUACAUUAAUACAAAGGUUUGACAAUUUUUUCACAUUGAAGGUGUCGAUUAUUUCGAAGGUACAAUAAGCUAGAACUAUUUCAACACUACGAUUCCAAAAAGCUACAUUUCUCCAUGAAAAAUCAAAAGAUCCAAACUUGAAUAAUUUCUAAAAGUUUCCCAAAGCUCUAUUGGUCUAAGCAAAACCUAAAAGGUAAAUCAUUGUUCAAUGCUACAACGAAAGCUUGCAAUAUUACUGAUACAAAGUGAAAUCUCCCAAAAACAUUUCAAAUACGACGCAUAUAUUUUUUACUCCCCGUUUCUUAUAAAACUAUAUCAAGAAAAAACUACAAAAAAUCUUAAAUGAUAGAUUAAUAUAAAGGUUUGACAAUUUUUUCACAUUGAAGGUGUCGAUUAUUUCGAAGGUACAAUAAGGUAGAACUAUUUCAACACUACGAUUCCAAAAAGUUACAUUUCUCCAUAAAAAUCAAAAGAUCCAAACUUGAAUAAUUUCUUCGCUAGAUUCCCAAAGCUAUAUUUGUCUAAGCAAAACCUAAAAGGUAAAUUUUUUUUCAAUGCUACAAGGAAAGCUUGCAAUAUUUCUGGUACAAAAAGAAAUCUUCAAAAAACAUUUCAAAUACGACGCAUACAUUAUUUACUCCCCGUUUCUUAUAAAACUAUAUCAAGAAAAAACUACAAUAAAUCUUAAAUGAUACAUUAAUACAAAGGUUUGACAAUUUUUGCACAUUGAAGGCGUAGGUUACUUCGAAGGUACAAUAAGGUAGAACUAUUUCAACACUACGAUUCCAAAAAGUUACAUUUCUAAAUAAAAAAUCAAAAGAUCCAAACUUGAAUAAUUUCUUCGCUAGAUUCCCAAAGCUAUAUUUGUCUAAGCAAAACCUAAAAGGUAAAUUUUUUUUCAAUGCUACAAGGAAAGCUGGCUAUAUUUCUGGUACAAAAAGAAAUCUUCCAAAAACAUUUCAAAUACGACGCAUACAUUGUUUACUCCCCGUUUCUUAUAAAACUAUAUCAAGAAAAAAUUACAAUAAAUCUUAAAUGAUAAUUAAUACAAAUGUUUGACAAUUUUUGCACAUUGAAGGUGUAGGUUACUUCGAAGGUACAAUAAGGUAGAACUAUUUCAGCACUACGAUUCCAAAAAGUUACAUUUCUCUAUGAAAAAUCAAAAGAUCCAAACUUGAAUAAUUUCUUCGCUAGAUUCCCAAAGCUAUCUAUUUGUAUAAGCAAAACCUAAAAGGUAAAUUUUUUUUCAAUGCUACAAGGAAAGCUUGCAAUAUUUCUGGUACAAAGUGAAAUCUCCCAAAAACAUUUAAAAUACGACGCUUACAUUGUUUACUCCCCGUUUCUUAUAAAACUAUAUCGAGAAAAAACUACCAUUAAUCUUAAAUGAUACAUUAAUACAAAGGUUUGACAAUUUUUACAUAUUGAAGGUGUAGAUUAUUUCGAAGGUACAAUAAGGUAGAACUAUUUCAACACUACGAUUCCAAAAAGUUAUAUUUCUCUAUGAAAAAUCAAAAGGUCCAAAUUUGAAUAAUGUCUCGCUAGAUUCUCAAAGCUAUAUUUGCUCAAGCAAACCGAAAAGUCUAUUUUUAUUUGAAUGAUACAAAGAAAGCUUGCAAAAUUUCUGGUUGAAACUGAAAUCUCCCAACAACAUUUCAAAUACGACGCAUACAUUUUUUACUCCCCGUUUCUUAUAAAUCUGUAUCAAGAAAAAACUACAAUAUAUCUUAAAUGAUAGGUUAAUAUAAAGGUUUGACAAUUUUUUCACAUUGAAGGUGUCGAUUAUUUCGAAGGUACAAUAAGGUAGAACUAUUUCAACACUACGAUUCCAAAAAGUUACAUUCCUCUAUGAAAAAUCAAAAGAUCCAAACUUGAAUAAUUUCUUCGCUAGAUUGCCAAAGCUAUAUUUGUCUUGGCAAAACCUAAAAGGUAAAUUUUUUUUCAAUGCUACAAGGAAAGCUUGCAAUAUUUCUGGUACAAAGUGAAAUCUUCAAAAAACAUUUCAAAUACGACGCAUACAUUAUUUACUCCCCGUUUCUUAUAAAACUAUAUCAAGAAAAAACUACAAUAAAUCUUAAAUGAUACAUUAAUACAAAGGUUUGACAAUUUUUGCACAUUGAAGGCGUAGGUUACUUCGAAGGUACAAUAAGGUAGAACUAUUUCAACACUACGAUUCCAAAAAGUUACAUUUCUAAAUAAAAAAUCAAAAGAUCCAAACUUGAAUAAUUUCUUCGCUAGAUUCCCAAAGCUAUAUUUGUCUAAGCAAAACCUAAAAGGUAAAUUUUUUUUCAAUGCUACAAGGAAAGCUUGCUAUAUUUCUGGUACAAAAAGAAAUCUUCCAAAAACAUUUCAAAUACGACGCAUACAUUGUUUACUCCCCGUUUCUUAUAAAACUAUAUCAAGAAAAAAUUACAAUAAAUCUUAAAUGAUAAUUAAUACAAAUGUUUGACAAUUUUUGCACAUUGAAGGUGUAGGUUACUUCGAAGGUACAAUAAGGUAGAACUAUUUCAGCACUACGAUUCCAAAAAGUUACAUUUCUCUAUGAAAAAUCAAAAGAUCCAAACUUGAAUAAUUUCUUCGCUAGAUUCCCAAAGCUAUAUAUUUGUAUAAGCAAAACCUAAAAGGUAAAUUUUUUUUCAAUGCUACAAGGAAAGCUUGCAAUAUUUCUGGUACAAAGUGAAAUCUCCCAAAAACAUUUCAAAUACGACGCUUACAUUGUUUACUCCCCGUUUCUUAUAAAACUAUAUCGAGAAAAAACUACCAUUAAUCUUAAAUGAUACAUUAAUACAAAGGUUUGACAAUUUUUACAUAUUGAAGGUGUAGAUUAUUUCGAAGGUACAAUAAGGUAGAACUAUUUCAACACUACGAUUCCAAAAAGUUAUAUUUCUCUAUGAAAAAUCAAAAGGUCCAAAUUUGAAUAAUGUCUCGCUAGAUUCUCAAAGCUAUAUUUGCUCAAGCAAACCGAAAAGUCUAUUUUUAUUUGAAUGAUACAAAGAAAGCUUGCAAAAUUUCUGGUUGAAACUGAAAUCUCCCAACAACAUUUCAAAUACGACGCAUACAUUUUUUACUCCCCGUUUCUUAUAAAUCUGUAUCAAGAAAAAACUACAAUAUAUCUUAAAUGAUACAUUAAUACAAAGGUUUGACAAUUUUUUCACAUUGAAGGUGUCGAUUAUUUCGAAGGUACAAUAAGCUAGAACUAUUUCAACACUACGAUUCCAAAAAGCUACAUUUCUCCAUGAAAAAUCAAAAGAUCCAAACUUGAAUAAUUUCUAAAAGUUUCCCAAAGCUAUAUUGGUCUAAGCAAAACCUAAAAGGUAAAUCAUUGUUCAAUGCUACAACGAAAGCUUGCAAUAUUACUGAUACAAAGUGAAAUCUCCCAAAAACAUUUCAAAUACGACGCAUAUAUUUUUUACUCCCCGUUUCUUAUAAAACUAUAUCAAGAAAAAACUACAAUAUAUCUUAAAUGAUAGGUUAAUAUAAAGGUUUGACAAUUUUUUCACAUUGAAGGUGUCGAUUAUUUCGAAGGUACAAUAAGGUAGAACUAUUUCAACACUACGAUUCCAAAAAGUUACAUUCCUCUAUGAAAAAUCAAAAGAUCCAAACUUGAAUAAUUUCUUCGCUAGAUUGCCAAAGCUAUAUUUGUCUUGGCAAAACCUAAAAGGUAAAUUUUUUUUCAAUGCUACAAGGAAAGCUUGCAAUAUUUCUGGUACAAAGUGAAAUCUUCAAAAAACAUUUCAAAUACGACGCAUACAUUAUUUACUCCCCGUUUCUUAUAAAACUAUAUCAAGAAAAAACUACAAUAAAUCUUAAAUGAUACAUUAAUACAAAGGUUUGACAAUUUUUGCACAUUGAAGGCGUAGGUUACUUCGAAGGUACAAUAAGGUAGAACUAUUUCAACACUACGAUUCCAAAAAGUUACAUUUCUAAAUAAAAAAUCAAAAGAUCCAAACUUGAAUAAUUUCUUCGCUAGAUUCCCAAAGCUAUAUUUGUCUAAGCAAAACCUAAAAGGUAAAUUUUUUUUCAAUGCUACAAGGAAAGCUUGCUAUAUUUCUGGUACAAAAAGAAAUCUUCCAAAAACAUUUCAAAUACGACGCAUACAUUGUUUACUCCCCGUUUCUUAUAAAACUAUAUCAAGAAAAAAUUACAAUAAAUCUUAAAUGAUAAUUAAUACAAAUGUUUGACAAUUUUUGCACAUUGAAGGUGUAGGUUACUUCGAAGGUACAAUAAGGUAGAACUAUUUCAGCACUACGAUUCCAAAAAGUUACAUUUCUCUAUGAAAAAUCAAAAGAUCCAAACUUGAAUAAUUUCUUCGCUAGAUUCCCAAAGCUAUAUAUUUGUAUAAGCAAAACCUAAAAGGUAAAUUUUUUUUCAAUGCUACAAGGAAAGCUUGCAAUAUUUCUGGUACAAAGUGAAAUCUCCCAAAAACAUUUCAAAUACGACGCUUACAUUGUUUACUCCCCGUUUCUUAUAAAACUAUAUCGAGAAAAAACUACCAUUAAUCUUAAAUGAUACAUUAAUACAAAGGUUUGACAAUUUUUACAUAUUGAAGGUGUAGAUUAUUUCGAAGGUACAAUAAGGUAGAACUAUUUCAACACUACGAUUCCAAAAAGUUAUAUUUCUCUAUGAAAAAUCAAAAGGUCCAAAUUUGAAUAAUGUCUCGCUAGAUUCUCAAAGCUAUAUUUGCUCAAGCAAACCGAAAAGUCUAUUUUUAUUUGAAUGAUACAAAGAAAGCUUGCAAAAUUUCUGGUUGAAACUGAAAUCUCCCAACAACAUUUCAAAUACGACGCAUACAUUUUUUACUCCCCGUUUCUUAUAAAUCUAUAUCAAGAAAAAACUACAAUAUAUCUUAAAUGAUACAUUAAUACAAAGGUUUGACAAUUUUUUCACAUUGAAGGUGUCGAUUAUUUCGAAGGUACAAUAAGCUAGAACUAUUUCAACACUACGAUUCCAAAAAGCUACAUUUCUCCAUGAAAAAUCAAAAGAUCCAAACUUGAAUAAUUUCUAAAAGUUUCCCAAAGCUAUAUUGGUCUAAGCAAAACCUAAAAGGUAAAUCAUUGUUCAAUGCUACAACGAAAGCUUGCAAUAUUACUGAUACAAAGUGAAAUCUCCCAAAAACAUUUCAAAUACGACGCAUAUAUUUUUUACUCCCCGUUUCUUAUAAAACUAUAUCAAGAAAAAACUACAAAAAAUCGUAAAUGAUAGAUUAAUAUAAAGGUUUGACAAUUUUUUCACAUUGAAGGUGUCGAUUAUUUCGAAGGUACAAUAAGGUAGAACUAUUUCAACACUACGAUUCCAAAAAGUUACAUUUCUCCAUAAAAAUCAAAAGAUCCAAACUUGAAUAAUUUCUUCGCUAGAUUCCCAAAGCUAUAUUUGUCUAAGCAAAACCUAAAAGGUAAAUUUUUUUCAAUGCUACAAGGAAAGCUUGCAAUAUUUCUGGUACAAAAAGAAAUCUUCCAAAAACAUUUCAAAUACGACGCAUACAUUGUUUACUCCCCGUUUCUUAUAAAUCUAUAUCAAGAAAAAACUACAAUAAAUCUUAAAUGAUACAUUAAUACAAAGGUUUGACAAUUUUUUCACAUUGAAGGUGUCGAUUAUUUCGAAGGUACAAUAAGCUAGAACUAUUUCAACACUACGAUUCCAAAAAGUUACAUUUCUCCAUGAAAAAUCAAAAGAUCCAAACUUGAAUAAUUUCUUCGCUAGUUUCCCAAAGGUAUAUUGGUCUAAGCAAAACCUAAAAGGUAAAUCAUUGUUCAAUGCUACAACGAAAGCUUGCAAUAUUACUGAUACAAAGUGAAAUCUCCCAAAAACAUUUCGAAUACGACGCAUAUAUUUUUUACUCCCCGUUUCUUAUAAAACUAUAUCAAGAAAAAACUACAAAAAAUCUUAAAUGAUAGAUUAAUAUAAAGGUUUGACAAUUUUUUCACAUUGAAGGUGUCGAUUAUUUCGAAGGUACAAUAAGGAAGAACUAUUUCAACACUACGAUUCCAAAAAGUUACAUGUCUCCAUAAAAAUCAAAAGAUCCAAACUUGAAUAAUUUCUUCGCUAGAUUCCCAAAGCUAUAUUUGUCUAAGCAAAACCUAAAAGGUAAAUUUUUUUUCAAUGCUACAAGGAAAGCUUGCAAUAUUUCUGGUACAAAAAGAAAUCUUCCAAAAACAUUUCAAAUACGACGCAUACAUUGUUUACUCCCCGUUUCUUAUAAGACUAUAUCAAGAAAAAACUACAAAAAAUCUUAAGUGAUAGAUUAAUAUAAAGGUUUGACAAUUUUUUCACAUUGAAGGUGUCGAUUAUUUCGAAGGUACAAUAAGGUAGAAGUAUUUCAACACUAAGAUUCCAAAAAGUUACAUUUCUCCAUGAAAGAUCAAAAGAUCCAAACUUGAAUAAUUUCUUCGCUAGAUUCCCAAAGCUAUCUAUUUGUAUAAGCAAAACCUAAAAGGUAAAUUUUUUUUCAAUGCUACAAGGAAAGCUUGCAAUAUUUCUGGUACAAAGUGAAAUCUCCCAAAAACAUUUAAAAUACGACGCUUACAUUGUUUACUCCCCGUUUCUUAUAAAACUAUAUCGAGAAAAAACUACCAUUAAUCUUAAAUGAUACAUUAAUACAAAGGUUUGACAAUUUUUACAUAUUGAAGGUGUAGAUUAUUUCGAAGGUACAAUAAGGUAGAACUAUUUCAACACUACGAUUCCAAAAAGUUAUAUUUCUCUAUGAAAAAUCAAAAGGUCCAAAUUUGAAUAAUGUCUCGCUAGAUUCUCAAAGCUAUAUUUGCUCAAGCAAACCGAAAAGUCUAUUUUUAUUUGAAUGAUACAAAGAAAGCUUGCAAAAUUUCUGGUUGAAACUGAAAUCUCCCAACAACAUUUCAAAUACGACGCAUACAUUUUUUACUCCCCGUUUCUUAUAAAUCUGUAUCAAGAAAAAACUACAAUAUAUCUUAAAUGAUAGGUUAAUAUAAAGGUUUGACAAUUUUUUCACAUUGAAGGUGUCGAUUAUUUCGAAGGUACAAUAAGGUAGAACUAUUUCAAAACUACGAUUCCAAAAAGUUACAUUCCUCUAUGAAAAAUCAAAAGAUCCAAACUUGAAUAAUUUCUUCGCUAGAUUGCCAAAGCUAUAUUUGUCUUGGCAAAACCUAAAAGGUAAAUUUUUUUUCAAUGCUACAAGGAAAGCUUGCAAUAUUUCUGGUACAAAGUGAAAUCUUCAAAAAACAUUUCAAAUACGACGCAUACAUUAUUUACUCCCCGUUUCUUAUAAAACUAUAUCAAGAAAAAACUACAAUAAAUCUUAAAUGAUACAUUAAUACAAAGGUUUGACAAUUUUUUCACAUUGAAGGUGUCGAUUAUUUCGAAGGUACAAUAAGCUAGAACUAUUUCAACACUACGAUUCCAAAAAGUUACAUUUCUCCAUGAAAAAUCAAAAGAUCCAAACUUGAAUAAUUUCUUCGCUAGUUUCCCAAAGGUAUAUUGGUCUAAGCAAAACCUAAAAGGUAAAUCAUUGUUCAGUGCUACAACGAAAGCUUGCAAUAUUACUGAUACAAAGUGAAAUCUCCCAAAAACAUUUCGAAUACGACGCAUAUAUUUUUUACUCCCCGUUUCUUAUAAAACUAUAUCAAGAAAAAACUACAAAAAAUCUUAAAUGAUAGAUUAAUAUAAAGGUUUGACAAUUUUUUCACAUUGAAGGUGUCGAUUAUUUCGAAGGUACAAUAAGGUAGAACUAUUUCAACACUACGAUUCCAAAAAGUUACAUGUCUCCAUAAAAAUCAAAAGAUCCAAACUUGAAUAAUUUCUUCGCUAGAUUCCCAAAGCUAUAUUUGUCUAAGCAAAACCUAAAAGGUAAAUUUUUUUUCAAUGCUACAAGGAAAGCUUGCAAUAUUUCUGGUACAAAAAGAAAUCUUCCAAAAACAUUUCAAAUACGACGCAUACAUUGUUUACUCCCCGUUUCUUAUAAGACUAUAUCAAGAAAAAACUACAAAAAAUCUUAAGUGAUAGAUUAAUAUAAAGGUUUGACAAUUUUUUCACAUUGAAGGUGUCGAUUAUUUCGAAGGUACAAUAAGGUAGAAGUAUUUCAACACUAAGAUUCCAAAAAGUUACAUUUCUCCAUGAAAGAUCAAAAGAUCCAAACUUGAAUAAUUUCUUCGCUAGAUUCCCAAAGCUAUAUUGGUCUAAGCAAAACCUAAAAGGUAAAAAUUUUUUUAAUGCUACAACGAAAGCUUGCAAUAUUUCUGGUACAAAGUGAAAUCUCCCAAAAACAUUUCGAAUACGACGCAUAUAUUUUUUACUCCCCGUUUCUUAUAAAACUAUAUCAAGAAAAAACUACAAAAAAUCUUAAAUGAUAGAUUAAUAUAAAGGUUUGACAAUUUUUUCACAUUGAAGGUGUCGAUUAUUUCGAAGGUACAAUAAGGUAGAAGUAUUUCAACACUAAGAUUCCAAAAAGUUACAUUUCUCCAUGAAAGAUCAAAAGAUCCAAACUUGAAUAAUUUCUUCGCUAGAUUCCCAAAGCUAUAUUGGUCUAAGCAAAACCUAAAAGAUAACUCAUUUUUCAAUGCUACAACGAAAGCUUGCAAUAUUUCUGGUACAAAUUGAAAUCUCCCAAAAACAUUUCAAACACGACGCAUAUAUUUUUUACUCCCCGUUUCUUAUAAAACUAUAUCAAGAAAAAACUACAAAAAAUCUUAAAUGAUAGGUUAAUAUAAAGGUUUGACAAUUUUUUCACAUUGAAGGUGUCGAUUAUUUCGAAGGUACAAUAAGGUAGAACUAUUUCAACACUACGAUUCCAAAAAGUUACAUUUCUCCAUGAAAAAUCAAAAGAUCCAAACUUGAAUAAUUUCUUCGCUAGAUUCCAAAGCUAUAUUGGUCUAAGCAAAACCUAAAAGAUAACUCAUUUUUCAAUGCUACAACGAAAGCUUGCAAUAUUUCUGGUACAAAUUGAAAUCUCCCAAAAACAUUUCAAACACGACGCAUAUAUUUUUUACUCCCCGUUUCUUAUAAAACUAUAUCAAGAAAAAACUACAAAAAAUCUUAAAUGAUAGGUUAAUAUAAAGGUUUGACAAUUUUUUCACAUUGAAGGUGUCGAUUAUUUCGAAGGUACAAUAAGGUAGAACUAUUUCAACACUACGAUUCCAAAAAGUUACAUUUCUCCAUAAAAAAUCUAAAGAUCCAAACUUGAAUAAUUUCUUCGCUAGAUUCCCAAAGCUAUAUUUGUCUAAGCAAAACCUAAAAGGUAAAUUUUUUUUCAAUGCUACAAGGAAAGCUGGCUAUAUUUCUGGUACAAAAAGAAAUCUUCCAAAAACAUUUCAAAUACGACGCAUACAUUGUUUACUCCCCGUUUCUUAUAAAACUAUAUCAAGAAAAAAUUACAAUAAAUCUUAAAUGAUAAUUAAUACAAAUGUUUGACAAUUUUUGCACAUUGAAGGUGUAGGUUACUUCGAAGGUACAAUAAGGUAGAACUAUUUCAGCACUACGAUUCCAAAAAGUUACAUUUCUCUAUGAAAAAUCAAAAGAUCCAAACUUGAAUAAUUUCUUCGCUAGAUUCCCAAAGCUAUCUAUUUGUAUAAGCAAAACCUAAAAGGUAAACUUUUUUUCAAUGCUACAAGGAAAGCUUGCAAUAUUUCUGGUACAAAGUGAAAUCUCCCAAAAACAUUUCAAAUACGACGCUUACAUUGUUUACUCCCCGUUUCUUAUAAAACUAUAUCGAGAAAAAACUACCAUUAAUCUUAAAUGAUACAUUAAUACAAAGGUUUGACAAUUUUUACAUAUUGAAGGUGUAGAUUAUUUCGAAGGUACAAUAAGGUAGAACUAUUUCAACACUACGAUUCCAAAAAGUUAUAUUUCUCUAUGAAAAAUCAAAAGGUCCAAAUUUGAAUAAUUUCUCGCUAGAUUCUCAAAGCUAUAUUUGCUCAAGCAAACCGAAAAGUCUAUUUUUAUUUGAAUGAUACAAAGAAAGCUUGCAAAAUUUCUGGUUGAAACUGAAAUCUCCCAACAACAUUUCAAAUACGACGCAUACAUUUUUUACUCCCCGUUUCUUAUAAAUCUGUAUCAAGAAAAAACUACAAUAUAUCUUAAAUGAUAGGUUAAUAUAAAGGUUUGACAAUUUUUUCACAUUGAAGGUGUCGAUUAUUUCGAAGGUACAAUAAGGUAGAACUAUUUCAACACUACGAUUCCAAAAAGUUACAUUCCUCUAUGAAAAAUCAAAAGAUCCAAACUUGAAUAAUUUCUUCGCUAGAUUGCCAAAGCUAUAUUUGUCUUGGCAAAACCUAAAAGGUAAAUUUUUUUUCAAUGCUACAAGGAAAGCUUGCAAUAUUUCUGGUACAAAGUGAAAUCUUCAAAAAACAUUUCAAAUACGACGCAUACAUUAUUUACUCCCCGUUUCUUAUAAAACUAUAUCAAGAAAAAACUACAAUAAAUCUUAAAUGAUACAUUAAUACAAAGGUUUGACAAUUUUUCACAUUGAAGGCGUAGGUUACUUCGAAGGUACAAUAAGGUAGAACUAUUUCAACACUACGAUUCCAAAAAGUUACAUUUCUAAAUAAAAAAUCAAAAGAUCCAAACUUGAAUAAUUUCUUCGCUAGAUUCCCAAAGCUAUAUUUGUCUAAGCAAAACCUAAAAGGUAAAUUUUUUUUCAAUGCUACAAGGAAAGCUUGCUAUAUUUCUGGUACAAAAAGAAAUCUUCCAAAAACAUUUCAAAUACGACGCAUACAUUGUUUACUCCCCGUUUCUUAUAAAACUAUAUCAAGAAAAAAUUACAAUAAAUCUUAAAUGAUAAUUAAUACAAAUGUUUGACAAUUUUUGCACAUUGAAGGUGUAGGUUACUUCGAAGGUACAAUAAGGUAGAACUAUUUCAGCACUACGAUUCCAAAAAGUUACAUUUCUCUAUGAAAAAUCAAAAGAUCCAAACUUGAAUAAUUUCUUCGCUAGAUUCCCAAAGCUAUAUAUUUGUAUAAGCAAAACCUAAAAGGUAAAUUUUUUUCAAUGCUACAAGGAAAGCUUGCAAUAUUUCUGGUACAAAGUGAAAUCCCCCAAAAACAUUUCAAAUACGACGCUUACAUUGUUUACUCCCCGUUUCUUAUAAAACUAUAUCGAGAAAAAACUACCAUUAAUCUUAAAUGAUACAUUAAUACAAAGGUUUGACAAUUUUUACAUAUUGAAGGUGUAGAUUAUUUCGAAGGUACAAUAAGGUAGAACUAUUUCAACACUACGAUUCCAAAAAGUUAUAUUUCUCUAUGAAAAAUCAAAAGGUCCAAAUUUGAAUAAUGUCUCGCUAGAUUCUCAAAGCUAUAUUUGCUCAAGCAAACCGAAAAGUCUAUUUUUAUUUGAAUGAUACAAAGAAAGCUUGCAAAAUUUCUGGUUGAAACUGAAAUCUCCCAACAACAUUUCAAAUACGACGCAUACAUUUUUUACUCCCCGUUUCUUAUAAAUCUGUAUCAAGAAAAAACUACAAUAUAUCUUAAAUGAUACAUUAAUACAAAGGUUUGACAAUUUUUUCACAUUGAAGGUGUCGAUUAUUUCGAAGGUACAAUAAGCUAGAACUAUUUCAACACUACGAUUCCAAAAAGCUACAUUUCUCCAUGAAAAAUCAAAAGAUCCAAACUUGAAUAAUUUCUAAAAGUUUCCCAAAGCUAUAUUGGUCUAAGCAAAACCUAAAAGGUAAAUCAUUGUUCAAUGCUACAACGAAAGCUUGCAAUAUUACUGAUACAAAGUGAAAUCUCCCAAAAACAUUUCAAAUACGACGCAUACAUUGUUUACUCCCCGUUUCUUAUAAGACUAUAUCAAGAAAAAACUACAAAAAAUCUUAAGUGAUAGAUUAAUAUAAAGGUUUGACAAUUUUUUCACAUUGAAGGUGUCGAUUAUUUCGAAGGUACAAUAAGGUAGAAGUAUUUCAACACUAAGAUUCCAAAAAGUUACAUUUCUCCAUGAAAGAUCAAAAGAUCCAAACUUGAAUAAUUUCUUCGCUAGAUUCCCAAAGCUAUAUUGGUCUAAGCAAAACCUAAAAGGUAAAAAUUUUUUUAAUGCUACAACGAAAGCUUGCAAUAUUUCUGGUACAAAGUGAAAUCUCCCAAAAACAUUUCGAAUACGACGCAUAUAUUUUUUACUCCCCGUUUCUUAUAAAACUAUAUCAAGAAAAAACUACAAAAAAUCUUAAAUGAUAGAUAAUAUAAAGGUUUGACAAUUUUUUCACAUUGAAGGUGUCGAUUAUUUCGAAGGUACAAUAAGGUAGAAGUAUUUCAACACUAAGAUUCCAAAAAGUUACAUUUCUCCAUGAAAGAUCAAAAGAUCCAAACUUGAAUAAUUUCUUCGCUAGAUUCCCAAAGCUAUAUUUGUCUAAGCAAAACCUAAAAGGUAAAUUUUUUUCAUUGCUACAACGAAAGCUUGCAAUAUUGCUGGCACAAAUUGAAAUCUUCUUAAAACAUUUCAACUGCGACGCAUAAAUUAUUUACUCCCCGUUUCCUAUUAAACUAUAUCAAGAAAACACUACAAAAAAUCUUAAAUGAUAGAUCAACACAAAGAUUUGAUAAUUUUUUCACAUUGAAGGUGUAGAAUAUUUCGAAGGUACAAAAAGGUACAAUGAUUUCAACACUACGAUUCCAAAAAUUUUAAUUUCUCUAUGAAAAAUCAAAAGAUCAAAACUUGAAUAAUUUCUUCGCUAGAUUCCCAAAGCUAUAUUUGUCUAAGCAAAACCUAAAAGGUAAAUUUUUUUUCAAUGCUAUAAGGAAAGCUUGCAAUAUUUCUGGUAGAAAGUGAAAUCUCCCAAAAACAUUUAAAAUACGACGCAUAUAUUGUUUACUCCCUGUUCCUUAUAAAACGAUAUCAAGAAAACAGUACAAAAAUUUUAAAUAAUACAUUAAUACAAAGUUUUGACAAUUUUUUCACAUUCAAGGAGUAGAAUAUUUCGAAGGUGCAAUAAGGUAGAAAUAUUUCAACACUAUGAUUCCAAAAAGUUACAUUCCUCUAUGAAAAAUCAAAAGAUCCAAACUUGAAUAAUUUCUUCGCUAGAUUCCCAAAGCUAUAUUUGUCUAAGCAAAACCUAAAAGGUAAAUUUUUUCAAUGCUACAACGAAAGCUUGCAAUAUUUUUGAUACAAAGUGAACUCUUCCAAAAACAUUUCAAAUACGACCGAGUCAUUUUUACUUCCCGUUUCUUAUUAAACUAUAUCAAGAAAAAACUACAAAAAAUCUUAAAUGAUAGAUCAACACAAAGAUUUGACAAUUUUUUCACAUUCAAGGAGUAGAAUAUUUCGAAGGUACAAUAAGGUAGAAAUAUUUCAACACUAUGAUUCCAAAAAGUUACAUUCCUCUAUGAAAAAUCAAAAGAUCCAAACUUGAAUAAUUUCUUCGCUAGAUUCCCAAAGCUAUAUUUGUCUAAGCAAAACCGAAAAGGUAAAUUUUUUUUCAAUGCUACAAAGAAAGCUUGCAAUAUUUCUGGUAGAAAGUGAAAUCUCCCAAAAACAUUUAAAAUACGACGCAUAAAUUGUUUACUCCCUGUUUCUUAUAAAACGAUAUCAAGAAAACAGUACAAAGAUUUUAAAUAAUACAUUAAUACAAAGUUUUGACAAUUUUUUCACAUUCAAGGAGUAGAAUAUUUCGAAGGUACAAAAAGGUACAAUGAUUUCAACACUAUGAUUCCAAAAAGUUAUAUUCCUCUAUGAAAAAUCGAAAGAUCCAAACUUGAAUAAUUUCUUCGCUAGAUUCCCAAAGUUAUAUUUGUCUUAGCAAAACCUAAAAGGUAAUUUUUUUUCAAUGCUACAGCGAAAGCUUGCAAUAUUUUUGGUACAAAGUGAACUCUUCCAAAAACAUUUCAAAUACGACGGAUUCAUUUUUGCUUCCCGUUUCUUAUUAAACUAUAUCAAGAAAAAACUACAAAAAAUCUUAAAUGAUAGAUCAACACAAAGAUUUGACAAUUUUUUCACAUUGAAGGUGUAGAAUAUUUCGAAGGUACAAAAAGGUACAAUGAUUUCAACACUACGAUUCCAAAAAGUUAUAUUCCUCUAUAAAAAAUCAAAAUCCAAACUUGAAUAGUUUCUUCGCUAGAUUGCCAAAGCUAUAUUUGUCUUAGCAAAACCUAAAAGGUAAAUUUUUUUUCAAUGCUACAAGGAAAGCUUGCAAUAUUUCUGGUACAAAGUGAAAUCUUCCAAAAACAUUUCAAAUACGACGCAUACAUUAUUUACACCCCGUUUCUUAUAAAACUAUAUCAAGAAAUACUACAAUAAAUCUUAAAUGAUACAUUAAUACAAAGUUUUGACAAUUUUUGCACAUUGAAGGUGUAGGUUACUUCGAAGGCACAAUAAGGUAGAACUAUUUCAGCACUACGAUUCCAAAAAGUUACAUUUCUCUAUGAAAAAUCAAAAGAUCCAAACUUGAAUAAUUUCUUCGCUAGAUUCCCAAAGCUAUGUUGGUCUAAGCAAAACCUAAAAGGUAAAAUUUUUUUUCAAUGCUACAACGACAGCUUGCAGUAUUUCUGGUACAAUGUGAAAUCUCCCAAAAACAUUUCAAAUACGACGCAUAUAUUUUUUACUCCCCGUUUCUUAUAAAUCUAUAUCAAGAAAAAACUACAAUAAAUCUUAAGUGAUACAUUAAUACAAAGGUUUGACAAUUUUUUCACAUAGAUGGUGUCGAUUAUUUCGAAGGUACAAUAAGGUAGAACUAUUUCAGCACUAUGAUUCCAAAAAGUUACAUUUCUCUAUGCAAAAUCAAAAGAUCCAAACUUGAAUAAUUUCUUCGCUAGAUUCCCAAAGCUAUAUUUGUCUAAGCAAAACCUAAAAGGUAAAUUUUUUUCAUUGCUACAACGAAAGCUUGCAAUAUUGCUGGCACAAAUUGAAAUCUUCUUAAAACAUUUCAACUGCGACGCAUAAAUUGUUUACUCCCCGUUUCCUAUUAAACUAUAUCAAGAAAACACUACAAAAAAUCUUAAAUGAUAGAUCAACACAAAGAUUUGAUAAUUUUUUCACAUUGAAGGUGUAGAAUAUUUCGAAGGUACAAAAAGGUACAAUGAUUUCAACACUAUGAUUCCAAAAAUUUUAAUUUCUCUAUGAAAAAUCAAAAGAUCAAAACUUGAAUAAUUUCUUCGCUAGAUUCCCAAAGCUAUAUUUGUCUAAGCAAAACCUAAAAGGUAAAUUUUUUUUCAAUGCUAUAAGGAAAGCUUGCAAUAUUUCUGGUAGAAAGUGAAAUCUCCCAAAAACAUUUAAAAUACGACGCAUAUAUUGUUUACUCCCUGUUCCUUAUAAAACGAUAUCAAGAAAACAGUACAAAAAUUUUAAAUAAUACAUUAAUACAAAGUUUUGACAAUUUUUUCACAUUCAAGGAGUAGAAUAUUUCGAAGGUGCAAUAAGGUAGAAAUAUUUCAACACUAUGAUUCCAAAAAGUUACAUUCCUCUAUGAAAAAUCAAAAGAUCCAAACUUGAAUAAUUUCUUCGCUAGAUUCCCAAAGCUAUAUUUGUCUAAGCAAAACCUAAAAGGUAAAUUUUUUCAAUGCUACAACGAAAGCUUGCAAUAUUUUUGAUACAAAGUGAACUCUUCCAAAAACAUUUCAAAUACGACCGAGUCAUUUUUACUUCCCGUUUCUUAUUAAACUAUAUCAAGAAAAAACUACAAAAAAUCUUAAAUGAUAGAUCAACACAAAGAUUUGACAAUUUUUUCACAUUCAAGGAGUAGAAUAUUUCGAAGGUACAAUAAGGUAGAAAUAUUUCAACACUAUGAUUCCAAAAAGUUACAUUCCUCUAUGAAAAAUCAAAAGAUCCAAACUUGAAUAAUUUCUUCGCUAGAUUCCCAAAGCUAUAUUUGUCUAAGCAAAACCGAAAAGGUAAAUUUUUUUUCAAUGCUAUAAGGAAAGCUUGCAAUAUUUCUGGUAGAAAGUGAAAUCUCCCAAAAACAUUUAAAAUACGACGCAUAAAUUGUUUACUCCCUGUUUCUUAUAAAACGAUAUCAAGAAAACAGUACAAAGAUUUUAAAUAAUACAUUAAUACAAAGUUUUGACAAUUUUUUCACAUUCAAGGAGUAGAAUAUUUCGAAGGUACAAAAAGGUACAAUGAUUUCAACACUAUGAUUCCAAAAAGUUAAAUUCCUCUAUGAAAAAUCGAAAGAUCCAAACUUGAAUAAUUUCUUCGCUAGAUUCCCAAAGUUAUAUUUGUCUUAGCAAAACCUAAAAGGUAAUUUUUUUUCAAUGCUACAGCGAAAGCUUGCAAUAUUUUUGGUACAAAGUGAACUCUUCCAAAAACAUUUCAAAUACGACGGAUUCAUUUUUGCUUCCCGUUUCUUAUUAAACUAUAUCAAGAAAAAACUACAAAAAAUCUUAAAUGAUAGAUCAACACAAAGAUUUGACAAUUUUUUCACAUUGAAGGUGUAGAAUAUUUCGAAGGUAUAAAAAGGUACAAUGAUUUCAACACUACGAUUCCAAAAAGUUAUAUUCCUCUAUGAAAAAUCAAAAGAUCCAAACUUGAAUAAUUUCUUCGCUAGAUUGCCAAAGCUAUAUUUGUCUUAGCAAAACCUAAAAGGUAAAUUUUUUUUCAAUGCUACAAGGAAAGCUUGCAAUAUUUCUGGUACAAAGUGAAAUCUUCCAAAAACAUUUCAAAUACGACGCAUACAUUAUUUACUCCCCGUUUCUUAUAAAACUAUAUCAAGAAAAAAUUACAAUAAAUCUUAAAUGAUACAUUAAUACUAAGGUUUGACAAUUUUUGCACAUUGAAGGUGUAGGUUACUUCGAAGGCACAAUAAGGUAGAACUAUUUCAGCACUACGAUACCAAAAAGUUACAUUUCUCUAUGAAAAAUCAAAAGAUCCAAACUUGAAUAAUUUCUUCGCUAGAUUCCCAAAGCUAUGUUGGUCUAAGCAAAACCUAAAAGGUAAUAUUUAUUUUCAAUGCUACAACGAAAGCUUGCAAUAUUUCUGGUACAAAGUGAAAUCUCCCAAAAACAUUUCAAAUACGACGCAUAUAUUUUUUACUCCCCGUUUCUUAUAAAUCUAUAUCAAGAAAAAACUACAAUAAAUCUUAAGUGAUACAUUAAUACAAAGGUUUGACAAUUUUUUCACAUUGAAGGUGUCGAUUAUUUCGAAGGUACAAUAAGGUAGAACUAUUUCAGCACUACGAUUCCAAAAAGUUACAUUUCUCUAUGAAAAAUCAAAAGAUCCAAACUUGAAUAAUUUCUUCGCUAGAUUCCCAAAGCUAUAUUUGGCUAAGCAAAACCUAAAAGGUAAAUUUUUUUCAAUGCUACAACGAAAGCUUGCAAUAUUGCUGGUACAAAUUGAAAUCUUCUUAAAGCAUUUCAACUGCGACGCAUAAAUUGUUUACUCCCCGUUUCUUAUUAAACUAUAUCAAGAAAACACUACAAAAAAUCUUAAAUGAUAGAUCAACACAAAGAUUUGAUAAUUUUUUCACAUUGAAGGUGUAGAAUAUUUCGAAGGUACAAAAAGGUACAAUCAUUUCAACACUACGAUUCCAAAAAUUUUAAUUUCUCUAUGAAAAAUCAAAAAGCAAAACCUAAAAGGUAAAUUUUUUUUCAAUGCUACAAGUAAAGCUUGCAAUAUUUCUGGUAGAAAGUGAAAUCUCCCAAAAACAUUUAAAAUACGACGCUUACAUUGUUUACUACCUGUUUCUUAUAAAACGAUAUCAAGAAAACAGUACAAAAAAUCUUGAAUAAUACAUUAAUACAAAGGUUUGACAAUUUUUUCACAUUGAAGGAGUAGAAUAUUUCGAAGGUACAAUAAGGUAGAACUAUUUCAACACUAUGGUUCCAAAAAGUUAUAUUCCUCUAUGAAAAAUCAAAAGAUCCAAACUUGAAUAAAGUCUUCGCUAGAUUCCCAAAGCUAUAUUUGUCUAAGCAAAACCUAAAGGGUAAAUUUUUUUCAAUGCUACAAAGAAAGCUUGCAAUAUAUCUGGUAGAAAGUGAAAUCUUCCAAAAACAUUUCAAAUACGACGCAUUCAUUUUUACUCCCCGUUUCUUAUGAAACUAUAUCAAGAAAAAACUACAAAAAAUCUUGAAUAAUACAUUAAUACAAAGGUUUGACAAUUUUUUCACAUUGAAAGAGUAGAAUAUUUCGAAGGUACAAUAAGGUAGAACUGUUCCAACACUAUGAUUCCAACUACCAUUAAUCUUAGAUGAUACAUUAAUACAAAGGUUUGACAAUUUUUGCAAAUUGAAGGUGUAGAUUAUUUCGAAGGUACAACAAGGUGCAAUGGUUUCAAAACUACGAUUCCAAAAAGUUACAUUUCUCUAUAAAAAAUCAAAAGAUUUAAACAUAAAUAAUUUCUUCGCUAGAUUCCCAAGGUUAUAUUUGUCUAAGCAAAAUCUGAAAGAUAAAUUUUUGUUCAAUGCUACAAAGUGAAAUCUCCCAAAAACAUUUCAAAUACGACGCUGACGUUGUUUAAUCCCCGUUUCUUAUAAAACUAUAUCAAGAAAAAACUACAAUAAAUCUUAAAUGAUACAUUAAUACAAAGGUUUGACAAUUUUUGCACAUUGAAGGUGUAGAUUAUUUCGAAGGUACAAUAAGGUAGAACUAUUUCAACACUACGAUUCCAAAAGUUACAAUCCUCUAUGAAAAAUCAAAAGAUCCAAACUUGAAUAAUUGCUUCGCUAGAUUGCGAAAGCUAUAUUUGUCUAAGCAAAGCCUAAAAGGUAAAAUUUUUUUUUAUUCCAACGAAAGUUUGCAAUAUUUCCUGUACAAAGUGAAAUCUCCCAAAAAGAUUUCAAAUACGACGCAUACAUUUUUUACUCACCGUUUCUUAUAAAACUAUAUCAAGAAAAAACUACAAUAAAUUUUAAAUGAUACAUUAAUACAAAGGUUUGACAAUUUUUGCACAUUGCAGCUGUAGGUUACUUCGAAGGUACAAUAAUUUAGAACUAUUUCAGCACUACGAUUCCAAAAAGUUACAUUUCUCCAUGAAAAAUCAAAAGAUCCAAACUUGAAUAAUUUCUUCGCUAGAUUCCCAAAGCUAUAUUUGUCUAAGCAAAACCUAAAAGGUAAAAUUUUUUUUCAAUGCUACAACGAAAGCUUGCAAUAUUUCUGGUACAAAGUGAAGUCUUCCAAAAACAUUUCAAAUACGACGCUUACAUUGUUUACCCCCCGUUUCUUAUAAAACUAUGUCAAGAAAAAACUACCAUUAAUCUUAGAUGAUACAUUAAUACAAAGGUUUGACAAUUUUUGCAUAUUGAAGGUGUAGAUUAUUUCGAAGGUACAACAAGGUACAAUGAUUUCAACACUACGAUUCCAAAGUUACAUUUCUACAUGAAAAAUCAAAAGAUCCAAACUUGACUAAUUUCUUCGCUAGAUUCCCAAAGCUAUAUUGGCCUAAGCCAAACCUAAAAGGUAACUAAUUUUUCAAUGCUAAAACGAAAGUUUGCAAUAUUUCUGGUACAAAGUGAAAUCUUCCAAAAACAUUUCAAAUACGACGCAUACAUUGUUUACUCCCCGUUUCUUAUAACACUAUAUCAAGAAAAAACUACAAUAAAUCUUGAAUGAUACAUUAAUACAAAGGUUUGACAAUUUUUGCACAUUGAAGGUGUAGGUUACUUCGAAGCUACAAUAAGGUAGAACUAUUUCAACACUAUUCUUCCAAAAAGUUACAUUCCUCCAAGAAAAAUAAAAAGAUCCAAACUUGAAUAAUUUCUUCGCUAGAUUCCCAAAGCUAUAUUUGACUAAGCAAAACCUAAAAGGUAAAUUUUUUUUCAAUAAAGUCUUCGUUAAAGCUUGCAAUAUUUUUGGUACAAAGUGAAAUCUUCCAAAAACAUUUCAAAUACGACGCAUUCAUUUUUAUUCCCGUUUCUUAUGAAACUAUAUCAAGAAAAAACUACAAAAAAUCCUGAAUAAUACAUUAAUACAAAGGUUUGACAAUUUUUUCACAUUGAAAGAGUAGAAUAUUUCGAAGGUACACUAAGGUAGAACUGUUCCAACACUAUGAUUCCAAAAAGUUACAUUCCUCUAUGAAAAAUCAAAAGAUCCAAACUUGAAUAAAGUCUUCGCUAGAUUCCCAAAGCUGUAUUUGUCUAAGCAAAACCUAAAAGAUAAAUUUUUUUGAAUGCUACAACGAAAGCUUGCAAUAUUUUUGAUAGAAAGUGAAAUCUUCCAAAAACAUUUCAAAUACGACGGAUUCAUUUUUACUCCCCGUUUCUUAUUAAACUAUAUCAAGAAAAAACUACAAAAAAUCUCGAAUGAUACACUAACACAAAGGUUUGACAAUUUUUUCACAUUGAAGGAGUAGAAUAUUUCGAAGGUACAAUAAGGUAGAACUAUUUCAACACUACGAUUCCAAAAAGUUAUAUUCCUCUAUGAAAAAUCAAAAGAUCCAAACUUGAAUAAUUUCCUCGCUAGAUUCCCAAAGCUAUAUUUGUCUAAGCCAAACCUACAAGGUAAAAUUUUUUUUCAAUGCGACAACUAAAGCUUGCAAUAUUUCUGGUACAAAGUGAAAUCUUCCAAAAACAUUUCAAAUACGACGCUUACAUUGUUUACCCCCCGUUUCUUAUAAAACUAUGUCAAGAAAAAACUACCAUUAAUCUUAGAUGAUACAUUAAUACAAAGGUUUGACAAUUUUUGCAUAUUGAAAGUGUAGAUUAUUUCGAAGGUACAACAAGGUACAAUGAUUUCAACACUACGAUUCCAAAGUCACAUUUCUACAUGAAAAAUCAAAAGAUCCAAACUUGACUAAUUUCUUCGCUAGAUUCCCAAAGCUAUAUUGGCCUAAGCAAAACCUAAAAGGUAACUAAUUUUUCAAUGCUAAAACGAAAGUUUGCAAUAUUUCUGGUACAAAGUGAAAUCUUCCAAAAACAUUUCAAAUACGACGCAUACAUUGUUUACUCCCCGUUUCUUAUAACACUAUAUCAAGAAAAAACUACAAUAAAUCUUAAAUGAUACAUUAAUACAAAGGUUUGACAAUUUUUGCACAUUGAAGGUGUAGGUUACUUCGAAGCUACAAUAAGGUAGAACUAUUUCAACACUAUUCUUCCAAAAAGUUACAUUUCUCCAAGAAAAAUAAAAAGAUCCAAACUUGAAUAAUUUCUUCGCUAGAUUCCCAAAGCUAUAUUUGACUAAGCAAAACCUAAAAGGUAAAUUUUUUUUCAAUAAAGUCUUCGCUAAAGCUUGCAAUAUUUUUGGUACAAAGUGAAAUCUUCCAAAAACAUUUCAAAUACGACGCAUUCAUUUUUAUUCCCGUUUCUUAUGAAACUAUAUCUAAAAAAACUACAAAAAAUCUUGAAUAAUACAUUAACACAAAGGUUUGACAAUUUUUUCACAUUGAAAGAGUAGAAUAUUUCGAAGGUACAAUCAGGUAGAACUGUUCCAACACUAUGAUUCCAAAAAGUUACAUUCCUCUAUGAAAAAUCAAAAGAUCCAAACUUGAAGAAAGUCUUCGCUAGAUUCCCAAAGCUGUAUUUGUCCAAGCAAAACCUAUAAGAUAAAUCUUUUUGAAUGCUACAACGAAAGCUUGCAAUAUUUUUGAUAGAAAGUGAAAUCUUCCAAAAACAUUUCAAAUACGACGGAUUCAUUUUUACUCCCCGUUUCUUAUUAAACUAUAUCAAGAAAAAACUACAAAAAAUCUCGAAUGAUACACUAACACAAAGGUUUGACAAUUUUUUCACAUUGAAGGAGUAGAAUAUUUCGAAGGUACAAUAAGGUAGAACUAUUUCAACACUACGAUUCCAAAAAGUUAUAUUCCUCUGACAAAUCAAAAGAUCCAAACUUAAAUAAUUUCUUCGCUAGAUUCUCAAAGAUAAAUUUGUCUAAGCAAAACCUAAAAGGUAAAUUUUUUUCAAUGCUACAACGAAAGCUUGCAAUAUUUCUGGUACAAAGUGAAAUCUUCCAAACACAUUUCAAAUACGACGCUUACAUUGUUUACCCCCCGUUUCUUAUAAAACUAUAUCAAGAAAAAACUACCAUUAAUCUUAAAUGAUACAUUGAUACAAAAGUUUGACAAUUUUUGCAUAUUGAAGUUGUAGAUUAUUUCGAAGGUACAAUAGGGUAGAACUAUUUCAACACUACGAUUCCAAAAAGUUACAUUCCUCUAUGAAAAAUCAAAAGAUCCAAACUUGAAUAAUUUCUUCGCUAGAUUCCCAAAGCUAUAUUUGUCUAAGCAAAACCUAAAAGGUAAAAUUUUUUUUCAAUGCUACAACGAAAGCUUGCAAUAUUUCUGGUACAAAGUGAAAUCUUCCAAAAACAUUUCAAAUACGACGCUUACAUUGUUUACCCCCCGUUUCUUAUAAAACUAUGUCAAGAAAAAACUACCAUUAAUCUUAGAUGAUACAUUAAUACAAAGGUUUGACAAUUUUUGCAUAUUGAAGGUGUAGAUUAUUUCGAAGGUACAACAAGGUACAAUGAUUUCAACAAUACGAUUCCAAAAAGUUACAUUCCUCUAUGAAAAAUCAAAAGAUCCAAACUUCAAUAAUUGCUUAGCUAGAUUCCCAAGGUAAUAUUUGUCUAAGCAAAACCUAAAAGGUAAAUUUUUGUUCAAUGCUUCAACGAAAGCUUGCAAUAUUUCUGGUACAAAGUGAAAUCUCCCAAAAACAUUUCAAAUACGACUCAUAUAUUUUUUACUCCCAGUUUCUUAUAAACCGUUAUCAAGAAAAAACUACAAAAAAUCUUAUAUGGUAGAUUAAUACAAAGGUUUGGCAAUUGUUUCACAUUGAAUGUGUAGAUUAUUUCGAAGGUACAAUAAGGUAGAACUAUUUCAACACUACGAUUCCAAAGUUACAUUUCUACAUGAAAAAUCAAAAGAUCCAAACUUGACUAAUUUCUUCGCUAGAUUCCCAAAGCUAUAUUGGCCUAAGCAAAACCUAAAAGGUAACUAAUUUUUCAAUGCUAAAACGAAAGAUUGCAAUAUUUCUGGUACAAAGUGAAAUCUUCCAAAAACAUUUCAAAUACGACGCAUACAUUGUUUACUCCCCGUUUCUUAUAACACUAUAUCAAGAAAAAAACUACAAUAAAUCUUAAAUGAUACAUUAAUACAAAGGUUUGACAAUUUUUGCACAGUGAAGGUGUAGGUUACUUCGAAGCUACAAUAAGGUAGAACUAUUUCAACACUAUUCUUCCAAAAAGUUACAUUCCUCCAAGAAAAAUAAAAAGAUCCAAACUUGAAUAAUUUCUUCGCUAGAUUCCCAAAGCUAUAUUUGACUAAGCAAAACCUAAAAGGUAAAUUUUUUUUCAAUAAAGUCUUCGCUAAAGCUUGCAAUAUUUUUGGUACAAAGUGAAAUCUUCCAAAAACAUUUCAAAUACGACGCAUUCAUUUUUAUUCCCGUUUCUUAUGAAACUAUAUCAAGAAAAAACUACAAAAAAUCUUGAAUAAUACAUUAAUACAAAGGUUUGACAAUUUUUUCACAUUGAAAGAGUAGAAUAUUUCGAAGGUACAAUAAGGUAGAACUGUUCCAACACUAUGAUUCCAACUACCAUUAAUCUUAGAUGAUACAUUAAUACAAAGGUUUGACAAUUUUUGCAAAUUGAAGGUGUAGAUUAUUUCGAAGGUACAACAAGGUGCAAUGGUUUCAAAACUACGAUUCCAAAAAGUUACAUUUCUCUAUAAAAAAUCAAAAGAUUUAAACAUAAAUAAUUUCUUCGCUAGAUUCCCAAGGUUAUAUUUGUCUAAGCAAAAUCUGAAAGGUAAAUUUUUGUUCAAUGCUACAAAGUGAAAUCUCCCAAAUACAUUUCAAAUACGACGCUGACGUUGUUUAAUCCCCGUUUCUUAUAAAACUGUAUCAAGAAAAAACUACAAUAAAUCUUAAAUGAUACAUUAAUACAAAGGUUUGACAAUUUUUGCACAUUGAAGGUGUAGAUUAUGUCGAAGGUACAAUAAGGUAGAACUAUUUCAACACUACGAUUCCAAAAGUUACAUUCCUCUAUGAAAAAUCAAAAGAUCCAAACUUGAAUAAUUGCUUCGCUAGAUUGCGAAAGCUAUAUUUGUCUAAGCAAAGCCUAAAAGGUAAAAUUUUUUUUUAUUCCAACGAAAGUUUGCAAUAUUUCCUGUACAAAGUGAAAUCUCCCAAAAAGAUUUCAAAUACGACGCAUACAUUUUUUACUCACCGUUUCUUAUAAAACUAUAUCAAGAAAAAACUACAAUAAAUUUUAAAUGAUACAUUAAUACAAAGGUUUGACAAUUUUUGCACAUUGCAGCUGUAGGUUACUUCGAAGGUACAAUAAUUUAGAACUAUUUCAGCACUACGAUUCCAAAAAGUUACAUUUCUCCAUGAAAAAUCAAAAGAUCCAAACUUGAAUAAUUUCUUCGCUAGAUUCCCAAAGCUAUAUUUGUCUAAGCAAAACCUAAAAGGUAAAAUUUUUUUUCAAUGCUACAACGAAAGCUUGCAAUAUUUCUGGUACAAAGUGAAGUCUUCCAAAAACAUUUCAAAUACGACGCUUACAUUGUUUACCCCCCGUUUCUUAUAAAACUAUGUCAAGAAAAAACUACCAUUAAUCUUAGAUGAUACAUUAAUACAAAGGUUUGACAAUUUUUGCAUAUUGAAGGUGUAGAUUAUUUCGAAGGUACAACAAGGUACAAUGAUUUCAACACUACGAUUCCAAAGUUACAUUUCUACAUGAAAAAUCAAAAGAUCCAAACUUGACUAAUUUCUUCGCUAGAUUCCCAAAGCUAUAUUGGCCUAAGCAAAACCUAAAAGGUAACUAAUUUUUCAAUACUAAAACGAAAGUUUGCAAUAUUUCUGGUACAAAGUGAAAUCUUCCAAAAACAUUUCAAAUACGACGCAUACAUUGUUUACUCCCCGUUUCUUAUAACACUAUAUCAAGAAAAAACUACAAUAAAUCUUGAAUGAUACAUUAAUACAAAGGUUUGACAAUUUUUGCACAUUGAAGGUGUAGGUUACUUCGAAGCUACAAUAAGGUAGAACUAUUUCAACACUAUUCUUCCAAAAAGUUACAUUCCUCCAAGAAAAAUAAAAAGAUCCAAACUUGAAUAAUUUCUUCGCUAGAUUCCCAAAGCUAUAUUUGACUAAGCAAAACCUAAAAGGUAAAUUUUUUUUCAAUAAAGUCUUCGCUAAAGCUUGCAAUAUUUUUGGUACAAAGGGAAAUCUUCCAAAAACAUUUCAAAUACGACGCAUUCAUUUUUAUUCCCGUUUCUUAUGAAACUAUAUCAAGAAAAAACUACAAAAAAUCUUGAAUAAUACAUUAAUACAAAGGUUUGACAAUUUUUUCACAUUGAAAGAGUAGAAUAUUUCGAAGGUACAAUAAGGUAGAACUGUUCCAACACUAUGAUUCCAAAAAGUUACAUUCCUCUAUGAAAAAUCAAAAGAUCCAAAGUUGAAUAAAGUCUUCGCUAGAUUCCCAAAGCUGUAUUUGUCUAAGCAAAACCUAAAAGAUAAAUCUUUUUGAAUGCUACAACGAAAGCUUGCAAUAUUUUUGAUAGAAAGUGAAAUCUUCCAAAAACAUUUCAAAUACGACGGAUUCAUUUUUACUCCCCGUUUCUUAUUAAACUAUAUCAAGAAAAAACUACAAAAAAUCUCGAAUGAUACACUAACACAAAGGUUUGACAAUUUUUUCACAUUGAAGGAGUAGAAUAUUUCGAAGGUACAAUAAGGUAGAACUAUUUCAACACUACGAUUCCAAAAAGUUAUAUUCCUCUAUGAAAAAUCAAAAGAUCCAAACUUGAAUAAUUUCCUCGCUAGAUUCCCAAAGCUAUAUUUGUCUAAGCAAAACCUAAAAGGUAAAAUUUUUUUUCAAUGCUACAACGAAAGCUUGCAAUAUUUCUGGUACAAAGUGAAAUCUUCCAAAAACAUUUCAAAUACGACGCUUACAUUGUUUACCCCCCGUUUCUUAUAAAACUAUGUCAAGAAAAAACUACCAUUAAUCUUAGAUGAUACAUUAAUACAAAGGUUUGACAAUUUUUGCAUAUUGAAGGUAUAGAUUAUUUCGAAGGUACAACAAGGUACAAUGAUUUCAAAACUACGAUUCCAAAAAGUUACAUUUCUCUAUGAAAAAUCAAAAGAUUUAAACAUAAAUAAUUUCUUCGCUAGAUUCCCAAGGUUAUAUUUGUCUAAGCAAAAUCUGAAAGGUAAAUUUUUGUUCAAUGCUACAAAGUGAAAUCUCCCAAAUACAUUUCAAAUACGACGCUGACGUUGUUUAAUCCCCGUUUCUUAUAAAACUGUAUCAAGAAAAAACUACAAUAAAUCUUAAAUGAUACAUUAAUACAAAGGUUUGACAAUUUUUGCACAUUGAAGGUGUAGAUUAUGUCGAAGGUACAAUAAGGUAGAACUAUUUCAACACUACGAUUCCAAAAGUUACAUUCCUCUAUGAAAAAUCAAAAGAUCCAAACUUGAAUAAUUGCUUUGCUAGAUUGCGAAAGCUAUAUUUGUCUAAGCAAAGCCUAAAAGGUAAAAUUUUUUUUUAUUCCAACGAAAGUUUGCAAUAUUUCCUGUACAAAGUGAAAUCUCCCAAAAAGAUUUCAAAUACGACGCAUACAUUUUUUACUCACCGUUUCUUAUAAAACUAUAUCAAGAAAAAACUACAAUAAAUUUUAAAUGAUACAUUAAUACAAAGGUUUGACAAUUUUUGCACAUUGCAGCUGUAGGUUACUUCGAAGGUACAAUAAUUUAGAACUAUUUCAGCACUACGAUUCCAAAAAGUUAUAUUCCUCUGAAAAAUCAAAAGAUCCAAACUUGAAUAAUUUCUUCGCUAGAUUCUCAAAGAUAUAUUUGUCUAAGCAAAACCUAAAAGGUAAAUUUUUUUCAAUGCUACAACGAAAGCUUGCAAUAUUUCUGGUACAAAGUGAAAUCUUUCAAAAACAUUUCAAAUACGACGCUUACAUUGUUUACCCCCCGUUUCUUAUAAAACUAUAUCAAGAAAAAACUACCAUUAAUCUUAAAUGAUACAUUGAUACAAAAGUUUGACAAUUUUUGCAUAUUGAAGUUGUAGAUUAUUUCGAAGGUACAAUAGGGUAGAACUAUUUCAACACUAUGAUUCCAAAAAGUUACAUUCCUCUAUGAAAAAUCAAAAGAUCCAAACUUGAAUAAUUUCUUCGCUAGAUUCCCAAAGCUAUAUUUGUCUAAGCAAAACCUAAAAGGUAAAUUUUUUUCAAUGCUACAAAGAAAGCUUGCAAUAUAUCUGGUAGAAAGUGAAAUCUUCCAAAAACUUUUCAAAUACGACGCAUUCAUUUUUACUCUCCGUUUCUUAUGAAACUAUAUCAAGAAAAAACUACAAAAAAUCUUGAAUAAUACAUUAAUACUAAGGUUUGACAAUUUUUUCACAUUGAAAGAGUAGAAUAUUUCGAAGGUACAAUAAGGUAGAACUAUUUCAACACUACGAUUCCAAAAAGUUAUAUUCCUCUGAAAAAUCAAAAGAUCCAAACUUGAAUAAUUUCUUCGCUAGAUUCUCAAAGAUAUAUUUGUCUAAGCAAAACCUAAAAGGUAAAUUUUUUUCAAUGCUACAACGAAAGCUUGCAAUAUUUCUGGUACAAAGUGAAAUCUUUCAAAAACAUUUCAAAUACGACGCUUACAUUGUUUACCCCCCGUUUCUUAUAAAACUAUAUCAAGAAAAAACUACCAUUAAUCUUAAAUGAUACAUUGAUACAAAAGUUUGACAAUUUUUGCAUAUUGAAGUUGUAGAUUAUUUCGAAGGUACAAUAGGGUAGAACUAUUUCAACACUAUGAUUCCAAAAAGUUACAUUCCUCUAUGAAAAAUCAAAAGAUCCAAACUUGAAUAAUUUCUUCGCUAGAUUCCCAAAGCUAUAUUUGUCUAAGCAAAACCUAAAAGGUAAAUUUUUUUCAAUGCUACAAAGAAAGCUUGCAAUAUAUCUGGUAGAAAGUGAAAUCUUCCAAAAACUUUUCAAAUACGACGCAUUCAUUUUUACUCUCCGUUUCUUAUGAAACUAUAUCAAGAAAAAACUACAAAAAAUCUUGAAUAAUACAUUAAUACUAAGGUUUGACAAUUUUUUCACAUUGAAAGAGUAGAAUAUUUCGAAGGUACAAUAAGGUAGAACUGUUCCAACACUAUGAUUCCAACUACCAUUAAUCUUAGAUGAUACAUUAAUACAAAGGUUUGACAAUUUUUGCAAAUUGAAGGUGUAGAUUAUUUCGAAGGUACAACAAGGUGCAAUGGUUUCAAAACUACGAUUCCAAAAAGUUACAUUUCUCUAUAAAAAAUCAAAAGAUUUAAACAUAAAUAAUUUCUUCGCUAGAUUCCCAAGGUUAUAUUUGUCUAAGCAAAAUCUGAAAGGUAAAUUUUUGUUCAAUGCUACAAAGUGAAAUCUCCCAAAUACAUUUCAAAUACGACGCUGACGUUGUUUAAUCCCCGUUUCUUAUAAAACUGUAUCAAGAAAAAACUACAAUAAAUCUUAAAUGAUACAUUAAUACAAAGGUUUGACAAUUUUUGCACAUUGAAGGUGUAGAUUAUGUCGAAGGUACAAUAAGGUAGAACUAUUUCAACACUACGAUUCCAAAAGUUACAUUCCUCUAUGAAAAAUCAAAAGAUCCAAACUUGAAUAAUUGCUUUGCUAGAUUGCGAAAGCUAUAUUUGUCUAAGCAAAGCCUAAAAGGUAAAAUUUUUUUUUAUUCCAACGAAAGUUUGCAAUAUUUCCUGUACAAAGUGAAAUCUCCCAAAAAGAUUUCAAAUACGACGCAUACAUUUUUUACUCACCGUUUCUUAUAAAACUAUAUCAAGAAAAAACUACAAUAAAUUUUAAAUGAUACAUUAAUACAAAGGUUUGACAAUUUUUGCACAUUGCAGCUGUAGGUUACUUCGAAGGUACAAUAAUUUAGAACUAUUUCAGCACUACGAUUCCAAAAAGUUACAUUUCUCCAUGAAAAAUCAAAAGAUCCAAACUUGAAUAAUUUCUUCGCUAGAUUCCCAAAGCUAUAUUUGUCUAAGCAAAACCUAAAAGGUAAAAUUUUUUUUCAAUGCUACAACGAAAGCUUGCAAUAUUUCUGGUACAAAGUGAAGUCUUCCAAAAACAUUUCAAAUACGACGCUUACAUUGUUUACCCCCCGUUUCUUAUAAAACUAUGUCAAGAAAAAACUACCAUUAAUCUUAGAUGAUACAUUAAUACAAAGGUUUGACAAUUUUUGCAUAUUGAAGGUGUAGAUUAUUUCGAAGGUACAACAAGGUACAAUGAUUUCAACACUACGAUUCCAAAGUUACAUUUCUACAUGAAAAAUCAAAAGAUCCAAACUUGACUAAUUUCUUCGCUAGAUUCCCAAAGCUAUAUUGGCCUAAGCAAAACCUAAAAGGUAACUAAUUUUUCAAUGCUAAAACGAAAGUUUGCAAUAUUUCUGGUACAAAGUGAAAUCUUCCAAAAACAUUUCAAAUACGACGCAUACAUUGUUUACUCCCCGUUUCUUAUAACACUAUAUCAAGAAAAAACUACAAUAAAUCUUGAAUGAUACAUUAAUACAAAGGUUUGACAAUUUUUGCACAUUGAAGGUGUAGGUUACUUCGAAGCUACAAUAAGGUAGAACUAUUUCAACACUAUUCUUCCAAAAAGUUACAUUCCUCCAAGAAAAAUAAAAAGAUCCAAACUUGAAUAAUUUCUUCGCUAGAUUCCCAAAGCUAUAUUUGACUAAGCAAAACCUAAAAGGUAAAUUUUUUUUCAAUAAAGUCUUCGCUAAAGCUUGCAAUAUUUUUGGUACAAAGGGAAAUCUUCCAAAAACAUUUCAAAUACGACGCAUUCAUUUUUAUUCCCGUUUCUUAUGAAACUAUAUCAAGAAAAAACUACAAAAAAUCUUGAAUAAUACAUUAAUACAAAGGUUUGACAAUUUUUUCACAUUGAAAGAGUAGAAUAUUUCGAAGGUACAAUAAGGUAGAACUGUUCCAACACUAUGAUUCCAACUACCAUUAAUCUUAGAUGAUACAUUAAUACAAAGGUUUGACAAUUUUUGCAAAUUGAAGGUGUAGAUUAUUUCGAAGGUACAACAAGGUGCAAUGGUUUCAAAACUACGAUUCCAAAAAGUUACAUUUCUCUAUAAAAAAUCAAAAGAUUUAAACAUAAAUAAUUUCUUCGCUAGAUUCCCAAGGUUAUAUUUGUCUAAGCAAAAUCUGAAAGGUAAAUUUUUGUUCAAUGCUACAAAGUGAAAUCUCCCAAAUACAUUUCAAAUACGACGCUGACGUUGUUUAAUCCCCGUUUCUUAUAAAACUGUAUCAAGAAAAAACUACAAUAAAUCUUAAAUGAUACAUUAAUACAAAGGUUUGACAAUUUUUGCACAUUGAAGGUGUAGAUUAUGUCGAAGGUACAAUAAGGUAGAACUAUUUCAACACUACGAUUCCAAAAGUUACAUUCCUCUAUGAAAAAUCAAAAGAUCCAAACUUGAAUAAUUGCUUCGCUAGAUUGCGAAAGCUAUAUUUGUCUAAGCAAAGCCUAAAAGGUAAAAUUUUUUUUUAUUCCAACGAAAGUUUGCAAUAUUUCCUGUACAAAGUGAAAUCUCCCAAAAAGAUUUCAAAUACGACGCAUACAUUUUUUACUCACCGUUUCUUAUAAAACUAUAUCAAGAAAAAACUACAAUAAAUUUUAAAUGAUACAUUAAUACAAAGGUUUGACAAUUUUUGCACAUUGCAGCUGUAGGUUACUUCGAAGGUACAAUAAUUUAGAACUAUUUCAGCACUACGAUUCCAAAAAGUUACAUUUCUCCAUGAAAAAUCAAAAGAUCCAAACUUGAAUAAUUUCUUCGCUAGAUUCCCAAAGCUAUAUUUGUCUAAGCAAAACCUAAAAGGUAAAAUUUUUUUUCAAUGCUACAACGAAAGCUUGCAAUAUUUCUGGUACAAAGUGAAGUCUUCCAAAAACAUUUCAAAUACGACGCUUACAUUGUUUACCCCCCGUUUCUUAUAAAACUAUGUCAAGAAAAAACUACCAUUAAUCUUAGAUGAUACAUUAAUACAAAGGUUUGACAAUUUUUGCAUAUUGAAGGUGUAGAUUAUUUCGAAGGUACAACAAGGUACAAUGAUUUCAACACUACGAUUCCAAAGUUACAUUUCUACAUGAAAAAUCAAAAGAUCCAAACUUGACUAAUUUCUUCGCUAGAUUCCCAAAGCUAUAUUGGCCUAAGCAAAACCUAAAAGGUAACUCAUUUUUCAAUGCUACAACGAAAGCUUGCAAUAUUUCUGGUACAAAGUGAAAUCUCCCAAAAACAUUUCAGAUACGACGCAUAUAUUUUUUACACCCCGUUUCUUAUAAAACUAUAUCAAGAAAAAACUACAAUAAAUCUUAAAUGAUACAUUAAUACAAAGGUUUGAUAAUUUUUUCACAUUGAAGGAGUAGAAUAUUUCGAAGGUACAAUAAGGUAGAACUAUUUCAACACUACGAUUCCAAAAAGUUACAUUUCUCUAUGAAAAAUCAAAAGAUCCAAACUUGAAUAAUUUCUUCGCUAGAUUCCCAAAGCUAUAUUUGUCUAAGCAAAACCUAAAAGGUAAAUUUUUUUCAAUGCUACAACGAAAGCUUGCAAUAUUUCUGGUACAAAGUGAAAUCUUCUAAAAAUAUUUCAAAUACGACGCAUACAUUGUUUACUCCCCGUUUCUUAAACUACUUGUAUCAAGAAAACACUACAAAAAAUCUUAAAUGAUAGAUCAACACAAAGAUUUGACAAUUUUUUCACAUUGAAGGUGUAGAAUAUUUCGAAGGUACGAAAAGGUAGAACUAUUUCAACACUACGAUUCCAAAAGUUACAUUCUUCUAUGAGAAAUGAGAAGAUCCAAACUUAAAUAAUUUCUUCGCUAUUUUCUCGAAGCAAUAUUUGUCUAAGCAAAACCUGAAAGGUAAAUUUUUAUUCAAUGCUACAACGAAAGCUUGCAAUAUUUUUGGUACAAAGUAAAAUCUUCCAAAAACAUGUCAAAUGCGACGCAUUCAUUUUUACUCCCUGUUUCCUAUUAAAUUAUAUCAAGAAAAAGCUACAAAAAAUCUUUAAUAAUACAUUACUACAAAGGUUUUACAAUUUUUUCACAUGGAAGGAGUAGAAUAUUUCGAAGGUACAGUAAGGUAGAACUGUUUCAGCACUAUGAUUCCAAAAAGUUACAUUCCUCUAUGAAAAAUCAAAAGAUCCAAACUUGAAUAAUUUUUUCGCUAGAUUCCCAAAGCUAUAUUUGUCUAAGCAAAACCUAAAAGGUAAAUUUUUUUCAAUGCUACAACGAAAGCUUGCAAUAUUGCUGGUACAAGGUGAAAUCUUCUAAAAACAUUUCAAAUACGACGCAUACAUUGUUUACUCCCCGUUUCUUAUUAAACUAUAUCAAGAAAACACUACAAAAAUCUUAAAUGAUAGACCAACACAAAGAUUUGACAAUUUUUCACAUUGAAAGUGUAGAAUAUUUCGAAGGUACAAAAAGGUACAAUGAUUUUAACACUACAAUUCCAAAAAGUUGUAUUUCUCUAUGAAAAAUCAAAAGUUCCAAACUUAAGUAAUUUCUUCGCUAGAUUCCCAAAGCUAUAUUUGUCUAAGCAAAACCUAAAAGGUAAAUUUCUUUUAAAUGCUACAACGAAAGCUUGCAAUAUUUCUGGUAGAAAGUCAAAUCUCCCAAAAACAUUUAAAAUACGACGCAUACAUUGUUUACUACUCUGUACUCUGAAAACAGUACAAAAAAUCUUAAAUAAUACAUUAAUACAAAGGUUUGACAAUUUUUUCACAUUGAAGGAGUAGCAUAUUUUAAAGGUAGAAUAAGGUAGAACUAUUUCAACACUACGAUUCUAAAAAGGUACAUUCCUCUAUGAAAAAUCAAAAGAUCCAAACCUAAAUAAUUUCUUCGCUAGAUUCCCAAAGCUAUAUUUGUCUAAGCAAAACCUAAAAGGUAAAUUUUUUUCAAUGCUUCAACGAAAGCUUGCAAUAUUUCUGGUACAAAGUGAAAUCUUCUAAAACAUUUUAAAUACGACGCAUACAUUUUUUACUCCCUGUUUCUUAUAAAAUUAUAUCAAGACAAAACUACAAAAAAUCUUAAAUGAUAGAUAAACACAAAGAUUUGACAAUUUUUUCACAUUGAAGGUGUAGAUUAUUUCGAAGGUACAAUAUGGUACAAUGAUUUCAAAACUACGGUUCCAAAAAGUUACAUUUCUAUAGGAAAAAUCUAGAGAUCCAAACUUGAAUAAUUUCUUCGCUAGACUCUCAUAGCUAUAUUUGUCUAAGCAAAACCUAAAAGGUAAAUUUUUUUUCAUUGCUUCAAAGAAAGCUUGCAAUGUUUCUGGUACAAAGUGAAAUCUUCAAAAAUAUCUCAAAUACGACGCAUACAUGGUUUACUCCCCGUUUCUUAUAAAACUAUAUCAAGAAAAAACUACAAUAAAUCUUAAAUGAUACAUUAAAACAAAGGUUUGACAAUUUUUGCACAUUGAAGGUGUAGAGUGUAGAUCAUUUCGAAGGUACAAUAAGGUACAACUAUUUCAGCACUAGGAUUCCAAAAAGUUACAUUUCUCUAUGAAAAAUCAAAAGAUCCAAACUUGAAUAAUUUCUUUGCUAGAUUCCCAAAGUUAUAUUUGUCUAAGCAAAACCUAAAAGGUAAUUUUUUUUUAAAUGCUACAACGAAAGCUUGCAAUAUUUCUGGUACAUAAGUGAAAUCUCCCAAAAACAUUUCAACUACGACGCAUGCACUGUUUACUCCCCGUUUCUUAAAAAACAACAUCAAGAAAACAAAUCUUAAAUAAUACAUUAAUACAAAGGUUUGACAAUUUUUUCACGUUAAAGGAGUAGAUUAUUUCGAAGGUACAAUUAGGUAGAACUAUUUCAGCACUACGAUUCCAAAAAGUUACAUUUCUCUAUGAAAAAUCAAAAGAACCAAACUUGAAUAAUUUCUUCGCUAGAUAUCCAAAGCUAUAUUUGUCUAAGCAAAACCUAAAAGGUAAAUUUUUUUCAAUGCUACAACGAAAGCUUGCAAAAUCUCUGGUAGAAUGUGAAAUCUACAAAAACCUUUCAAAUACGUCGCUAACAUAUUUUACUUCCCGUUUCUUUUAAAACUAUAUCAAGAAAAAACUACAAAAAAAUUUAAAUGAUACAUUAAUACAAAGGAUUGGCAAAGCUUUUACAUCGAAAGUGUAGAUUAUUUCGAAAGUACAAUAACGUAGAGCUAUUCCGACGCUAUGUUUCUUAAAGUUGCAUUAUAUCAACAAUCAAAAGCUCCAAAAUUGAAUAAUUUCUUCGCUAGAUUCCUAAAAAUAUAUUUGCGUACGCAAGCUACAAAAACUCUUAAAUGAAACAUUAAUGCAAAGGUUUGACAAUUUUUUCACAUUGAAGGUGUAGAUUACUCGAAGAUACGAUAAGGUAGAAGUAUUUCGACGCUACGUUUCUAAAAAGUUACAUUUCUCUAUAAAAAAUGAAAAGACCCAAAGCUAAAUAAUUUCUUCGCCAGAUUCCUAAAGCUAUAUUUGUCUAAGCAAAACCGAAAAGGUAUAUAUAUGUAUUUUAAUUUGAAUGAUACAAGGAAUGCUUGCGAAAUUUCUCGUCCACAGUAAAAUCAACCAAAAACAUUUCAAAUACGACGCAUGCAUUUUUUACUUCCUGUUUCCAAUAAAACUAUAUCAAGCAAAAACUACAAAAAAUUUUAAAUGAUACAUUAAUACAAAGGUUUGGCCAUUUUUUUACAUCAAAGAUGUAGAUUUUUUCGAAAUAAGGUUCCAAGUCACAUUUCUCUAUAAAAAUCAAAAGGCUCAAAAUUGAAUAAUUUCUUCUCUAGAAUUCAAAAGCUAUAUUUGUCUAAACAAAACCGAAAAGGUCUAUUUCUAUUUGAAUGCUACAACGAAAGCUUUCAAGAAUUCUGGUCCACAGUGAAAUCUCCCAAAAAUAUUUCAAAUACGACGCAUAUACUUAUUUUUUAUUCCCCGUUUCUCAUAAAAGUAUAUUAGGAAAAAACAAAAAAAAAUCUUGAAUGAUACAUUAAUACAAAGGUUUGACAAUUUUAUCACAUCGAUGGUAUAGGUUAUUUCGAAGAUACGAUAAGGUAGAACUGUUUCGACGCUACGUUUCCAAAAAGUUACAUUUCUCUAUAAAAAAUCAAAAGGCUCAAAACUGAAUAAUUUCUUCGCUAGAUUCCCAAAGCUAUAUUUGUCUAAGCAAAACCGAAAAGGUGUAUUUUAAUUUAAGAAAUACUACAAAACUUGCGAAAUUUCUGGUCCACAGUGAAAUCAACCAAAAAAAUUUUAAAUACGACGCAUACAUUUGUUUCUCCCCGUUUCUUUUAUAACUAUAUCAAGCAAAGACUACAAAAAAUCUUAAGUGAUACAUUAAUACAAAUGUUUGACAAUUUUGCACAUUGAAGGUGUACAUUAUUUCGAAGGUACAAUAAGGUAGAAUUAUUUCGACGCUACGUUCCCAAAAAAUACAUUGCUCUAUAAAAAAUCAAAAUACCCAAAACUGAAUCAUUUCUUCGCUAGAUUCCCAGCUUGUGCGACGCAAAAUUUUACCAAUGCGGACGCGCCAUAACAUGAAAAAUAGUAUAACUUUGAUAAGUUGCUCAGUAUAAGCUUCUCCGAAUUUAUAUCAGGCAGGAAAGCUUACAAAUAUUUUCUUAUUUGCAAGAAAGAUAUGCAUGCUUACUAAAUAUCUAUGUCUCCUGAUGUCUUAUAUUUGUGAUUUUUUGAGAAAUUUAACCCUCUGUUGUUGAUGUAUUUUUUUCUUAUAAUUAGCUUUUUGUUGUUUUAAAGUGCUUUGGAUAAUAUGCACAAUGAACUGAAAGAGUUUUGCGGUUAUCUAAACUUUAACAGGGCUAUAUGAAGCCAGUUAACAAUAUUUUGGGGCACUGCUUAUUUCUUAGUUGUUCAAGCAUGUUUUUACGGUUAGUUGACCGCAUUCCACCGUAAUUUUAGAAAGUGUUUAGUUUUCGAAAACCUUUCUGUUUUUAAGAGUAUAAUAUAAUACCUACACUAUUAUAAUUGUGUAUCAGGAUAAAGGAUGUUUUGUCUUUAGAAUCCACUUUCUAAAGUUUAUCUGUGAAAGUACAAUGUGUUGCACUCUAACAUGUCUAACAUGCUUUUCGUCACGACUCACUUGAAUGUUGGAUUAAACAUUUAGUCUUAUUUAAUCACGGAUUUUUAACAUGUAUUAAAAUAAACUUAAUACAGAAAGCAUGAAUGUUUUGCUUUAGUUGCUUAUCCAGAAUACAUAAGUGUUAGUAGCAUAUGUUUGCAUUUCGUUCUUUAGGUGGUUAUCCAGAAUUAAAAUGUUGCCUUACAGUGUCACUUUUCCAGUAUUUGCAUUUGUGUCACAAAAACGCAAAAUACAUAUGAUGGUUUACUCGUUUGAGGCUUUAUUUGCACUUUUAAUAAUUUAACAAUGCUGUAUUUUUUACUAGAUUGUUUGGAGUUUUUUUAUUGUUGUCUUAAAAUUUUGAAGUCCUUAGAUUGGUGUGAUUUUAACAGUAAAGGGUAGAUAAUUUGGUUAUUGUAUGUAGUAGUUAGUAGCUAAGUACAGGAUUCUGACACAACCUAAUAAUAUAGAAGACCAUAAGACCAAGAAAAAAAAUUCCUUAAGGUGUACGAAGAAUAUCUGGGACAGGUACCGAGGGGACAGGAUAUGAAAUGCUAAGACUGAUAAUACAGGGAAAGAUAAGAGGCGGAACGAGUAUAGGAAGAAGUAGAGUAUCAUGGUUGAAGAAUUUAAGGGACUGGUUUAAAUGCAGUAUAGAACUCUUCAGAGUAUCUGUGGAUAGAGUAAAGAUAGUGAUUAUGAUAUCCAACGCCCGAUUGGGAAACUGAAGAAGUACCAAGUGGUAUUGGGAAGAAGAAGUAGGUACCAAGAAUACUAAAAGUUCUUAUACUUUUGUCAAGCAAAUAGGAGAGAUGAGUGAACGAUGUUUAAGGGAAAAUGGUCGAAUGCAUCCAAACAUAAUCGACAAAAAUCAGAUUUUGCUAUGUAGGUAUUAAUUAAAUUGUGAUCAUAAAAAAUGUACGUUUAACUUCUUUGGCUUUCCUCGCUACUUUAUGCAAGCUUCGCGAUUGCUUCCACAUCCUGGUUUACAAAAAUAUAUCUUACAUACAAGCAUCUGUCAGAGGCAGGCGUGGAAAAGGGAUAAGAGUGUAUCAAUAUGCAUGAAAACUGCAUAAUAUGCUAUGUACUGUGAUAGACUAACUGUAUUAGAAUUCCCACAAGCAUUAAAAUGGGAUCAAAGUAUAUACAUCCAUAUGCAUGAAAUAUGCUUUCUUCACGAAUAUAUGACUAACUAUUCUAGAAUUUAGGCGGUUUGUAUAAUGUAUAGUUCAAUUUAUUUGGUUUCUCAGGUAGUUUUAACAAUUUUAAAUAUCUGCUAUAGUUUGGAUACUUGCUAAAUAAUUCACAGCUGUUGAUGUACAUAUUCUUCUACACUUACCAAGUAAAUGGUAUUAAAAAUGUAUGUUUUAAGGUUUUGAUGCUUUGCUGUUGAACAUGUGCUUAUGUGAAGUUAUAGAUUGAGAGAGUUAUUAGCAGAUAAAGGAGAAAAGUCAAAAGAUGCUACUUUUGUUUAAAUCUACCAAGAUGACUGAAUUAAAGUCCACAUGCGUAGCGUGGGGGGUGGUUAGGUGUGCGUCAUAUAUGCGUAUAACUGGCGUAGCUGGUAAAGCCUAUAUACGCUGGGAUCCUCAAUUCUAUAACUAUAUAGGUUUUACUAUUUUUAUUAGAAAUAAUUUUAUGCUGAACAUGAGCUUAUGUGAUGUUAUAGAUUGAGAGAGUUAUUAGCAGAUAAAGGAUAACAGUCAAAAAAUGCUAUCUUUUGUUUAAAUCUGCCAAGAUGACCGAAUUGAAGUCCACAUGCGUAGCGUGUGGGGGUGGUUAGGUGUGCGUCAUAUAUGCGUAUAACUGGCGUAGCUGUUAAUGCAUACUGACGCCGGGUUCCUCAAUUCUAUAACUAUAUAGGUUCUACUAUUUUUAUUAGGAAUAAUUUGAUGCCGAACGUGAGGUUAUGUGAUGUUAUAGAUUGAGAGAGUUGUUAGCAGAUAAAGGAAAAAAGUCCAAAGAUGCUCUUUUGUUUUAAUCUGCCAAGAUGACUGAAUUGAAGUCCACAUGCGUAGCGUGUGGGGGUGGUUAGGUGUGCGUCAUAUAUGCGUAUAACUGGCGUAGCUGUUAAUGCAUAUUGACGCCGGGUUCUUCAAUUCUAUAACUACA
rnacentral:lncRNA from 1 species